rnacentral:lncRNA from 1 species
UGGCUUCUCUCCCUUAGGUGGUUUGCCAACUGGGGUUGGUGGCUUGUAUGAGUCUUCAGCAUUCUCUGCAGGAGGGUGACCAGGGUUGUGACCAUAAUGUGGUGGCUUCUCUCCCUUAGGUGGUUUGCCAACUGGGGUUGGUGGCUUGUGUUCUGGGAGUGGCUUCUCCCCCUUGGGAGGUUUUUCCAAUGGGGUUGGUUUGUGUUCAGGAGGUGGCUUCUCCACUGGAGGCUUGUGUUCAGGAGGUGGCUUCUCCACCGGAGGCUUGUGUUCAGGAGGUGGCUUCUCCACCGGAGGCUUAUGCUCUGGUGGUGGCUUCUCCACCGGAGGCUUAUGCUCUGGUGGUGGCUUCUCGAAUGGGGGAUGCUUAGGGUAAUCAGCAAGUGAGGGGGCGGUGAGAACCACCAGGCCAAGCAAGACCACUAGCAAGUAUGUAGGAGACAUCUUUGGGUUUAGACUCAGAUGGUGCAAAACUAGGAGAAUUGUCUUUUAUAGCGGAUCGCACCCAAUAAUGAAAUGACACGUGUCUUUAUGACCCAUGUGUAAUGGGGUCGAUUUGGGUCCUACAGUGUUGAAAACUUCGACAUCCACUUUUGGCCUUUUGCUUUCUCUACAGCCGCCUUGCUUUUUCCCUCUUUCCUUUUGUUUUCCUCCUGCCCCAUUCUAUCAACUAAACACAAUUAUGUAGUUGUUUAAUUCUUAAAUGAGAUAUUAUCCGUCAAUCGUAUCAUAUUUUAUCAACAGAGAACGGAGUGCAAUGUGGCAAUCCAAAGAAAGAAGAUCCAUAAUGCAGCUGUAAUUUUAUCGUUUACUUUUAUCUCUUGGACCACUGCAUUUUUGUUAAGAGGUGCAAUAAUACACGUCUUUAUCUGCCAUUCAAUGUUUACAGUAAAGAGAGGGCACAAAACUCUUCACUGCUCUGCAUGUGUCCCAAAAAUGCAAUUGGACAAAUUAUGAUUUGCAUGCUAAAAAGAGGCAAAUGAGGUUAAUUCGCACCAUAAUUAUUUUGUUUUCUGGACCCCGGGGCCCUUUGGUUGGUUUGGGGGUCAGAAAAUGAACAUCAUAGGGGGUUUUUCCCUUAUGUGCAUUUGUAUCUGAUGGCUUUAACUCGCCUUGUUACUACAAAGAAAUUGUCACAUAUAGGAACUUAUUCCAGGCUGAGUAUCUCCGCAUAGACCCUAUAAAAGAAGACAAGUCAUAAUGAACAUCUAACCUUUGUUCAAUUUGAUUCAAUGCCCCAUUGUGUCCACCUCACAAAUCUGAAUUAUUAUAUCCAUUGAAUACAUAAAUUAAUGAAGAAAAUAUGAAACCCAAGAUACAUCUCUGCACAACCUCAACCCUGGUUGCUAUGUUUCCCUUCUAUUCACAUGAGGAUAUUGAUUACGGAAUAGGGAAACCUAGCAAGGGUUUACUCGGCUCUGGUUUGAUGCUAAUUGCCAAACUUGCAACAAGCCCUGAGUUUGAAGCUCACAGAAGAUGUUAUACAGGCAGGGAAAAACCUUCAGAGUUCGCUGCCAAAGAUAAUUAUUAAGGAGAUAUCACCAAGAGAAUUCCAAGGAGUCUGAAUCAAAGACAAAUUGGUCGUUCGUGGAGGUUCUUACUUUCUUUUGGGUAUAACUCACUGAGGGCACUGUCUUUUUUAUUUUCAUUUCACAUUUAGAGUUCUGUUCUGGAAACAUAUAAAAGGAGCAUCAGUUUGUUCUUGGGUAACCCAUAGUCGUGAGUGGGUCCAUUUGCAUGCUACUUAGUUGAAAAGUUGGACCAUUUGCUCCGACGCCUACCUCCUGGAUUCCAUGCUCGGAUAAAACAAGAAUAAAAAAAUAUUUAUAAUUUACAAAUGGGGGAAAGAAAAAAAUGUCAACAACAAACUAGGAAAAAAGAGUAGUAAAAUUCAUGUCACAUGCUAGUGAGAGAAGGGGUUGUUACACUCACUCGAAGUUCUUUUCAAAAUAUCGCAUGGUAUUUUAUUUUAUGUGUGAGCGCAGUUGUGAAUGGAACGUGCAAAAGUCCAAAUUGGUGACCUUUAAUAAAUAUUUAAAACAAAAAACGAAAAAAAGGAGGGAAAAGGGAUCAGAAAAGAUAAAACAAUGUGUACAAAAGCUCAAUUAGUUUGCAAAUUACUGUUUGGAUUUUGAUAGUAUUUUAUUUGAUGUAAAAGAGAAUUUAAGAUAUUUCCGAAACAAAAGCAUUAGUUUGCUCCAUGUCAAUUUCGGCAUUUCUCAUAUGUUUCACACAUACACAGAAGAGCAUCGUUUUUUAAAGCAUGCAUUUAUGUUGGAUUAAUUUGGAUUUUGUGGGAACUGGGGCAAGGAUCACAUGGAAGAGAGGUUGACUUUUUUCAGUACUUCAAUGGUUGAGACAGGUGAAGGCCUGAUUGAUACUGAAGCCUGAAAUUGCGACUCCGUCAUUUGUCAAAACAUAUGACAGCUUCCAUGCUCUCGUUUGGUUGCAUUGUUCUGUGGUCAUGCAUACAUGCCACUUAGUGAUCAGUCUGUAACUGUCAAUCAUUGGGCUUUGACUGAACAACAUCAGCCAUGUAUAAAUACUUGCAAAUCAAACGGUCUUCUUCCUCCCAUAAGGAAUUUCGGUUUAAUUAUGAAGCAUGCAUUUGGCUGACCAUCAUAAACCACUUCUUUAAAUUGAUGAAUGAUAGUUUUUCAUUCAUUCUUUCAUUCGUUCAUAUACAGAGUAUAUAUAGAGGGUAAUCAUCAUUCUAAGAAUGGGAAAGAAUGAUACAAGGAAAUAAUGAUAUAAAGAAAUAACAACUAAUAUUCUAAUAUCUCAACUUUCCUAAUAUCUAAACAUUCCUAAUAUCUCAACACUAAAUGAUAUAAAGAAAGAAUGAUAUAAGGAAAGCAUUCCUAAUAUCUCAACACUCCUCCUCAAGUUGGUGCAUAGAUGUCAAACAUGUCCAACUUGUCUAAAAAUUUUGAGAACAGUUGACUUGAGACAUCUUUGGUGAGGAUAUCGGUCAAUUGAUCUUCUGAUCGAAUCUUAGGCAAUUCCACAAUCUUAUCAUCCAACUUUUCCUUAAUGAAAAAUCUAUCCAUCUCGACAUGCUUUGUACGAUCAUGUUGUACUAGAUUAUGAGCAAUGUCACAUGCUGCUUUAUUGUCACAAAACAAUCGGAUUGGUUGCCUAGAUAGGUAACCUAAAUCCUAUAAGAGGAGUCUUAGCCAUAAUGCCUCACAAAGUCCUAAAGUCAUACCUCUAAAUUCCGCUUCUGCACUUGAACGAGCGACGACAUUUUGCUUCUUACUUUUCCAUGUCACAAGAUUACCACCUACAAAGGUAAAGUAACCAGAUGUAGAUCGCCUAUCAUCCACUGCACCGACCCAAACAGCAUUAUACUUCUAUACUCUGAUGAUCAACAUUUUUAGCGAACAAAAUUCCCUUCCUAGGAGCAUUCUUCAAAUACCUCAAAAUACGCAUGACUACAUUCAUAUGUUGCUCUCCAGGAUUAUGCAUGUAUUGACUCACUACACUCAAUGUAUAAGCAAGAUCUAGUCUUGUAUGAGCUAAGUACAUUAAUCUCCCCACAAGUCUCUGGUAUCUUCCCUUAUCGAUUGAUACUUGAUUAGGCUCAACACACAAUUUCAGACCUUCUUCUAUUGGUGUAUUAAUAGGUUGACAUCCCGACAUUCCAGUUUCCUGUAGAAGAUCUAAGGCAUACUUUCUUUGAGACAGAAAAAUUCCUUCACUUGAUCGAGAAACUUCAAUCCCAAGAAAGUAUUUCAGACGACCAAGAUCUUUCAUUUCAAAUUCUCUAGAUAGAUACUUUUGCAAAGCUUUUCUUUCUUCAGGAUCAUUUCCUGUAACUACAUGUCAUCCACAUAUAUCAUAAGUGUCGUAAUCUUACCAUGUUGCUUUUUCAAGAACAAAGUGUGAUUUGAAUUACUUUGAUGAUAGCCAAAAGCUCUCAUUGAUUUUGUGAACCUUCCAAACCAUGCUCUCGGGGAUUGCUUCAACCCAUACAAUGACUUCUUCAAUUCGCACACCUUCUGACAUUGCUUUUCUGACACCAUGCAUCCUGGUGGAAGAUCCAUAUAUACUUCUUCAGAUAAAUCGCCAUGCAGAAAGACAUUUUUUACAUCGAACUAUUGUAAUGGCCAAUCUAGGUUUGCAGCUAAAGACAAUAAUACUCGAACUGUGUUGAUCUUAGCUACAGGUGCAAAUGUCUCUGUGUAGUCAAUUCCAUAAGUUUGAAUGUACCCACUAGUCUUGCUUUAAAUCGUUCAAUACUACCAUCUGCCUUGUACUUCACAGUAUAGAUCCAACGACACCCAACUAGCUUCUUUCCUGGUGGACAUUCUACGAGUUCCCAUGUUUCAUUUUUCUGCAAUGAUUUCAUCUCUUCAUUCAUGGUUGCUUUCCACUUUGGAUCAGCUAAAGCUUCCUGCACACUAUUAGGAAUAGCUACAGUAGAUAAUUGAUUUACAAAUGACUUAUUUGAUUCAGACAAACCAUGGUGUGGACCCGCAUUUUUCACGUGCGCCUCUACUCGAUCGGCGAGACUCGCUUUCUAUUUGUGAAAAAUUAAUUUUAGAAAAGUUGGAGUCGCCACCUAUUUUAUUUUUAUUUUGAAGGGAAAAUAAAACAAGAAAGAAAAACCCUAAAAAGUGACUCCAUAGUUUUGGAAAAAGCAUGUCUUUGGGAAACCUGAGUCUAGGUCCGGGGAUCAUGUUACUUAUUGGGAAGGUACCUCUAGGAGGUAGCACCCCUCUAAGCCUUAUGAAGGUCUCUACUAACUAAAUUAAGGGAAGUGUGGCAAUAAAUCGAUUGAUCAUAGAUACCUAAGUAGACUAGGUGAUUUUAAAGUGUGGCAUGUCAAACACAAUCAAAUUGCAAUAAAGGAGAGUUAGGGCGCGUACCUGAACCGCUUCUCAAGCGCUAUCAUAAAACAUCAAUGGUUAAUUUAAAUAAUAUAUCAUCCAGCAUGUAUUUUAUUAGAAAUAAUCAAACAAUGAAACAUGUAUAUCAGAACACUCAAGCAUUAUUAGACAUAAGCAUUAUUUCACUAUUCACAGAAUUCAGAAAGUAGGUGAUAGAGGACAUACCUGGAUAGCAUAGAUAAUUUGUAAUGUGCUUCCUCAAGUUGUAAGGGGUUAGAUAACAAAUAAUAAAAUAUAGAAAUCCUAGCAUGCUCGUUAUCUAAUUAGCAUAGCAAAAGUGAUCACAGUAUACAGAAUCAUCAAUUAUCACAUACAUCUUGUAUAUAAUUCCUAAAAAAAAUAGAUAGACAUGAUUUCAACAAGUGUCAAAUGUGGCAACAAAAAUAAAUUUUGAAAAGAUUUUCUUAUGUAGGGGUUUCACCAAUUCCCCAAAUUAAUAUACACGAAUUUAGCUUAGAAUUAUCCCAUUUAUUUGGGACUACAAGCUUUGAUUCGUGUUUUUGUUCAAAACCAAAAAUUUUUGUUGAAAAUCAAGAAGGAUGCGAACCGAACAAGAUAUGGUUGCAUAUUAUUUUUAAAUAAAUAAAUAAAUAAAUAAAGGAGAUUUUGAUCCUGAGGACUUUAAUGAGUUUUUUUUUUUAAAAUAGAUUUUUAAAAUGAUUUUUUUGAGAAAAGUAUUUUAUUUUAAAAUAAAAGGGAUUAAUUUGGGAAAAAAAUAAAAUAUAAGAAAUAAAAUACCAAACAAAACAAAAAUGAAACCUCAAAGUAAAAUUUUUUUAGUAAUUAACAAAAAUGAUAAUGGUGAUGGUAGAGGGCAAUCUUCAUGAUUUUCCAAUGGCCUCAGAAAGAAAAUCAAAUUAAAUGAAGGAUCACUAACAGGCAAGACAUUCUAAAUUAGACAAACUAACAAAGUAUCAAUUCAUGAACUAACCGCUAGGAUUUUGAAAGCAUAUAAGCUAAGAUAAGGGUGAUCAGGAACUAAUAUUAAUGAUUUUGAAAUAAAAACUAAAAAAAAGGAUCAAUUCGGGUAAGGAACUAAAAUUAUAAAAGUACCUAAACUAAUUAUGACGAGUUUGACUAAAUUAAACUAAAAACAUGAACUUUCAAACAUAGAAUUAAUUUUACUAAUGAACCAAAGCAAACUAAAAAUAUGUACUUUCAAGCAUAGAAUUAAUUUUAUUGAUGAACUAAACUAUAACAAAUAUCUAAACUAAAUAUAAUGAAUCAAAUUAAAUUAAAGCAACUUAAAAACGCAAACUUUCAAACAUAGAAUCAAUUUUAUCAAUGAAUUAAAACUAUAAAUGUAUUUGAACUAAAUAGAUGAAUCAAACUAAAUCAGAGCAAAAUUAAAAAAAAAAAAGAACUUUCUAACAUGAAAUCAAUUUUAUCAACAAAUAAAUGAAUGAAUAACAAGUAAUUAAAAGAAUAGCUACUACAUGAAUAACUGAAUGAAUAAAAUUCAAAUGUUUUCAAUCUGAAGCAAUCAAUCAAAAUUAAAUAGGGAUCAAAUCAAAAUAAUCGAAAUCGGAAAAACAAUAUGCAAUCUUUCUAAAGGUUUAACCAGACAAUUGAAUUAAAAUUAUGAAUAGAAUAAAUUAAUAAACCAAAUCGAAACCUAAAUUGUACCUAAAAAGAUUAAUUAAUUAAACUAAGAAAUCAAAAUCAAUAACAAAACUAAACUAAGGAGUAAAUUAAGACAAGACUAAUUAAAUUAAACUCACAAACACGUUUUAACUAUCAUAUGGAUUAAAACAAAAUUAGCAUGGACUUAUGAAUUACGAACAAAAAUAAUCAAAACUAUUUUAAAAAACUCACCUCUAUUAUAAGAAAAAAUCUGCCUUUGAUGCGUUGAGGUGGCUCCCCUCUCUGUGUGGAUCUCUCUGCUCCCCAGAAAAAAAAUGUCUCUUCCUCCGUUCUCUUUUGUUUCAGCAAAAUAAUAUAUCCCCUGCUGUGGAUCUCUCUACUCCCAGAAAAUAAUAUAUUCUCUCCGUGUCCUAAAGUGGACCUAGGGUGCCUAAGUGGACCUAGGGUGCCUAAAUGGGCCUAGGGUGCCUAAAUGGGCCAAGUGUAUCUAAAUAGGCUUAGGGUGCCUAAGUGGGCCUAAGUCUAAGUGAGCCUAAGUCUAAAUCAAGACUACCAAGGAUCAUAAUAAGGGGUUAGGCAAUCCCUUAACCAAAGUCUCCAAGGUGGCUAAAAAAAAGUAAGUAGUAUGAGUAGCUAUGGGUCACCAAGGAACUACUGUGGAGCAUUGAAAACGAAUUUAAAGACAUGUGCCAAAGGGACAAAAUUGAGGGUCUACAGAUGGUUAGACACAUAGUUGCUCAUGGGAUAUUUGACUUUGGUAAACAAUUCAGAUUCAUAUGUGGGUUUAGGAAUACCUUUAUUAUGACGGUGUGGUAAUCGUUUCAUGAAUGGAUCAGGUUGCAAAUUAAGAACACCCUCAGCAAACAACGAUUGGUUUGGUAUUUCAGUGAAGACAUCUUCGAACCCAAAUUGUUGACCACUCAUAUCCAACUCACCCGCUUCCUGGUUCACUAGUUCAGAUUGUCCAAAUUCAUCAUUCUCAUAGAUAUGAUAAUCAUAAUCGAGAGUCUGAAUUUCCUUAUGGUACUCCCCCUGAAGUUCAGACUUAGAUGAAAAAUACAUCGAAUAUUCAUGAAACAGCNNNNNNNNNNNNNNNNNNNNNNNNNNNNNNNNNNNNNNNNNNNNNNNNNNNNNNNNNNNNNNNNNNNNNNNNNNNNNNNNNNNNNNNNNNNNNNNNNNNNNNNNNNNNNNNNNNNNNNNNNNNNNNNNNNNNNNNNNNNNNNNNNNNNNNNNNNNNNNNNNNNNNNNNNNNNNNNNNNNNNNNNNNNNNNNNNNNNNNNNNNNNNNNNNNNNNNNNNNNNNNNNNNNNNNNNNNNNNNNNNNNNNNNNNNNNNNNNNNNNNNNNNNNNNNNNNNNNNNNNNNNNNNNNNNNNNNNNNNNNNNNNNNNNNNNNNNNNNNNNNNNNNNNNNNNNNNNNNNNNNNNNNNNNNNNNNNNNNNNNNNNNNNNNNNNNNNNNNNNNNNNNNNNNNNNNNNNNNNNNNNNNNNNNNNNNNNNNNNNNNNNNNNNNNNNNNNNNNNNNNNNNNNNNNNNNNNNNNNNNNNNNNNNNNNNNNNNNNNNNNNNNNNNNNNNNNNNNNNNNNNNNNNNNNNNNNNNNNNNNNNNNNNNNNNNNNNNNNNNNNNNNNNNNNNNNNNNNNNNNNNNNNNNNNNNNNNNNNNNNNNNNNNNNNNNNNNNNNNNNNNNNNNNNNNNNNNNNNNNNNNNNNNNNNNNNNNNNNNNNNNNNNNNNNNNNNNNNNNNNNNNNNNNNNNNNNNNNNNNNNNNNNNNNNNNNNNNNNNNNNNNNNNNNNNNNNNNNNNNNNNNNNNNNNNNNNNNNNNNNNNNNNNNNNNNNNNNNNNNNNNNNNNNNNNNNNNNNNNNNNNNNNNNNNNNNNNNNNNNNNNNNNNNNNNNNNNNNNNNNNNNNNNNNNNNNNNNNNNNNNNNNNNNNNNNNNNNNNNNNNNNNNNNNNNNNNNNNNNNNNNNNNNNNNNNNNNNNNNNNNNNNNNNNNNNNNNNNNNNNNNNNNNNNNNNNNNNNNNNNNNNNNNNNNNNNNNNNNNNNNNNNNNNNNNNNNNNNNNNNNNNNNNNNNNNNNNNNNNNNNNNNNNNNNNNNNNNNNNNNNNNNNNNNNNNNNNNNNNNNNNNNNNNNNNNNNNNNNNNNNNNNNNNNNNNNNNNNNNNNNNNNNNNNNNNNNNNNNNNNNNNNNNNNNNNNNNNNNNNNNNNNNNNNNNNNNNNNNNNNNNNNNNNNNNNNNNNNNNNNNNNNNNNNNNNNNNNNNNNNNNNNNNNNNNNNNNNNNNNNNNNNNNNNNNNNNNNNNNNNNNNNNNNNNNNNNNNNNNNNNNNNNNNNNNNNNNNNNNNNNNNNNNNNNNNNNNNNNNNNNNNNNNNNNNNNNNNNNNNNNNNNNNNNNNNNNNNNNNNNNNNNNNNNNNNNNNNNNNNNNNNNNNNNNNNNNNNNNNNNNNNNNNNNNNNNNNNNNNNNNNNNNNNNNNNNNNNNNNNNNNNNNNNNNNNNNNNNNNNNNNNNNNNNNNNNNNNNNNNNNNNNNNNNNNNNNNNNNNNNNNNNNNNNNNNNNNNNNNNNNNNNNNNNNNNNNNNNNNNNNNNNNNNNNNNNNNNNNAACCAAAGGAAGCAUGUUCCAGACGUCGAUGCCACAACCAAAUUUCAGACUUUUUCUUCUCCUCCUUAGAUCCAUCUGCCAUCAAGGCUUGUUGCAACUUAUUUGAAUCCUUUGAUUGCAAGUCCAAGUAUAGAGUUUCCCCCGCUUAAUACGACAACCAAUCGUCUGUCUUGUUUGAAUGUCCUUAAUCACACAAAAUUCAGGCCAAAAAAUGACAAUACAAGAUAAGGCUGCAGUGAUUUGAGAAACUAACAAAAGAUUGUAAUCUAAAGAUGGAACAACUAAAACAGAAUCCAAAUUCAAAGUAUCAGUAAGAGUUAAGGAUCCUUCCCCAAUGACUGGGGUUGUGUUACCAUUGGCUGUGGAAACAAUUUUUUGUGAGGAAGGUCUAAGGGGUGAAACCUGUCUAGAAUCAAAAGUCAUAUGAUCUGUAGCACCAGAAUCAAUUAUCCAUGCACUAUUAAUAACAGGUGUAAAAGUAUUUAAAAACUUACCACAAUGAUCUGUAGCGGCUACUAAUGCAGAGACUUUCUCAACAACAUUAGUCUUUGUUUUUAUUUCGGUAACAGUUGCAAUCAAGGUUUUCUUGGAAUUCUUCUUCCGUUGAUCACGAUUAUUAUCAUUAAUAACAAAGUGUUGAUAGCCUAAACAUGAUCUAAAGGUCCAUGGUGCAAACCCUCGGUUCCUCAUUGUUUUCCUGGUCAUACCAAGAGUUGUUGCUUUGAAAUUGUGGGAUAUCCAGACUGGUGGGAUCAGUUUUAUUGCAGUGAGUGCAUUUGAAUGUUGACUUAUCAAUAUUAGGGCUUGUCUUCGGAUGGUUGAUUGCUGUUGGACUACCAUAGCGACAAAAUAUCCAGGAUUUCAAUUCCAGGGCUCUGAUACCAUCUUCAAAUUGAUGAAUGAUAGUUUUUCAUUCAUUCUUUCAUGUACAGAGUAUAUAUAGAGGGUAAUCACCAUUCUAAGAAUGGGAAAGAAUGAUACGAGGAAAUAAUGAUAUAAGGAAAUAAUAACUAAUAUCCUAAUAUCUCAACUUUCCUAAUAUCUCAAUAUUCCUAAUAUCUCAACUUUCCUAAUAUCUAAACAUUCAUAAUAUCUCAACACUAAAUGAUACAAGGAAAGAAUGAUAUAAGGAAAACAUUCCUAAUAUCUCAACACCACUUCAUGAUAUAUAUAGUUUCUUACCCUUAAUCAAUGGUUUCUAAGUGAAUUUAUAUAGAAAGAAAUCCAAACUGUAGACAGCAGUAUUGGUAACACUCAAUAUUCUGUAUAUAAUAGAAUAAAUAGCGUCACAGUGAUCGUCGCCUACAAGCAAGGUACAAAUACCACAAAGAGUGACCCACAUAGACAUUCCCCAACAAGAUGUAGUAGUGACUGACACAUAGCCACAAUUAACACGUAGAAAAGGAUAAGACCGGUGCACAGUAGCUCUUAUUUUACAUACUACUUAUGCCAACCAAAGUCACUCAGUUGGGAUGGGAGGGAGAUGGAGGUUUGUGCGGUGGCUUGUGGGGCGGAGUUGAUGGCUUCUUUCCAGGAGCUUCUGGCUUUUUCAUCGGAGCUGAAGGAGGCUCAAUCUUAUGAGGCGGCUUGUACGAGUCUUCUUUGCUCUCGAAAGGAGGGUGGCCAGGGUUGUGACCAUAAUGUGGUGGUUUCUCUCCCUUGGGAGGUUUACCAAUUGGGGUUGGUGGCUUGUGUUCUGGGAGUGGUUUCUCUCCCUUGGGAGGUUUAGUGGGUGACUUGUGUUCUGGAGGUGGCUUCUCCACCGAAGGCUUGUGCUCCGGUGGUGGCUUUUUGGUUGGAGGGGGCUUGGGGUAAUCAGCAAGAGAUGGGGUGGUGAGAACCACCAGUCCAAGGAACAACACUAGCAAGUAUGUGGGAGACAUUUUUGAGUUUGGGCUGAUCAGAUGAUGCAAAACUAAAGCAUUACGUGACCUUUUAUAGCAAGUAGCUCCCAAUACCUACUUGACACGUGUUACUGUGACCCAUAAAUAUUAUGGGGUCUAUUUGUGCCCUACCGGGUUGAAAACUUGGACAAUUGGGCAAGGACCCGCCUGACUAUGGAGGACUACUGAGGUGUGAUCACAGCUUUAGGAUUUUUCUUCCUCUGCAGCCGUCUUGCCGUUGGCAUGAUUUUCUUAAUCUCAAAUAAAGGCAUAGUUAUAGAGUUGUUUAAUCUCUAAAUGGGAUUUUAUAUAUCUUCAGAUAGCCAUUAAUACAUUUGAUGAAGAAAGAAAGACAAGUGCAUACAACAUGUAUACGACUAGCUUUCAUGGAGUUCAUUUAUGAUCAGUUUUCCUGUACAUGUAAACCAAGAUCAUAUAUGUUUUUGUUCCACAACAAUUUUGGAAUCUUGUUUAUCCGUUUUUAUCAUUAUAAUGUCACAUAGGCUGCCAACUUGGGCGCUAAAUUAAAGAUCCAGUUGGGCAAGUUCGUUUCAGAAUUUCAAUGGUGGAUUCAGGAAUUGUUUUAUAAGAUAUGCAAAAUAGUAGAGGGAUGAAUAGUGUUUCAUUAAGAAAAGAGCCCUGUAAAAAUAUUGUUUAAAGGUGCCAUAGAAACUAUAAUCAAUAAAUAACUUUUUUUCCCCAUGGGUGGUGUUUCUUGUGGGGAUCAGUGACUGGUUUGAGUCAACGCCGUGUCUCUUUAGUCCAGAAAUCAACUAUUUUAUGCAUUGAAUACAUCAACAAAGAAAAUAUGAAAGCCAAAUGACACCUCCCCCGCAAAAACUAAACCCUGGUUGCUAACUUUCUAUGUUUCAGUUCCAUUCACACAAGAAUAUUAGUUCAAGUUUGAGAAAAAUGGCGACUUACCUAGUGAUAACUCGGUCUUGGUUUGCGAUUUGACUUUAACGUCAUGGGUUGAAGCCUCCUACAAUCAUCGUGUAUGCUAGUUCAAAGCUCGUGGAAGAAGUUAUACAGGGAGGGAGAAACCUCCACAGCAAGCUCCAAAAGAGAAUUAUCACAUUGAAAGCUCCAGUUGAACACUGGGUGAAAGCCAUAACAAGAUUGGUUUUCUAUCGCUCUUUUAAGUAAUGGAAGAUUAUUAUCUCUGCUUGUCACUACAACCGUGCAUGCUGCUAGAUCUUUCUAGACACUUCAAACAGUGAAACCAAGUAUGAUUCUUUUUCUCUUGAGUGGGUCCACUUGCAUGCCAAUGAACGAGUUGAAAAGUUGGACAAUUGGCCACAGCGCGCACUUACCUUCUGGAACCGAAGGUCAGUGAAGUGGGGUUCCUUUUGGCCCCUUGUGUUUCUGUUCCAACCUACUCCAGGAACCGAAGUUCAGUGAAGUGGGGCUACUUUUGGCCUCUUGUGUUUCUGUUCCAACCAAACAAAAAUGGGAGGGAAAAAUAGCAUUAUGCUUGUGCUAAAGAUCAACGCAUGAUAGCUGAAUAAGGGAGAAAAAGGCAUUGCUAUCUCAAUUUCAUAAACUUGAUAAGUAGUGACAUUAAUAGUCUUCCUCAUAGAUGGAUACAUGGUUUUAUUUUAUUUAUUUAUUUUUAUUUUUUUGUUUUAUGUCAAUGCUAAUGAAUGAAGUGCAUUAGCUUGUUUUGUGACUAGAACUACAAAUGUCCAAAUUGGAGCUUCUCCAAUAUAUUUCUCAGUGAGUUAUUGAUUAGAACUCUUGGAUUGAGUUCCAAGAUUUGAAUCAGACCCCUCUAGCAGCUUCAGGGGUACGUAGCAACCUAUAGCAUAUUAAUGAAGACUUAGGAUUUAGACUUAGGAAUACAAAUUAAUAUGUACCUCAUGCUCUGACUAGCUUCCCUGCGUAUGCACAAAAUGGAGAUGACUCCCAAAAAAAUAGCAGAAUCGCCUUAGUAUGUUUUUGUGGUUAAGAUGAUUCUCCACUUUAUAUAUCCACAUUGGUUCAUUAUGCAAAUUAAUCAACUAAGCUAUUUUUAUUUUUUCUUAAAUGUGAAAUAGGAGCUCCAAAUUAACCUAACCAUUGGCCUGAUUGAAUUGAUUUCACUUGCAUAAUGUUAUAGUAGAAGUCCGUAAUUUGAAUUUUAUUUUUGCAAAAGGUAACGUAAAUGAAGCAUUGUAAUUAAAUUUAUUUGUAAUUACAAACUAAUUUUAUUUUAUUAAGAAUUAAUUUAAUUACUCAUUUAAAAUAAAAAUCAGUUAUACUUUUACCAAGAUGAUAAUAUUCAUAUUUUUCUAGUUAACAUAUAUAAAAUAGUACACUUUUUCAUAUAAAAAAAUAAUUUAUGAUUUAUUAUAAUGUUACUAUUCACAUUUUACUAAAUUGAUGGUACAUGAUAGUGAGAGAAGGGGGUGUCACACUCAGCUAAAGUUCUUUUCAAAAUAUUGCAUGGUGUUUAAUUUUAUGUGUCGGCGCGCGUGUGAAUGGAACCUGCAAAAGUCCAAAUUGGCGUUUCUCCAUUUUCCACAUAGGAUGGUGACGUUAAUAGACAAAGAUACAAUAUCUGUAGACAUUGCUUAAAAAUCGAUGUGAAGUAUUAGAAAUUACAGGGCACUGUACUGGGGGAGCGGCUGCCCCGCCAAAGGAGGAAGAAUGUAGCAAUUUCUUCUGUUAGCCAGGCCUUAGGAUUUAUGCAUGGGAUGCCUAAUAACAAACAGAGAAAAUAUACUUUUGGGGAAGGUAUCCAACAACAGACACCAUCAUUCAGAUGGUGGGAAGGUAUCCAACAGAUGCCAUCAUUCAGAUGGUAACAUAUAUAUACAUUUAUUAGUGAGUUUUUUUAAUACCUAUAAAAAAAAAUAUACACUUUGAUAUUGUGGCUGAAUCCAUUACAUACUCAACUAACCUUGCUCAUUAGGGAUUUGACUUAACAAGGGCAACGUUGCAGUACAAGCUCAAAACUUUAUGCAGGUGACAUUACAUUUGGUAAAGAAGAGGAAAAUAACGAAAGCCAUCCAUAAAAGCAAAAUUCCACAUGGGAUGAAAUUCACAAGCUUCAUUUACGAUAGAGUCGCAUCCAGGCAAUUAAUUCCACAUUAGACCGCCUGUUGACAUGUGUACCAAUCUUUUUUCAAAAAAUAUUUAUAAAUAAUUGAUACUCACAAAAAUAAUUUAAUAUUUAUAAAGGAUAAAAAAAUAUUUUCAAAUCUAUAACAAUUUAUAAAAUAUUAAUAAAAAAUUAUCUCUUAAACUUAGUAUAGUUUUAUCAGAUUAAACUUUUAUUUUGAACAAAUAAUUUUAAUCUAAGUUUUAAAUUCUAAAAUUAUUUCCUUAAAAUAAAAUUUUAAAAUUCAACACUUCAAUUGAAAUUGUCUUUUUAAAAAAUAUCUUCUUAUUUUAAUCCUUAUAAACUAUAGUUGAUUGAAAAUACUAUUGAAGUUCUCUCUUAAAAAAAAGUCUUAUUUUAAUCUUCAUAAAUUGCCCUUGAUUUGAAAAUAAAUUUUCAGUUAUCAUAUUUUAAAUAAUAUCUAUAUUUAAAAUACUCUAUUUAAAAAAAAAUGAACUAAUUUUAAUUAUAUUAUAUUUUAUUUUUUUAUAUAUUUUUAAUGAUAAACCAAACAUAGAAAAUCAUUUUUCUAAAUAUUUUAAAAUUUCUAAGCAACCAAACAUAAUCUUCAAAAUAAAAGGAAAAUAAGGAGGGACAUUUGAGAAAUGGCGAUUAAAAAAAAGUGUACAAAAGCUCAAUUAAUUUUCUUCUAGUCUUUUAUAUAAAAAAGUAAAGGAAUUGAAAAGUAUUGAUAUGUAAAUUAAUAUUUGGAUUUUAAUAGUAUUUUAUUUGUCUUUCUCUAUCUCAUGUAAAAGAGAAUUUAAGAUAUUUCCUAAAGCAAAGCAUUAGUUAUCUGCAAUCAGUGGUGAUCAUGCCCCAUGUCAAUUUCGGACCCAUAUCUUAAAACUGUAUAAUUUGCAUUCAAACAUUACUGAUUUCUCAGAUGUUUCAUACUCCACAGAAGAGCAUUGUUUGUGAAAGCAUGCAUUUAUGUUGGAUUUUGGAUGAUGUGGGAACUGGGGCAAGGAUCAUAUGGAAGAGUGGUCGAUUUUGUUCUGUACUUUAACAUUUGAAAUAGGAGAAGCUCGGGCAUUUGUGGGGCUUAAUUGAUUUUGAAGCCUGAAAUUGCGUUUCUGUCAUUUUGUAAAAAAUAUGGCAGAUUCCAUGCUCUCAUAUGUUUGGUCUGUGGCCAUGUAUAGAUGCCCCUUAGUGACCAGUUUGUAACUGUCAAUCAUAGUGUUUUGACUCUGGCUCAACAACAUCAGCCAUUGACGGAUUUUCAUACUUGCAAAUCAAAUAGUCUUCUUCCUCCCUUAGGAAUUUCGGUUUAAAUGUUAUUAAGCAUACAUUUGGCUGACAAUUAUUAACCACUUCAUGAUAUGGUUUCUUACCCUUAAUCAAUGGUUUCUAAGUGAAUAUAUGCAGAAGGAAAUCUGAACUGUAGACAGCAGUAUUGAUAACUCUCAAUAUUCUUUAUAUAAGAGAAUAAACAACGUCAUAGUGAUCGUCGCCUACAAGAAAGGUACAUUUCCCAACAAGAUGUAGUUGUGACUGGUACAUGGACGCAAUUAACUCGUACAAAAGAAUAAGACCAGUGCACGGCAGCUCUUAUUUUACAUGCUAAUUAUGCUAACCAAAGUCACUCAGUUGGGAUGGGAGGGAGAUGGAGGUUUGUGCGGUGGCUUGUGGGGCGGAGUUGGUGGCUUCUUUUCAGGAGCUUGUGGCUUUUUCGGAGCUGAAGGAGGCUCAAUCUUAUGAGGCGGCUUGUACGAGUCUUCUUUACUCUCGACAGGAGGGUGGCCAGGGUUGUGACCAUAAUGUGGUGGCUUCUCUCCCUUAGGUGGCUUGCCAACUGGGGUUGGUGGCUUGUGUUCAGGAAGUGGUUUCUCUCCCUUGGGAGGUUUACCAAUUGGGGUUGGUGGCUUGUGUUCUGGGAGUGGUUUCUCUCCCUUGGGAGGUUUAGUGGGUGACUUGUGUUCUGGAGGUGGCUUCUCCACCGGAGGCUUGUGCUCCGGUGGUGGCUUCUCCACCGGAGGCUUGUGCUCCGGUGGUGGCUUCUUGAUUGGAGGGGGCUUGGGGUAAUCAGCAAGAGAUGGGAUGGUGAGAACCACCACUCCAAGGAACAACACUAGCAAGUAUGUGGGAGACAUUUCUGAGUUUGAGCUGAUCAGAUGAUGCAAAACUAGAAGAAUUACGGGACCUUUUAUAGCAAGUAUCUCCCAAUACCCACAUGACACGUGUUACUAUGACCAUAAAUAUUAUAGGGUCCAUUUGUGCCCUACCGGGUUGAAAACUUGGACGCUUGGCCGAGGACACACCUGACUAUGGAGGACUAUUGACGUGUGAUCACAGCUUUUGGAUUUUUCUUCCUGUGCAGCUGUCUAGCGGUUGGCAUUAUUUUCUUAAUCUUAAAUAAAGGCAUAGUUAUAGAGUUGUUUAAUCUCUAAAUGGGAUUUUAUAUAUCUUCAGAUAGCCAUUAAUAUAUUUGAUGAAGAAAGACAAGUGCAUACAACAUGUAUACGGCUUGCUUCAAUCGAGUACAUUUAUGAUCAGUUUUCCUGUGCAAGUAAACCAGUUUUUUGUUCCACAACUAUUUUGGAAUCUUGUUUAUCAGUUUCUAUCAUUAUAAUGUCACAUAGGCUGCAAACUUGGGCACCCAAAGAUCUAGGUGGGCAAAUUUGUUUCAGACUUUCAAUGGUGGAUUCAGUAAUUGUUAAAAGGUGUUUCUUCAUUAAGGAAAGAGUCCGGUAAAAAUAUUGUUAAAAGGUGUCAUAGAAACUAUAAUAAAUAAAUAACUUCUUUUCCCCAUGGGUGGUGUUUCUUCUGGGGAUCAGUGACUGGUUAGGGUCACCCAAAAUGAGUCCAGAUUAAAAUUGGUUCGAGUCAAAGCAGUCUCUUUUGUCCAGAAAUCAACUAUUUUGCGCAUUGAAUGAAUCGAUAAAGAAAAAAUGAAAGCCAAAUCACACCUCCCCUGCAAAACCUAAACCCCGGUUGCUAACUUUCUAUGUUUCAGUCCUAUUCAUAUAGGAAUAUUGGUUCAAGUUUGAGAAAAAUGGCAACUUACCUAGGGUUUACUUGGUUUUGGUUUGCGACUAUUUACGCAACCAACCAUGAGUUUGACUUUAACGUCAUGGGUUGAAGCCUCCUACAAUCAUGUAUGAUAGUUCAAAGCUCGUGGAAGAAAUUAUACAGGAAGGAAGAAACCUCCAAAGCUAGCUCCAAAAGAGAAUUAUCACAUCGAUAGCUCCAGAGAUUCCCAAGGGAACUGAAUCAAAGACAAGUUCCUCACUUUUUCUUCUUUUGAGGCCAAAUAUGAACCAAGGAUCACACGACCUCAUUCAACUUCAUAAGUUUGAUUUCAUGCAGUUGAACACUGGGUGAAGGCCAUGACAAGAAUUGAUUAAAAAAUUCUACCACUCUUUUAAGUAAUGGAAGAUUAUUAUCUCUGAUUGGCACCACAACAGCACAUGCUGCUAGAUCUUUCUAGACACUCCAUGCAAUGAAAGCACAAUGGAUCUUGUAAUGAUAGAAACUAAGCCAUGCUACAGUACUAGAUGAGGGGGUAAAACUAGUAGACAUCUUUCUAGACACUCCAUGCAAUGAAAGCACAAUGGAUCUUGUAAUGAUAGAAACUAAGCCAUGCUACAGUACUAGAUGAGGUGGUAAAACUAGUAGACAUGGCUGGCAGUUGAUUACUACUCAAAAAGUACUCUUUUAUAGCUUGAAACUAACUGUUUUAAACACUUUUGAGUAGUAGUUAAUACCUUUUAACUUAAUUGGCACAUUAAGGAACCUAGCAAGGGUUACUAAUCAACAUUUGGCAAGUUUUGAUGUUUUUGGUAGCUAUUUGAUCAUUGAAACAAGCCAAGAAUGAGGGGGAAUUUUGUGAAGUCCAUGGCAAUGCAAGUUAAAGCUCAAAUACAUGAAGAAUCCAAGCUUUGGAGCACUUCAUAGCCCUUUGCCAAGCCAAUCAAAGAUGCAAGGAAGAAAACCAAAGGAAGAAAUCCAACAAUCAGCAUUUUGGCAUGGCUAUGUGAAAUUUCGCACACCAUGCGAAACCACAAGAGGCAGCCAAAGAAUUUCGCAUGGUAUGCGAAAUCUUCUUGUGCACUGACUCUGUUAGAUUUUUAUCUUCAGAUAUUUUGUGUAAUUUCCUAGUUUCUCCUUGUAACCAACUUAGAUAUUUUCUUUUAUAUCUUUUUUUAUAUUUUUUAGGUAACAUCAUAUAUAAGAGGAGAGACAUAAGGAGGAUAUGGAUGUUUUUCAUAGAACACUUGUAAAUUUUUGGUAGUAAGAAAUAUACAAAGCUUUUUGCUCUGCCUUACCUUCUCAAGGGAUGAGUGGCUAGGUUUUCUUGGAGUGAGGGAAGCUAGGUGAAGGACCUGAAUGCAAAGGUGGGAGUUUUCCUUACUUUAAAUGAAAGUAGUUGUUAAACAUUAAUGGUUUUUAUUUUAAGGUUUAGCUUUAAAUCCCUGAAAAACACCUUGAAUGGCCAAUACUUGGUAAGCUUUUUAGAUUCUAUGGAUGCUUAUUGCUAGAUCCAUGGAUGUCUAUUAGUUAUCAUUUACGAGCCAUUGGAAGGUGAUUCAAGGUGAGGGUCUUUAGUGUUUGAAGCCAUUAAUGGGAAGCAAUUACCAUUUUUUCAUGAAUCCUUUGGAUCAAAUCUUAAUUGCUAAAUAUAAAACCGGUUUCGAGAGAUAACCACCAUCCUUUAUGUUAUUAUCCCCAACGCGAGGAGAAGAUCCGAAAUCUUCCUUUUUAUCUAAGGAACCCGAUCCUAGUGACCUAAAGCUCCAAGAUACCUUUUCUUUGUAGUUAACUUCAUUUAUUGUUUUUGCUUAACUUAAAAUCAAUCUUUGCAACCACAAUUCCAUUUUCUUUAAAAGCUAAUUUUUAUAAGGAAAAACACCAUUUUAUUUCCUUCACUAAGUCAACUGUACGAUGAAAACCCAUCCCUGUGGACGAUCCUAGAGCCACUAUACUAUGUUAGCUAUGCUACCCUAGUGUGAGGUGAUUUAGGUUUUAUAAAUUUUUUUGAUAACACCCAUCUGAGCCAGAAUCAAAUGGCACGACUGAACCAGGGACGAAUCAAAUGACGCCGCUACCAAGGAUGGUGCCAAAGUACAUUGACAUGACUUUUGGUGAACACUUGUGAUCUUCACCACAAGUUUGGUGAUUUUUCUUUUACUAAUUUUUUUUAUUUUAGCUUAUCUUUUAUUUAGUUUUUAGUUAACCUUAAAUUUUUCCUAGAAUUGUAUUUCUUUUGUUUUCUUUGUUUUUGUUUCAGUGAUCUUUAGUUGUGCAUGCCCUAUUGGAUAAGAGAUAUUGAGGGAAUACUUGUGAAGAUUGAAACUCCUCGAGAAACUGAGUUAGAAGUGUGCUUGAACAUCAUGGAUGUUCCACCUGAAGACCAGAAUAGCCAACAUGGUUAAGAGGAUAAUUUCAACACAUACCGAUCCAUGAGGAACCGCAUACAUCCACCUUGUAUGAGUGCACCGUCAGGCAUAAUGCCUCCCACUGAGCAGCUAGUAAUCUGACCUCACAUUGUGCCACUCCUACCUACUUUCCAUGGGAUGGAGAGUGAGAAUCCCUACUCGCAUAUUAAGGAAUUCGAGGAGGUUUGUAAUACAUUCCAAGAAGGAGGAGCUUCAAUUGACUUGAUGAGGCUCAAGCUAUUUCCUUUCACUUUGAAGGAUAAGGCCAAGAUUUGGCUUAAUUCUUUAAGGCCAAGAAGUAUCCAAACUUGGAUUGAUUUGUAAGCCGAGUUUCUUAAGAAGUUCUUCCCUACCCAUAGGACCAAUGGUUUGAAAAGGCAAAAUUUGAACUUCUCAGUUAAAGAGAAUGAGAAAUUCUAUGAGUGUUGGGAGAGCUACAUGGAAGCUAUUAACGUUUGUCCUCACCAUGGCUUUGACACAUGGCUCUUAGUGAGCUAUUUUUACAAUGGUAUGUCUUCUUCAAUGAAGCAACUCCUAGAAACUAUGUGUGGAGGAGACUUCAUGAGUAAGAAUCCGGAGGAAGCCAUGGACUUUUUGAGUUAUGUGGCUGAAGUUUCAAGAGGAUGGGAUGAACCAAAUGCUAGAGAGGUGGGAAGAAUGAAGUCUCAACCUAAUGCUAAGGGUGAGAUGUAUGUUUUGAAUGAAGACAUUGACAUGAAAGCAAAGGUUGCAGCUAUGGCAAGGAGAUUGGAAGAGCUAGAAAUGAAGAACAUACAAAAAGUGCAAGCCAUUUCUGAGACAUCAAUGAAAGCUAUGCCUUGUUCCAUUUGUCAAUCUUAUAAGCACCUAGUGGAGGAGUGUCCUACAAUUCCAGCAGUGAGAGAGAUGUUUGGUGAUCAAGCAAAUGUUAUUGAUCAAUUCAAGCCUAAUAACAAUGCUUCAUAUGGCAACACCUACAAUUCAAAUUGGAGGAACCAUUCAAAUUUCUCUUGGAAACGAAAGCCACCUCAAUACACACAACCUACUCAAGCACCUUAGCAAUCCUCGAAUCUUGAACAAGCUAUUGUGAACCUUAGCAAGGUUGUGGGAGACUUUGUGGGAGAUCAGAAGUCCAUCAAUGCUCAACUGAAUCGGAGAAUUGACAGUGUGGAGAGUACAUUGAACAAAAGGAUGGAUGAGAUGUAAAAUGAUCUGUCUCAAAAGAUAGACAAUGUCCAAUACGUAAUCUCAAGGCUUACCAACCUCAACACAGUGUAAGAGAAAGGAAAGUUUCCUUCUCAACCUCAUCAAAAUCCUAAGGGUAUCCAUGAAGUAGAGGCUCAAGAGGGAGAAUCUUCAAAGGUGAGGGAAGUCAAAGUAGUUAUCACCUUGAAGAGUGGUAAAGAGGUUGAUCAACCCACAUCCAAGCCAAAGCAUAAUGAAGAGAGUGUAGCAGAAAAAGAAAAGAGAGGAAAAUAAAGGAAUUAGAAUAGAGAAAAAUACAAAGAAAGAUGACCAUGAGUCUAGUGUGGAUGAAGAGCCCGAGAGGAUGGUGAUCAAGGAAGAUAUGAUGAAGAAACACAUGCCUCCACCUUUCCCCUAAGCUUUGCAUGACAAAAAAAGAACCAAUAAUACAUCAGAAAAUUUUGAAGUAUUGAGGCAAGUGAAGGUCAAUAUCCCUUUGCUAGACAUGAUCAAACAAGUGUCGACAUAUGAAAAAUUCUUGAAGGACUUGUGCACUGUAAAGAGAGGGUUGAAUGUGAACAAGAAAGCUUUAUUGACCGAGCAAGUGAGUUCCAUCAUACAGUGCAAGUCCUAGUGAAGUACAAAGAUCCGGGUUGCCGUACCAUCUCAGUGAGUAUUGGAAGGACUUGUGUGGAGAAAGCUUUGUUGGACUUGGGAGCAAGUGUGAAUUUGCUAUCCUACUCUGUCUAUAAGCAGUUGGGAUUUGGAGAGUUGAAGCCAAUAUCCAUCACUCUAUCUCUAGCGGAUAGAUCAAUGAAGAUUCCAAGAGGGAUGAUCGAAGAUGUCCUGGUUCAAGUUAACAAAUUCUACUAUCCAGUAGAUUUUGUUGUUCUUGAUAUGGAUCCGGUUGUCAAAUGAACUAAUUAUGUUCCUAUCAUACUUGGAAGACCCUUCCUAGCUACAUCAAAUGCAAUCAUCAAUUGUAGGAAUGGAGUCAUGCAACUCACAUUUGUCAACAUGACAUUAGAGCUCAACAUCUUCCAUUUGUACAAGAAGCAUAUCCAUCAGGAGGAAAAAGAAGGUCUAGAGGAAGUGUGAAUGAUUGACACUUUAGUGGAAGAGCAUUGUGAUCGAGAAUGCAAAAAGAUUUAGUUGAGAAUUUUGGGGAUCUUGAUGAAAGGUUACUUGAACCCUCAGAUUUGCUUGCUACCCUACUCCAUUGGAAGAGAAGAGAAGAAAUUCUACCCUUAUUCAAUGAGGAGGAGACGCAAAGAGCUGCAAAGGAGAAACCCCCAAAACUUAUUCUUAAGCCACUACCCACAGAGUUGAAGUAUGUAUACUUGGAAGAAGACAAGAAGUGCCCUAUUGUUAUAUCUUCAACUCUUACCAUUCAUCAGGAGGAUUGUCUACUUGAAGUCCUUAGAAGAUGUAAGAAGACAAUAAGGUGGCUAAUUUCUUAUUUGAAAGGGAUCAGCCCUUUAGUCUGCACCCAUCAUAUUUACAUGGAGGAUGAAGCUAAGCUAAUUCAUCAACCUCAGAGAAGGUUGAACCCUCACAUGCAAGAGGUGGUUCGAGCUGAAGUUCUGAAGCUACUUCAGACCAGUAUUAUUUACCCCAUAUCAAAUAGCCCAUGGGUGAGUCCUACUCAAGUUGCGCCAAAGAAGUCUGGGAUCAUGGUGGUGCAAAAUGAUAAGGGAGAAGAUGUCUCUACACGCCUCACUACAGGUUGGAGGGUGUGUAUCAAUUACAGGAGGUUGAAUGCAGUGAUAAGAAAGGACCAUUUCUCAUUGCCCUUUAUUGAUCAGGUGCUUGAGAGGGUCUCUGGGCUUUUUUUUUUAUUGUUUCUUGGAUGGCUACUCCGGGUACUUUCAGAUAGAAAUUGAUGUUGAAAACCAAGAUAAGACCAUUUUCACAUGCCCAUUUGGAACCUAUGCAUAAAGGAGAAUGCCUUUCGGCUUAUGCAAUGCACCCGCAACUUUCCAAAGAUGCAUGUUAAGCAUUUUCAGUGAUAUGGUGGAGCGUAUUAUGGAAGUCUUUAUGGAUGAUAUCACCAUUUAUGGAAGUGCAUUUGAUGAAUGCUUGGUCAACUUAGAAGCUGUUCUGAACCGAUACAUUGAGAAAGACUUAGUGCUUAACUGGGAGAAGUGCCAUUUCAUGGUACACCAAGGGAUUGUCCUUGGGCACAUUAUCUCCAAGCAAGGCAUUGAAGUUGACAAAGCAAAGGUUGAACUCAUUGUUAAGUUGCCAUCCUCAACAAAUGUCAAAGGAGUAAGGCAAUUCUUUGGCCAUGUCGGGUUCUAUAGGAGGUUUAUCAAGGAUUUCUCUAAGCUUGCAAGGCCUCUUUGUGAAAUAUUGGUGAAUGAUGUUAAAUUCAUAUGGGAUGAUGGAUUUGAAAGGAGUUUUGAAGAAUUGAAGCUAUUUUUGACAACCGUACCAAUAGUGAGGGCUCCCAACUGGCAACUGCCCUUUGAAGUAAUGUGUGAUGUCAAUGAUUUUGCUAUAGGAUUUUUUCUUGGGCAAAGAGAAAAUGGAAAACCUUAUGUGAUCUACUAUGCGAGGAAGGCAUUGAAUGAGGCACAAAGAAACUACACAACCACCGAGAAAGAAUUGUUAGCUGUAGUUUUUGCCUUGGAUAAGUUUCGCGCUUACUUGGUGGGGUCCUUCAUCAUGGUUUUUACUGAUCACUUUGCUUUGAAGUAUCUGUUGACUAAGCAAGAUGCUAAAGCAAGGCUGAUUAGAUGGAUUCUCUUACUUCAAGAGUUCAAUCUCCAUAUCAAAGAUAAGAAAGGAGUGGAGAAUGUGGUAGCAGACCACAUUUCAAGGCUAGCUAUCGCACAUAAUUCCCAUGCUUUGCCCAUUAAUGACGAUUUUCUAGAGGGGUCUCUCAUGUUGGUGGAAGUUGUCCCUUGGUACGCUCACAUUGCUAACUACCUGGUCACGGGAAAAGUUCCAAGUGAGUGGAAAGCACAAGAUAAGAAGCACUUCUUUGCAAAAAUUCAUGCCUACUAUUGGGAAGAGCCAUUUCUAUUCAAGUAUUGUAUGGAUCAGAUAAUAAGGAAGUGCGUUCCUGAAGAAGAGCAACAGGGGAUCCUUAGUCAUUACCAUGAAAAUGCAUGUGGAGGCCACUUUGCUUAUCAAAAGACAGCCAUGAGGGUGUUGCAAUCGGGUUUCUGUUGGCCAUCACUUUUCAAAGAUGCCCACACCAUGUGCAAGAGUUGUGAUCGAUGCCAGAGGCUUGGGAAGUUGACACGCAGGAACAUGAUGCCUUUGAACCCCACUUUAAUAGUUGAUAUUUUUUAUGUUUGGGGCACUAACUUCAUGGGACCUUUCCCUAUGUCUUUUGGCUACUCUUACAUCUUGGUAGGAGUAGAUUAUGUUUCUAAGUGGGUUGAGGCAGUCCCAUGCAAACACAAUGACCAUAGAGUGGUUCUCAAGUUUCUUAAAGAGAAUAUCUUCUCAAGAUUUGGGGUGCCCAAAGCCAUAAUUAGUGAUGGGGGUACUCAUUUUUGCAACAAGCCUUUUGAAACUCUCCUAGCCAAGUAUGGGGUGAAGCAUAAGGUAGCUACACCUUACCACCCUCAAACUCAUGGACAAGUUGAGUUAGCAAACAGGGAGAUUAAAAACAUAUUGAUGAAGGUGGUGAACACAAACAGAAAAGAUUGGUCAGUCAAGCUUCUUAAUUCACUAUGGGCAUAUAGAACAACUUACAAGACCAUUCUCGGGAUGUCUCCUUAUCGCCUAGUUUAUGGCAAAGCAUGCCAUCUCCCUGUGGAAUUGGAAUACAAAGCUUGGUGGGCAAUCAAGAAGCUCAACAUGGAUUUGAGCAGAGCUGGGUUGAAGAGGUUCUUAGACCUUAAUGAGAUGGAGAAAUUGAGAAAUGAUGCCUACAUCAAUUCAAAAAUUGCAAAAGAAAAAUUGAAGAGGUGGCAUGAUCAGUUGAUUUCCCGCAAGGAUUUUCAAAAUGGACAAAGAGUCUUACUUUAUGACUCUAAACUCCACAUCUUUCCGGGCAAGCUGAAAUCAAGGUGGAUAGGUCAUUUUACCAUUCACCAAGUGCAUUCAAAUGGAGUAGUGGAACUACUCAACUCCAACAAUAUCGAGAACUUCAAAGUGAAUGGCCACCGUCUCAAGCCCUUUGUGGAGUCUUUUUCUCACAACAAGGAGAAAUUCAUCCUCCUUGAUCCACAUCAAGCUUAACAAGACCAAUUUUCUUGAUGGACUUAGUCUUUCUAAAGACUAUCGAGUCCAUAACUUUUUGUUUUAUUUUUUAUUUGAGAUUUUUUCGGUAUUGUUACUUGUUUUGUUUUUUAUUUUUCGUUUUAAUUUUAUUUGGUUUGAUUUAACUUAGGUUUUUGAUGAUCAAUUACAGGGGGGAUUUCAAAUAGAGGAAAAACCAAGAUAAUUCGCACACCCUACGAAAAUUUCGCAAGGCAUGCGAAAUUUAUGGCUUAUUUUGCAUGGGGUGAAAAUUUUCGUACAUCUUACGAACCAAUUUCGAACACUUUGCGAAAAUAAACCAACCCUGCGAAAUCAUUUCGAUUACUCUACGAAAUUUUCGUAGAGCAUGCGAAAAAUUUAGCACACCAAACACCAUUUCGCAUACUAUGCAAAAACCUAAGGGGUCUGCGAAACCAUUUCGCACCUCCAAAUCCAUUUCGCACAUUGUGCGAAAACCAAGAGGCGCUGUGCGAAAAUGAAAAGUCGCCCUGUCAUCCCUUUUUAAACCCCUCGAGCCCUAAAAUCUCCAUUUCGCAAGCACCCCUGUCCUUGCGAAUCCCUCAUUUUCCUCUACUACCUUGCAACCUCGUCCCUUUCCAUUUGAUAUUGUGCCCCGCGCACAUCUCAUUUCAGAGACUCGCACUCCGCGCCCCCUCAAAGCAUGGACUCGAGACCCACCUUCCAUUUCCGACGUGGCACGGACCCAAGGAGCCCUUUCUGCCCCUUCACUAAGACACACACCAAGGCAGAAAGCCUCCUUUGCUCAAGUGCCUAGUGAUUCUCCAUCUUAGGCCUCAGAGGCCUCGGAGGCCCCGUGGAUUCCACCUUCCGAGGGUAGAGCAGCCAUUGGUCCUUCCUCUUCUACUCCUUAGCGUAGAUACGAGACGAGGAGACCACCUACUACACAAGGGGCGACUACUUCGAGCCUUGAGAAUUCAGUACGAUGCCUUCCUGCCAAGAGGGUCAAGACUUCAGGUCCAAGUGAGUCAUCCAGAGCUUCAUAGCCUAAGCCUCCUGUAGAUUCCAAGGUUCCUACUGACAUAUCACCGGAGUCUAUUAUCAGAAGCCCGAUGCUCAUAGCACCGCCCAUUGAGGGCAACUCAGAUUAUAGAGCGAGAUCUUUCCACUUGGAGCUAUAUUUUGAUCAGGAGGCCAUACGACAGCAGCCUGAGCUCCGAGACUCUUAUGGCUUACUGCAGAGGUACCAUCUUGAGGAACUUAUGACUCCUCGUGAGUUUUUUUAUCCCAGAGUAGCACUAAACUUUUACCAGUCCAUGACUACUCGUGGCGUCCCGAGUCCUACCACGAUUCACUUCACCAUUGAUAGACGUCAUGGUAUCCUCAAGGCCAGACAUAUUACAGAGGCUCUACAAAUUCCUUUCGAGCUAGAGGAUCCAUCUGUUUUUCGCUAAUGGUCCCCAGUAUCUCAGAGGGACAUGGUCCGUAUUUUAUCUAGGGGAACAUCUACAGAUUCGAUCUUUCUACGGAAGGAGCUUCGACCUGGGAUGCUCCUCUUAGAUGUGGUGCUAUGCUCCAACCUCUUUCCCUUACAACAUUCGGUACAUAGGUGAUGAGCUAUUUUGGACGCUUUAUUCCGUAUAUCAGAGGGCUUCUACUUUGGCCCGCACCACUUGAUCAUGGUCUCCCUCAUCCACUUUGAGGAGAAGGUUCAUAGGAAGAAGCUUCAGAGGGUGGACACCAUUCCAUUACUAUUCCUGAGGUUACUUUGCCAGGUCUUGGAGUACAUGGGCUUUCCUACUGAGCCUCGGCUCGAGCUUUGCCGCCUUUGUCGAGAGUGAUCCACUCUCGACAAAUGGAAUUAGUUGGCGGGCUAUUCUGCACCUCCAGGAGCCCCUCCCAUGGUAGCACCUCCAAUGUCCCCACAGGCAAAGUAGGGCGAGCUCCCGGCAAAGACUGUACCACCAAUGCCCACACUUGAGGCUAUUUCUGCUGCUCUGCCUAUGACUCCUACUGUUCCACCAGUUGGUCCUUUUACAUCCGAGCCUUCCAUCACCAUCUCGGCUUCGGAGUUUCGCGCCCUUGUGCAUACCUUUCAGACACUCACCACCACACAUACUCCUCUCUUCUAGCAAAUGGUUGAGAUGUGUGCCCAUCAGGACCGGAAGACUACUAUACUCUGCCAAAUUCAGCAGCACCUAAGACUUUUGCCUCAACCUCAACCUAACCAUCCCAUAUCAUCAGAGCCUCUAGCUCCAACUGAGGAUACUAUUCCACCUGAGAACACUACCACAGUAGAGGUCCGGUUUCCACCACCUUAAGAGGCCACCACAGCUACAUCAGAGGAUGUGUCAUCUCCACUUGAGGCUCCCACUACUUGAUCAUAGGACAUAUCUUUAUCUUAUUGUAUUUACAUAUUAUAUUACUAGAGAUUUGUCCUUGUUUUGAUACUUUAUAUUCUGGGAUUGGAUGUAUUGCCUGAUGAUAUCUCAAUUGUACUUUCUCAUAUUAAUAUAUAGACAUCAAUUUUUUUUAGUAUACUUAGCAUUUUUCUAUUUCCUCUACUCAUUACUCUUUUGUUUUUUUUUACUCAUGUGGUUUCUCUUAUACAACUCAGACUCCAUUUCACUCAGGAGGUACCACUUCCUCCCUUUAUUUUCAAUUGCUCUUGAAAUAUUGAGUGCAAUGUUGAUCUUGGUUGGGGGGAGAGUUGAGGAAGGAAGUUUUGUUAAUAAUGCUAGGUUAAUUUGUUAAUUUAGUUACUUUCUGCUUAAUUUUAAAAGUUUUCACUCUACUUUCCAUGGUUAUUAAGGAAAAAUUCUCAAAAUGAAAUGGGAGAAAUCGAAUUCUUGCAUUUUUACUUGAAUCUUAGAAUUUGUAUCAUGCUUAUUAAAGUUGAUGAAUUAUUGAAACUCCUAUUGAAUUCAACCUUAUUUUUUCCACUUUAAUCUUACCACACACGGUGCACAUUAGGUUCCAGUUAUAAGAUAAAAAACUAUCUCACCCCCUAAACUUAGAAAAAUUUACACUUGGUACCUUUGACAUCGUUUUAAUAGUGUUGGGACACCUUAUAAAAGGCCAAUGAGCCUUUAAAAAAAAAAAAAAAAAAAAAAAGAGAAAGAACAAAGUAUUGCACUUGCCUUGAAACCUGAGCAAGAUCCGAGGGGUAUACAGUGAAAGUCUUUAAAACCUGGUGCCCUAAGCCUUGAUUGGUUGGGAGUCACCGACCUCAAUGCUCGUUAUAAGGGUGAAUAGGUGGAGUUUAACAUAUUGUAGGUGCUUGGGUAUUGAAUUUCAAUCUCAAAAGUCCGGGAAAAAAUCUAAGGAGUUAGUGGUCAAAAGAUCCUUAAAGCUUGAUGCCCUAAACCUUGAUUGGUUGAGAGUCAUUGAUGGAUCCCCGCUACAUGGACAUUUUAGAAAACAAUACCUUUAGCAUUGCACGCCUACAAUGAAAAAAAAAUGUGAAAUAAAAGAGGUGCGUUCUUAGCCUAUUGGAGGUUGGUCAGUUUGCUAAAGUUUGAGAAAUCUAGGUUGGGGGGAGAGAAUAGUCCGACAUACUAUAAUAAAAAACUAAUAACCUUAACACUUAGAUUUUUGUGGAAGAGUAAGGAUUGGACCUUUAGGGGUGGAAAUUCUUUUGAUGCUUAAAUUUGCAUAAUGCCUACUCUUUAUAAAUUAUGAUUAGGCAAGAGAUUUGAUGACUCUUGUUCAAAGUUGGGUUUUUCCUCUUUGAUGUUCCAUGAGAGAGUAUAAUCCUCAUCAUGCCACUUGAAAUCUUUUUGGAGUGAUUAACAUGAUUUUGUAAAUUAUUUUACUGUCUAUUUUUCUUUAUCUCUCUUUUAUUGCUAAUGGACUAGCAAUAUGUCAGUUGGGGGGAGUGAUUACUACUCAAAAAGUACUCUUUUAUAGCUUGAAACUAACUGUUUUAAACACUUUUGAGUAGGUGUUAAUACAUUUUAACUCAAUUGGCACAUUAAGGAACCUAACAAGGGUUACUAAUAAGUUUUUGGCAAGUUUUGGUGUUUUUGGUAGCUAUUUGAUCAUUGAAACAAGCCAAGAAUGAGGGAGAAUUUUGUGAAGUCCAUAGCAAUGCAAGUUAAAGCUCAAAUACAUGAAGAAUCCAAGCUUUGAAGCACUUCAUAGCCCUUUGCGAAGCCAAUCAGAGAUGCAAGGAAGAAAACCAGAGGAAAAAAUCCAACAACCAGCAUUUUCGCAUGGCUGUGCGAAAUUUUGCACACCAUGCGAAACCACAAGAAGUAGCCAAAGAAUUUUGCACACCAUGCGAAAUUUCGCAUGGUAUACGAAAUCUUCCUAUGCACCAACUCCGUUAUAUUUUUAUCUUCAGAUAUUUUGUGUAAUUUCCUAGUUUCUCCUUGUAACCAACCUAGAUAUUUUCUUUUAUAUCUUUUUUUUAUAUUUUUUAGGUAACAUCAUAUAUAGGGGGAGAGACAUAAGGAGGAUAUGGAUGUUUUUCAUAAAACACUUUUAAUUUUCUGGUAGUAAGAAAUAUACAAAGUUUUUUGCUCUGCCUUACCUUCUCAUUUUGUUUUCACCUAUCUUUCUAGCCAAACAACCUCUGAGAAUGAUUUCUCAGGGGAUGAGUAGUUAGGUUUUACGUUUCUUGGAGUGAGAGAAGCUAGGUGAAAGACCCAAAUGCUAAGGUGGGAGUUGUCCUUGCUUUAAAUGAAAGUAGUUGUUAAAUAUUAAUGGUUUUUAUUUUAAGGUUUAGCUUUAAAUCCCUUAAAAACACCUUGAAUGGCCAAUACUUGGUAAGCUUUUCGGAUUCUAUGGAUGCUUAUUGCUAGAUCCAUGGAUGUCAUUAGUUAUCAUUUAUGAGCCAUUGGAAGGUGGUUCAAGAUGAGAGUCUUUAGUGUUUGAAGCCAUUAAUGGGAAACAAUUACCAUUUUUUCAUGAAUCCUUUGGAUAAAAUCUUAAUUGCUAAAUAUAAAACUGGUUCGGGAGAUAACCAUCCUUUAUGUUAUUAUGCCCAAUGCAAGGAGAAGAUUUCGAAUCUUCUCAUUUGUCUAAGGAACCCGAUCCUAGUGACCUAAAGCUCCUAGAGACCUUUUCUUUGUAGUUAACUUCAUUUAUUGUUUUUGCUUAACUUAAAAUCAAUCUUUGCAACCACAAUUCCAUUUUCUUUAAAAGCUAAUUUUUAUAAGGAAAAGCACCAUUUUAUUUCCUUCACUAAGUCAACUGUAUGAUGAAAACCCAUCCCUGUGGACGAUCUUAGAGCCACUAUACUAUGUUAUCUAUGCUAUCCUAGUGUGAGGUGAUUUAGGUUUUAUAAAUUUUGUUGAUAACACCCGUCUGAGCCAGAAUCAAAUGGAACCACUGAACCAGGGACAAAUCAACAGCCUAUAUGGGAGGGACACAAGUUUAAUUGAUUUGCAUUUCAGCGUUAUAGAUAAGUAUGUUUUGGAAGAUUUGUUCUGGAAAUACUGCACCAAGUACGAUUCUUUUUCUCUUGAGUGAGUCCAUUUGCAUGCCAAUUAACGAGUUGAAAAGUAGGAGCACCUACCUCGUGCUCAUGGAACCGAAUGUCAGUGAAGUGGGGCUCCUUUUAGCCUCUUGUGUUUCUGUUCCAACCAAGGCGGCGUAGGGAAAAACAACAAUAUGUCUGUGCUAAAUAUCAACGCAUGAUAGAUGUUUUUUUUUUUUUUUUUGGUAUGUCAAGGCUAACGAAUGAAAUGCAUUAGCUUGUUUUGUGACUAUAACUGCAAAUGUCCAAAUUGGAGUAUCUCCAUUUCUCACUUCGGAUGGUUAACUUUAUAAACAAGAUAUAGGAAACAUGUGAACAUCUUGAGGAACAAUUCAAAUUAUUCAUUAGAAGUCCUGGGUUAAGUUCCAAGAUUUAAAUCAGACCCUUCUAGCAGCUUCAAGGGUACUUAGCAACCUAUAACAUAUUAAUGAAGAUUUAGGAUUUAGACUCCGGAAUACAAAUAAAUAUGUAUCUCAUGCUUUGACUAGCUUCCCUACAUAUGCAUAAAAUGGAGAUGACCCAAAAAAAAUAGCAGAAUCUAGCUUCCCUACAUAUGCACAAAAUGGAGAUGACCCAAAAAAUAGCAUAAUCGCCUUAGUUUCUGUGGUUAAGGUGAUUCUCCGCUUAAUAUCCACAUUGACUCAUUAUGCAAAAUCAACUGAGCUAAUUUUAUUUAUUUAUUUAAUGUCAAAUAGGAACUCCUAAUUAACUGAUUACUGUCGAAAAGUGCUAUUUUGUAGACCUAAUUAUAAGGGUUUUAAGCACCUUUGAGUAGUAAUCAUAUUCAUUUAACCUAAUUAAUUCAUUAAGCUCCUUAGUAAUUAGUUCUAACCAUUUUUAGUGGCAAGUUUACAUGUUUUUCAUCAGCUUAUGAACCAAUUCAAGCAUGCCAAUUGAUGGAGGAGCUACUUGGGCGAGUUAAGCAAGGAUUUUGGACGUUUACAGGCUUGAAUUUCAAGUGGAAACACGAGCACAAGCAAUGGGAACACCAUUUCGCAAGGGGAGGCAAUUCACCUUGCCAAAUGACCAAUUUCGCAAGGGGAUUUUCCUCAUGGUGCAAAAUUUGGUCAUUUCGCACCAUGAAGAAACCACCUUGCAAAAUUUCGCAAGGUGGAUUUAGGCACCUUGCGAAAUGCCAAAUUUCACAAGGUGGCUUUUCACCUUGCGAAAUUUGGACCUUUCAUCUUCCCCCCUUGCGAAAUGCCUUUGAAAUCCCCUGUUUUGAGACGCUGUUGAUGAUAUUCCACUGCCGGUUCUCCAAGAUAUUUUGCUUGACUUUUAGCUUUAUAAAUACCUAUUUUACCCUUGUAAUCAACCAAUGAAAAGGUUGCUUUUGUAAUAGCUCUUGUAAUUUAGCUUUUUAUUGUCUUUAAAUAGAGGUGAAGAGCCUCAGACACGAUCAUCUUGUAACCUGUAACUUUAUAAGUUAUAAGAGCACUUUUGUUCAUACGCUUCUUUUCUCUUUUCUUUCUCAUUUUCUUAGUAGCCAAACAUCCUUGGAGGAUGAAAUCCCCAAGGAUGAGAGGCUAAAACCUUUUAGUUUCUUGAAGUAAUGGAUGCCAUGUGAAGCUCCCGUGUCAGGAUGGAGAUUUCCAAGCCAUAAAUGUAAGUAGCUGAGCGUCAUAAAUGUUUUCAUUCAAAGUAAAGCUUUUAAUCCCUCUGACUUGCUUUGAAUGGCCAAUACUUGAUAACCUUUUGGUCUCAAUGGAUUCUUAUUGUUAGAUCCACUGACGUUCAUUAGUUAUCUCCUACGAGCCAUUGUAUUGCAAGUCGAGGAGAUGACCUAUACCAAUAAAAGAGCAUUUAUGAGGUUCAACUACCCUUUUUGUAAGUUUUCAAGGACUAAAACUCAGUUGUUAAACUCAUACCGGUUCGAGAAGUAAGCAUCACCUUAGUUGCUUCCCCAACUCGAGGUGAAAAGUCCCAAAAUCUCCAUUUUUACACAGUGAGUUAAGCAUGGCUAUCCAAAGCUUUAAGAAACUUCUUUUUCCAUCUUUUAACCUAUUUUCAUGUUAGUUUAGUUUACAACACCUUCAUCUUUUUAUGUUUUCAUCUUAACCUAAUUUUUAUUAAGAAAAGUUCACUCCAUCCUCCGAACUUCACCAGUUAAAGUAAAAACCCUUCCCAGUGUUCGAUCCUAGAGCCACUAUGCUAUAGUAGCUUUGCUACUUUAGUGUAAGGACCUUAGGUAUAAAUUUUGUUGAUACCCUUACAUGCCAAGCUACCAAGAGUCGGGUUAUCAUUAACCUAACCAUUGGCCUGUGUAAAUUGAUUUCACAUGCACAAUGUUGUAGUAGAAGUCCAUAUUUUGAAUUUUAUUUUUGUAAAGGUAAGGAAAAUGAAGCAUUGUGUAAUUAUAAAAAUAACUUCAUUGGAAUUCACAAGGUUCACCCAAAAUGGAGCUACAUCUGUAUUCUAUCCUACAGUAGACUAUAUAGAUUGUACAAUAGUAAAUUGCAAAUACAAUUAAUAAGUCUUGUGCUUCCUUACUAAUAAUCCUUUGACAUGAACAUUGCAGCACUAAGGUCCUCUUGGGAAGACACCUUGCACCCAUGAGAGCACUAAGAGGAAGCAAGGCAGAGUCAUGGGUGCAAUGUCAUGACUUGUUGUUGCACCAAGAGAGGCUUGGUGAUGCCAUGGUGUUGCAGUAGCAAGAAUGUUGCCUUGGCAGGGACACGAUCUAGGGAUAGAUGCCAAGAAAGGCUUAGCACUCACAUGAGUUGCACAAAGAUGAAUGUAAUAGAGCAUCAGAGAGACGUCUUGGCAAGUAAAUGAAUGGAUCCAAGAGACAACAACAUGAGGAGUUUCAAAUGGAUAAGGAAUGACUCAAAGACAUUUGAAAGCUACAAGUUGGAUUCUAAUUACGAUUGCAAUUUGAGUUUGAGUAGGAGUUUAGAUUUUGAUUGUAAUUGUAGUAUGAGUUGGACUAGGAUUGCUUAUCCUUAGUCAAUAUAGGAGCGGUUCGUGUCACCCUAUGAAAAGAGUUUGAGUAGGGACUAGGAUUGCUUACUCCUAGUCAAAUAUGGAGUAGGUGGUGCCACACCUAUAAAAAAAAGGGACAACAUGAGAGAGAGAGAGAGAGAGAAAGAGAGAGUGAAUUCACUAAAGAUAUUGUGGGAGUUUUGCUUUGUUACGUCUUGUAUUAUUACUUAGAAUAGGAAUAAAAUACAAGUUGGGGCUAGAGCCCCAUAAUUAAUCUCGUGUGCCUUUGUGGUUAUUCUUUAUUUGUCAUCUCGUGUGGAUUGGAUUAGGUUGACUUAGAGGGCUUCUAAGCACCACCUUUGUGGGUUAUUAUUUAUUUUCCAUCUCUUGUGGAUUAGAUUAGGUUGACUUAGAGGGCUUCUGAGCACCACCUUUGUGGGUUAUUAUUUAUUUUCCAUCUAUUGUGGAUUAGAUUAGGUUGACUUAGAGGGCUUUUAAGCACCACAUUUGUGGGUUAUUCUUUAUUUUCCAUAUCGUGUGGGUUGGAUUAGGUUGACAAGGAGAAAAAUUAUGUGGGAAAUUUGUGUUGGGACACUUACCAUAACCAAGUAAAAUCUACCAAGUCCUUUGUAAUAUCUUCAACAAAUAUUUUAGACUAGUUCUUUCAGUUAGUGUAAAGGAGGAAGAAGUGGUAUUGAUUCUAGAAAUAGGGUGUGUGUAUUUGAACUACAAUCCUUAUGAUCCUUAGGUCUCUAAACCUUCGUGAUGGGCUCCCUGACAUUUCAUAGGUUGUGCUACACAUGCGUUUGAAAUUUAGAGUGCGUUUGACAGUGAUUCCGGGAAGUGUUUUUGGCCUUUCUUACACUUGAAAAUUUUUAUUUUUCAAGUAUUAGAAAUGCUACAAACACUUUUGAAAAUUACUGUCAAACACACUCUUAGGAGCGCACAUAUAUAGUAGAAAACUAGAAAUUGUGGUUUUUUUAGGAUUUACUGUAAUGUCAUUAGGAGGGUAGUAAGUUGAAAUUGAGUAUGAACAAAUAUUUCUUUCUUUGGGAUGUUCUUCUAGUAGGUGCUGAUGAAACUGUUCUUUCUACUGCCAAUGUCACAUAUCAGCCAGAAAUUGAAAAUUUCAGUCAAGGUGUCCUCUGUUUUAGUGGUGAGGAAAGCUAGAAAUUUUAAGGUGAAGUUUUGUUAAAAACCUUAAGUAGCUGGGAUAUCAGGCCUGUUUUGCUUGAAAAAAAAAGUUGCAAGAUAACUCAUAUGCCAAACAGGUUCUGAUAUUGUGAAUCUAUCGGCAGACAUCAGUAAUCUCAUCUUCUGAGAUGGAUGUUGGGGGUGCAUGUGGUGGUGGAGGGGCAAGGUUUCAUUUGGUUUAUUUUGUUGAUGGAUAUUGUCUAGCCACCUGCGCCAAGUUUGAGGGGUGGUGGGUUGUGAUGACCCUACAAUUACUAUUAAUUUCUUCAUCUUUUACCGAUUAAAGUGUCCGAACAGUCGAAGUUACCCUUAUGCAUGUCAACUUGAUCACUUACCUCUUCAAUGGAGUUUAUGCUGGUUCAUUUAGGAACUGAUUUUUAUUGUUAUGUAUUAUAUGCUGAUGUUUAGGUCUCUCCAUCAUCACUAUAUACAAAAAUUCUAGGUUGAUACUAUAGGUUGAGAUUUAUUUUUUAAAUAAAAAAUAAUAAAAAUAAAAAUUAUGGUGAUGUUUAGUUGUUUUAUGGAAAAUUUUAACAAGUAAAAGUUAUUUUUGGGCAAGUUUUCAAACAAAAAGAAAAGUAAAAGUUGUUUUGACAAAAACAUAUAGAAAAAAAAAUCAUAGAAAAUAAAUAAUUUCCCCAUAUUCUAACUUUUUUGAAUUUUUCUCAAUGGGCAAAGGAAUAUCAAAUCAAGUUUGAGUAGGAUUUCUUAAUUUUUAAAAUAACUUACAAUUAAAAAAUUUUGGUGUUUUCAUUUUUGGACAAUUUUUUAUUAAGCAAAUGGACUCUGAGUCAUGCAAGAGAUAUGGUUCAUUAACCGGUCGAACAAUUUUUUUAAAUUAAUUUAAAAGUCAAAUACAUAAUCAAUUUCACAAAAUUUAUAAACAAAAAUAGGUUUAGAGAAGAUCUACACAUAAUUUUACUUUUCUAAUUUUAUUUUAUUUUAUUUUUUGUUGGAAAAUAGUCUUCAAAUCAUGUAAGAUUUAAUAGGUUAAAUUUGUUAACAAUAAAUUUUAAAUUAUAAAAUAUAAUCUGGAACUCAAAAAUCAAUUCAAGUAAUGCUAAAAAAAAAUCAAAUUUGGUAUAGAAUGACUUUGUAAAUUUUUUUACAAAACAAAUGAAUUUUAAAUCAAGUGAGAUUUAAUGCAUUAGAUUUUUAUCAAAUAUAGUAAUUUUAAAAAUAAAUUUGGAACUCAACAAUAGACACAAUAAAUACCAAAAAAUAAUGAACCAAAAUUGGUUUGGAAUAACUCCACAACCUUUUUUUUUUUUUUUUGGUGCACACGAAUUUUCUUACUAGGUAUAUUGCUUUCAAAUUGAGAAAGAUUUACCAUUUAGAUUUUUUUUUAAUGAGUUUAAUGGUAUUUUAAAAUAAUUCAAAAUUUAAAAAAUUGACUAAUUAAUAUUAUAAAUUGAUAAACCAAGACUAUUUCAAAAUGCAUUGGGGGCUAAGGGGGUUGAAAAUAGGGACAAUGGGAUGGGUUUGGGACAUGACACUCAUAUCUCAUUUCCAUUCCAAUUACACAGUUAUCUCCCAUCCUUAUCCCAAACUUGUGUUGGAGCAAGUUGAUUUGUUCCCAUCUUUGUUGACGAAAUGACUAAUAACCUCAUCCCCUCCUUAUCUUAGAUGUACAUUUUGUCAAAUUUGAUCAGGUAUGAUUGAUCCAAGCCCUAACCCUAAUUGGUAAUGAGUGAAUACUACACCUAAUUGCAUUCUUCUUUCAUUGCAAAAUAAUGAGAUUAUAAUAAUCUAGCAAAUAAGAAAAAAUAGUAUGGAAGUUCAAAUUAACACCAUAACUAUCAAUAAUUUUAAGCUUAUAGAUGACUUAAAUGAUUAAAAACUAAUGCAAAAUCCUAAAAAAAAUAAAAAUCAUAUAAAGAAUUCACAAGAGAACAGAAUGAACAAAAACCAAAUAUGAACAUGGGUCAACAUUAGUUAUGGAUUUGGAUUCCUUUCAAGGCCAAUCUUUGAACCAAGACUUCAUCAAAUCAACUACUUCAAAGGCUUUUGUGUUCUUCUUGGGUUGUGCUCUCAAACAAAGACUUCGAGGUGAUGUUCUAGAUGAUUGAAUUACACAUAUUUAGGGUGGAGAGAUUGGAGAAGCUUGAAGAUGCCAACGAUGGGUACAAUUGAGUGGUCAAUAAGAACAAUGUAGCCUAUGACUAGUUUGAUGUCAUGGUACAAGAGUUUUAGGCAUUGAGGUUAAAGCAAGAGCAACAUGGAAUUGAUUUCGGAGUCUUUCAGUUAGUGUAAAGGAGGAAGAAGUGGUGUUGAUUCUAGAAAUAGGGUUUUAAGUGGUGCGUGAUUACUACUCAAAAAGUGCUAUUUGAUAGCCUUUAAUUAAUCCUUUUUAACACUUUUGAGUAGUAGUUUAGGCCUUUUAACUCAAUUGGCAUGUUAAGGAUCCUUUAAAGCAAUUUUGAUCACUUUGUGCAAGUUUUGGUGUUUUUGUUAGUAUUUUGAUCACCAAAGCAAGUCAAGAAUGAGGAGAACUAUGAGGAAUCAUGGGCAAAGCUUAGAAUUCAAUUGCCAAGAGUGAAUCCGGAUUGCAAGGAGAAAAAGCAAAGAGAAUCUGUCAUGAAGCCUAUUCUUGAUGACAGUCGUAGCAGCCACUUUUGGAGCACUUUCUGAAGUCCAAAUGAUGCAAGCUAUAUACCAUUUCAAAGAUCAGGAAGUCAACAAUCCAAUGCUUCAAACGGUGCGCGAUUCGGAGUUGAAACGAAGAAGUUGCAGCCAUUACAAGCCAGUCACUCUAAAGUGUUGCGGAAUCAGCCUUUUGUUGCGAGAAUUUCGCAGCACUUUUGUACAGUAAGGUGUUUCUCCUUCUGACGAUGCACGAACCAUGCCGCGAGAGGGAAGCUAGGAACUUCAAGAUGGAAGCCAACUUUGCAGCCUGGUGAAGAUAGCUUGGUCUUGCGAAAUAAUUUCGCAGCCCUCUUGGGUGUCUGCGAAAUUUCGCAGGCACCACUUUUUUCCUGCGAAAUGGCUCCGGAAGCCUCCCGAAGCUUGCUACCGACAUUGGGAGAUAUUUUCCAUUAGAUUUUUGUUGUCUAAAUUCCAAAAUACUCCUUGUAAACCACCAAUUACAUGAUUCCUUAGUUUUUAAGUUAGUAAAAAGACCAAAUAUCUAUGUAAUAAUUAGUUUUAUAUUAGUUUGCUAUAAAUACCUCUCGGGAGCAUGUUCUCAGAGAGGAGUUCCUUCUGUAACCAUUUUGGUAAGCAAGUAAAGUCUUUUCUUUCUACUGCCUUACCUUCUCACUUUGUAUUUUCAUUUUAUUUCUAAGUUAUGAAUUCUCUGAGGAGCUUUCCCCAGAGAAUGAGUAACUAAACCUCCAAUUCCUUGGAGCUAAGGUUGCCGGGGAAGGUUCCAAGUGCAAGAAUGCAAAGCUCUGUGGUUUUAGCUAGUAAUGAAGAGGAAGUGAAAUCCUUUAGUGAUUUCAAUGUUUUUAGUUAACUUAAAACACCUUGGAGUCACCUGGGCCAACACUUGGUAAGGCAAGUGAUUUCCAACCGUGGAAAUGCACUAGUUUACCCCUUGCGAGCCUCUGGUAGGUGACUUCAAGGUAGGAUUUUCUGGAAUUACCAACACUUGGUAAGCUUUUGGACUCCUAGGAGACAUCCAUUAGUUAUCUCUUGCGAGUUUGUGAAGGGGAAUCCAAGGUUAAAGAUCACCUUGAAUGGUAAGUGCUCGUGAGAGGCAUGAACCAUUGCAAGUUGUAUCAGUGAGAGAAUUAAAGUGAAAUCUAAUUGAAGGAGUCUCUGUACAUCACCGGUUAGAGAAUUGACUAUAAGUUGAAUCUCUAAUGCGAGGAAAUGAACCAUCUGACCGGAGCUAUGUCUUUUGCAUGAGGAACCACCCCAGUGAACCUAAAUCUCCAAGGAAUGCUUUUCUUCCUAAAUUAUUCCAAACUUCUGUUAAGUUAGUUAGUUUAAGUCUAAACCUUUACCAAUCAAACUUUGUGUUUUAUUUCUUAAGCUAACCGUGAAAUGAAACAAAACCAAUUCACUUGGAAUUGGUAUCCUUGAUUGCUUGCAAAUCAUUCCCAGUGAACGAUCCUUAGAGCCACUAUACUAUAGUAGCUUUGUAUUUGCUACCCUAGUGUAUGGUGUUAUAGGUAUAAAUUUUGUUGAUCACUUCCUCAAUCAAGGAACACCAGCUGAACACAAAUCAGCUGAGACACCAAUUGGGCAUGAGUCAAAUGGCGCCGUUGCCGGGGAAUGAGUGUCAAGAUCAUUGUGAUACCAUUUUUGAGCACUUGUGAUUUUCAUCACAAGUUGGUAAAGUUUCUUUCACUUUACUAAUUUUCAUUCUCUCUUUGUUUAUUUACAAUCUAAGUUUAUCUUUUUAAAAUUUAGUCUAGUUUAAUUUUGCUAUUGUAGCCUUGUUUCUCUUGUUGUCCUCUGUUCUUGUUGUCCUCUGUUUUCAUUUUAGUUGCAGCUGAAUACUAGUUGUGUAUGCCAAAGUGGAUACGAGACAUUGGAGGUAGGCUUAUUAAGUGUGAUACACCUCAGAGAGGAGAAUUGGAAGUAAUCUUGAAUAUCAUGGAGGCUGCACCUGAAGAUCAGCAUAGUCACCAAGGUCGUCAAGACAAUCUCAAUGAAUUCAGAUCAAUGAGGGACCGUAUGCAUCCACCUCGUAUGAGUGCACCAUCAUGUAUAGUGCCCCCUACAGAGCAACUAGUGAUCAGACCAUAUCUUGUUCCACUUCUACCAACUUUCCAUGGGAUGGAAAGUGAGAAUCCGUAUGCACACAUCAAGGAAUUUGAAGAUGUUUGUAAUACAUUCCAAGAGGGAGGAGCUUCAAUUGAUUUGAUGAGGCUUAAGUUAUUUCCUUUUAAUUUAAAGGAUAAGGCCAAAAUUUGGCUUAAUUCUUUAAGGCCAAGGAGUAUCCGCUCUUGGACUGAUUUACAAGCUGAAUUCCUCAAGAAAUUUUUUCCUACUCAUAGAACAAAUGGCUUGAAAAGGCAAAUUUCAAACUUCUCAGCUAAAGAGAAUGAGAAAUUCUAUGAGUGUUGGGAAAGAUACAUGGAAGCUAUAAAUGCUUGUCCUCACCAUGGCUUUGAUACUUGGCUACUGGUGAGUUAUUUUUAUGAUGGUAUGUCCUCCUCAAUGAAGCAACUCCUCGAGAAAAUGUGUGGAGAAGAUUUCAUGAGCAAAAAUCCAGAGGAAGCUAUGGAUUUCUUGAGCUAUGUAGCUGAUGUUUCAAGGGGAUGGGAUGAACCAACUAAAGGAGAAGUGGGAAAGAUGAAGUCUCAGUUGAAUGCUUACAAUGCAAAGGCUGGGAUGUAUACUUUAAAAGAGGAUGAUGACAUGAAAGCAAAGUUGGCAGCUAUGACAAGAAGAUUGGAGGAGCUGGAGCUGAAAAGAAUGCAUGAAGUGCAAGCUGUUGCUGAAGCACCAGUGCAAGUGAAGUUGUGUCCCAAUUGUCAAUCGUUUGAACAUUUGGUAGAGGAAUGCCCUGCAAUUUCAGCUGAAAGGGAAAUGUAUAGAGAUCAAGCAAAUGUUGUUGGACAAUUCAGGCCCAAUAACAAUGCUCCUUAUGGAAAUACCUACAAUUCAAGUUGGAGGAAUCAUCCAAAUUUUUCAUGGAAGGCCAGAGCAACUCAAUACCAACAGCCGGAUCCACCAUCUCAACAAUCUUCAAGUAUUGAACAAAUAAUAGCUAAUCUCAGCAAGGUAGUGGGAGAUUUUGUGGGAAAGCAAGAAGCCACCAAUGCUCGAGUGGAUCAAAGAAUGGACAGAGUGGAUCAAAGAAUGGACAGAAUGGAGAGUAUGUUGAACAAAAGAAUGGAUGGAAUGCAAAAUGAUAUGAAUCAAAAAUUUGAUAACAUCCAAUAUUCAAUUUCAAGGCUUACAAAUUUGAAUACACUGCAAGAAAAGGGAAGAUUUCCUUCUCAACCUAACCAAAAUCCCAAAGGUGUCCAUGAAGUGGAAAGCCAUGAGGGAGAAUCAUCACAGGUGAAAGAUGUGAAAGCUUUGAUCACUCUAAGGAGUGGUAAGAAAAUUGAGCAGCCAACACCCAAGCCACAUGUUGAGAAAGAAGAAGAGAUGAAGAAAGGGAAGGAAAUGGAAGAUAAAGGCAGUGAGAUCAGUGAAGAAAAGAAGGACUCUGAUGCAACAAUGAAAGUAAUUCCAGAGAAGGAGCUUCUGAAGGAAGAAAUGCUGAAGAAAUCAACUUUUCCACCUUUUCCUCAAGCAUUACAGGGGAAAAAGGGGGUUAGAAAUGCAGCUGAAAUCCUAGAAGUAUUGAGGCAAGUGAAAGUUAAUAUUCCACUGCUGGAUAUGAUCAAACAAGUUCCAACGUAUGCAAAAUUCCUAAAGGACUUGUGUACUAUCAAAAGAGGGUUGACUGUAAACAAGAAAGCCUUCUUGACUGAGCAAGUAAGUGCAAUCUUACAGUGUAAGUCUCCUUUGAAGUACAAAGACCCUGGAAGUCCUACCAUUUCAGUCAUGAUUGGAGGAAAGGUAGUGGAGAAAGCCUUGCUAGACUUGGGAGCAAGUGUGAAUUUGCUUCCAUAUUCUGUCUACAAGCAACUGGGACUUGGAGAGUUGAAGCCAACAGCAAUCACUUUGUCUCUGGCAGAUAGAUCAGUGAAAAUUCCAAGAGGGGUAAUUGAGGAUGUAUUGGUUCAAGUAGAUAAUUUCUACUAUCCUGUAGAUUUUGUUGUUCUUGAUACAGAUCCUACUGUAAAGGAAGCUAAUUUAGUUCCUAUCAUCCUUGGAAGGCCAUUUCUUGCAACUUCAAAUGCAAUCAUCAACUGUAGAAAUGGGCUUAUGCAACUCACUUUUGGUAACAUGACACUGGAUCUAAAUAUUUUCUAUAUGUCUAAAAAGCAAAUCACUCCAGAAGAAGAAGAGGGUCCAGAAGAGCUAUGUAUUAUUGAUACUUUGGUGGAGGAGCACUGCAAUCAACAUAUGCAAGAUAAGUUGAAUGAAAGUUUUGUGGAUAUUGAGGAAGGUUUUUCUGAAUCUCCUAAUGGGCUUGCUACUCUACAAAGUUGGAGAAAGAUAGAAGGAAUUCUACCUUUGUUCAAUGAAGAAGAGGAGGCAGCUGUUGAAAAAGAAAUUCCAAAACUCAAUCUGAAGCCUUUACCUAUGGAGCUGAAAUAUACAUAUCUUGAAGAAAAUAAUCAAUGUCCUGUCGUAAUAUCUUCAUCUCAAACCAAGUCUCAAGUGAAGGAUGCAAGCUUCAAAUGGGAUCCGGGCAAACUGAAUCAGGAAGGGCAAAAAGUUUUGAUGUAUGACACAAGACUCCAUAUCUUUCCUGGGAAGCUCAAGUCAAGGUGGAUUGGUCCAUUUGUUAUUCACCGAGUAUAUUCCAAUGGAGUGGUGGACUUAUUGAAUUCCAAUGGCAAGGACAGCUUUAGAGUCAAUGGAUAUCGUCUUAAGCCGUUCAUGGAGUCAUUCAAAUCAGAAAAGGAGGCAAUCAACCUCCUUGAACCUCAAAAAGCCUAAGUGAAAUGGGUUUGCUGGACGUGGUUUUACCACAGUCCAAAAAUUUUUGUAAAUUUUGUAAAUUUUCAAGUUGUUUCCAUGCUUUUAAUCUUAGUUUUUGAUUUUAAAUCAUGUUUUUAGGUGUGUUUUAAUCGUUUUAUAUGAUCCCAGGCGGAAGAAAUUUCAAGGGGAUUGAAAAGAAAAAAAUCGGGUCGAAAUUGGAGCCGAAACAGAGCAAAAACAGGGGAAAAACAGAGCUCUGCGAAAUUUCGCAGGGUGAAGGAAACUUCUGCGAAAUUGGCAUUUUGCUGCCAAACCAUUCCGCAGCACUGUAGAAGCCUCUGCGAGUGUAUUUCGCAAUUGCGAAAGUGGAUUUGGCACACGAGUGCCACUUCGCAGCACAGUGACAUCAAUUUCGCAGCUGCGAAACUCACUGCGAAGUUGCUGCGAAAAUGGCAAGUUGCUGCGAAAUUGGCGUUUUGUUGCGAAACGUAAUCUGACCCCUGGGCUUCCGUUUUUCCUAUUUAUACCUGUCAAAAGUGCUGCGAAAAAGGUUUCAAAAAUUAGAGCACCAUUCUCGCAGCCCUUUCAUCUUCUUCGCCAAGCCACGCCGUCCGUUUCUCCGGUCGUCUUCUCCGUUUAGCAGCGCCGGCCAAAGAUCGAUAGCCCAAAAAUGGCACGAACGCGAGGGGCAAAGUCUUCAUCCCCUUCGAACCGCAAAAGGAGUCUGCGAAAGGAGCCAAGUUCAGGCUCUGUUCCAGAACCUGCUCCAAAGCCUUCGCCGUCGAGACCACAACCUUCUCCAGUGAAGCCGGCGCCACCAAAGCCGCCGGCAAGGCGAUAUUUAACCAGGUCAGGUGGUCAGCCAUUGAAGAAGAAAGCCAGAGUUGAGAGCUCUGAACCAAUCGAUUUGACUGAGCAAUCCCCUGAGAAAUCACCAAAUCCUUCACCGGUACAAAUUCCAGUGCCAUCACCGGUUCCCUCGCCAAUUCCCUCACCAGAAGCAACUCCAAUUCCAUCGCCGGUACCAUCUCCGGCACCCCAAGAAAAAGCUCAGGAGCCUCAAGCGCCAAUUCCAGAGCCCCAAAUUGCAGCUGAAGCACCUCUGGAAGAAGUGAUCCGAAGGCCAAUGCUGCCUCAGCCCCCAAUCGAAGGAAACCUGGAUUGCCGAACUCGGGCAUUCCAUUCUGAGCUUUGCUUCGAUUUAACAGCAUUCAGAGUGAGGCCAGAGCUUGCCCAAUCCUUCCAACUGCUGAGGAGAUAUCAUAUGGAGCAUCUGCUAGCUCCAAGGGAUUUUUUCUAUCCCCGGGUAGUCACGGAUUUCUACCAAACCAUGACAACCAAAGAAGUAAGAAAUCCAACUCUGAUUCAUUUCAUAAUUGAUGGAAGGCAUGGUAUUUUGGGAGCAAGACAUAUUGCUGAAGCCCUGCAAAUUCCUUUUGAGCCAACUCAAUUCGACAAUUUUAAAGCUUGGACAAAUCCUACUGAGUUAGAGAUGGUUAGCACACUAACCAGAGGAGCUGCAAAUCGAUCGCAUUUGUUGAGGGGGGAGCUACCUCCAGUUAUGUUUUUGAUUGAUGCCUUUUUGAGGCAUAAUAUCUAUCCCCUGCAGCAUUGGACCCAAAGAAGGGGAAUUCUCCUAGAAGCCUUGUACAAAAUGUCUGAAGGAUUCUUCUUUGGGCCUCAUCAUCUGAUCAUGGCAGCCCUUCUAUACUUUGAGGAGAAGGUUCACAAGAAGAAGCUUCAAAGAGCAGAUUGCAUUCCACUCCUCUUCCCAAGGCUGCUAUGCCAAGUUUUGGAGCAUCUCGGAUACCCCUCUGAGCCUCAGCAGGAAAGAAAGAGAAUAUGCCGUGAGCCUUUUACCCUUGAUAAAUGGAAUAAUAUGACGGCCUACAAAAUUGAUCAGCCUGGGCAGCCUCAGCCAGCAGCAAGGAGAGUCUCCCCAAGACAUAUACCUGAAGGUAUAACACUUGCUACUCCUGCCAUCCCUCGAGCUCCACCAGCUGCACCUGCUCCAUCACAGCCAUCCACAUCAGCUGAGCCGAGGAUGGCCAUCCCUAUAUCCGAAUAUCGAGAGCUGUGCCGUGCAUUGGAGACUCUUACAGCUUCUCAGAGCAAUCUUGCUCAGGAGUUGGCAGCCAUUAAAGCAUGCCAGGAGCAGAUGUUAGCCUCUCAGACUCAACAAGCUGCCAUCCUAAGGCAGCUUCAAGUCCAUUUCGAUCUGCCACAAGCUGUAGAGCCCUCUAUUCCUACUCCACCAGAGCCACACUCUCAGCCUUCAGAGUCUCAUCCUCCAGAACCCGAAGCACCAGCUGAUCCACCUACUGAGGAGGCAGAUCCUUCUGCCUAGCACCAUCACCCCCCUCAUCAGACAUUAUAUAUAUAUUUGCUGUUUAUGUUUUUAUGCAUGUUUGUUUUGUUUUAGUUGAAAAGAAAUCCCAGUAUUUUGGUACUAUAUAUGGGAUUCCUUGUGUUACUUGUCUUUAGUAUUGUAAUCACAUGAACUCAAAGUAAUACAAGUUGACUAUUUCUUGUUAAAAGUUAGCAUUAAAGUUUCCUUAUUUCCUUUUCUCACAUAUUCUAUUCUUUUUGAAACAUGUGGUUUUCCCCAAUCAAUAUUCGAAUUUGAUAUCAGCAUGGAGGUACCACUUCCUCCCUUUUAUUACAGUCACUCAAAUCACAUUGAGGACAAUGCUCAGUUCGGUUGGGGGGUAUGAGGAAGGAAGUAUUCUAAACCUUUUUGGUAUUGCAAUUAUAUUGGUUAAUUAGUUGUAGAUUUUACUUUUUACUAGUGUUACUCUAUUCUCCAUGAAUUUUGAGGAAAAAUUUUCAAAUUAAACCAAGAGAAAUUGAACUGUUGUUUUUCACUUGACUUAGAGUAUGGAUUAUGCUUACUAAAGUGGUUCAAUUGUUGAAACUUCUACUGAAAUUGAAUUGAGUUCUUCCACUUUAAGCUAUCCACACACUGUGCACAUUAGUUUCCGAUUAUAAGAUGAAAAGCUAUUUCCCUCUUGACUUAGUAUAUUUUUGGGACUUGGUAUAUUUGACCUCAUUUGAUAAAAAUUGAAACACCCUGCAAAAGGCCAAUGAGCCUUUGAAAUAAAGAAAGUUGUUUGCUUGCCUUGAAACCCGAGCAAGGUCUGAGGGGUAUAUGGUGAAAAUCUUUAAAGCCUGGUGCCCUAAGCCUUAAUUGGUUGGGAGUCACCGACCUCAAUGCUCGUUACAAGGGUGAAUAGGUAGAGUUAGCAUAUGGUAGAUGCUUGGGUAUUAGAAAUUCAUUCUUAAAAGUCCGGGGAAAAAUCCGAGGAGUUAGUGGUUGAAAGAUCCUUAAAACUUGGUGCCCUAAACCUUAAUUGGUUGGGAGUCAUCGAUGGACCCCCAUUACAUGGACAAGUCAGAAAGAGUACCCCAUAAAGCUACCUUAAAAAAAAAAAAAAAAAAAAAAAAAAAAAAAAAGAUGAAAGUGUGUUCUUUUCUUAUUGAUUUUGGUCAGUUUGCUAAAGUGUUGAAAAGAGAUAGGUUGGGGGGUGAGAUUAGUAGCAUAUUAUUCUCGGAACCUAAGGAACCAAUACACAUAGAUUUUUGUGGAAGAUUGAAGUUUAGUUCUUAGAAAAUGAAAUGAUUUUAAAACUUCAGUUUGCAUAAUGCACUCCCUUGAUUGACAGUGUUUAGCAUAGGUGUUAUGACUCUUGUUGAGAUUUGGGUUUGUAUUUCUUUAAUGAUUCAUGUGAGAAAUAGAUCAUCAUGCCACUUGAGAAUUAUUUUCCUUUUAGCAUGAUGUUGUAAAUUUUAGAUUAGUUUGCUAUUUAUUUUUUAUUUUCUCUCCUAUAUUGCUAAGGGACUAGCAAUAUGUCGGUUGGGGGGAGUGAUUACUACUCAAAAAGUGCUAUUUGAUAGCCUUUAAUUAAUCCUUUUUAACACUUUUGAGUAGUAGUUUAGGCCUUUUAACUCAAUUGGCAUGUUAAGGAUCCUUUAAAGCAAUUUUGAUCACUUUGUGCAAGUUUUGGUGUUUUUGUUAGUAUUUUGAUCACCAAAGCAAGUCAAGAAUGAGGAGAACUAUGAGGAAUCAUGGGCAAAGCUUAGAAUUCAAUUGCCAAGAGUGAAUCCGGAUUGCAAGGAGAAAAAGCAAAGAGAAUCUGUCAUGAAGCCUAUUCUUGAUGACAGUCGUAGCAGCCACUUUUGGAGCACUUUCUGAAGUCCAAAUGAUGCAAGCUAUAUACCAUUUCAAAGCUCAGGAAGUCAACAAUCCAAUGCUUCAAACGGUGCGCGAUUCGGAGUUGAAACGAAGAAGUUGCAGCCAUUACAAGCCAGUCACUCUAAAGUGUUGCGGAAUCAGCCUUUUGUUGCGAGAAUUUCGCAGCACUUUUGUACAGUAAGGUGUUUCUCCUUCUGACGAUGCACGAACCAUGCCGCGAGAGGGAAGCUAGGAACUUCAAGAUGGAAGCCAACUUUGCAGCCUGGUGAAGAUAGCUUGGUCUUGCGAAAUAAUUUCGCAGCCCUCUUGGGUGUCUGCGAAAUUUCGCAGGCACCACUUUUUUCCUGCGAAAUGGCUCCGGAAGCCUCCCGAAGCUUGCUACCGACAUUGGGAGAUAUUUUCCAUUAGAUUUUUGUUGUCUAAAUUCCAAAAUACUCCUUGUAAACCACCAAUUACAUGAUUCCUUAGUUUUUAAGUUAGUAAAAAGACCAAAUAUCUAUGUAAUAAUUAGUUUUAUAUUAGUUUGCUAUAAAUACCUCUCGGGAGCAUGUUCUCAGAGAGGAGUUCCUUCUGUAACCAUUUUGGUAAGCAAGUAAAGUCUUUUCUUUCUACUGCCUUACCUUCUCACUUUGUAUUUUCAUUUUAUUUCUAAGUUAUGAAUUCUCUGAGGAGCUUUCCCCAGAGAAUGAGUAACUAAACCUCCAAUUCCUUGGAGCUAAGGUUGCCGGGGAAGGUUCCAAGUGCAAGAAUGCAAAGCUCUGUGGUUUUAGCUAGUAAUGAAGAGGAAGUGAAAUCCUUUAGUGAUUUCAAUGUUUUUAGUUAACUUAAAACACCUUGGAGUCACCUGGGCCAACACUUGGUAAGGCAAGUGAUUUCCAACCGUGGAAAUGCACUAGUUUACCCCUUGCGAGCCUCUGGUAGGUGACUUCAAGGUAGGAUUUUCUGGAAUUACCAACACUUGGUAAGCUUUUGGACUCCUAGGAGACAUCCAUUAGUUAUCUCUUGCGAGUUUGUGAAGGGGAAUCCAAGGUUAAAGAUCACCUUGAAUGGUAAGUGCUCGUGAGAGGCAUGAACCAUUGCAAGUUGUAUCAGUGAGAGAAUUAAAGUGAAAUCUAAUUGAAGGAGUCUCUGUACAUCACCGGUUAGAGAAUUGACUAUAAGUUGAAUCUCUAAUGCGAGGAAAUGAACCAUCUGACCGGAGCUAUGUCUUUUGCAUGAGGAACCACCCCAGUGAACCUAAAUCUCCAAGGAAUGCUUUUCUUCCUAAAUUAUUCCAAACUUCUGUUAAGUUAGUUAGUUUAAGUCUAAACCUUUACCAAUCAAACUUUGUGUUUUAUUCCUUAAGCUAACCGUGAAAUGAAACAAAACCAAUUCACUUGGAAUUGGUAUCCUUGAUUGCUUGCAAAUCAUUCCCAGUGAACGAUCCUUAGAGCCACUAUACUAUAGUAGCUUUGUAUUUGCUACCCUAGUGUAUGGUGUUAUAGGUAUAAAUUUUGUUGAUCACUUCCUCAAUCAAGGAACACCAGCUGAACACAAAUCAGCUGAGACACCAAUUGGGCAUGAGUCAGUGCGUUAGAGGAUCAAGAAGAAGAAAAAGAAGGAACUGUUGGAAUUAGUAUGAGUGUGAAGAGAAAAGUAUAUAAAUAAGGGGAAGUAAAAGCAAAGUUCAAAAAGCUAUAUUUUUUUAUUGUUGGUGUAUGGUUGCAUGAUUAUCCCUAUAAAUAAUAGGAGUUUUUUGGUAUUCUACUAGUAGUUGAAGCAUAAUUUCAUAAAUUAAUAUUUAGAGCGGGGUGGGGUGAGUUGUGACAAAAUUCAUACCCGUCCCAAACCUUGGUUCAGAUUUUUAAAAUAUUCUCAAACUUAUCAUAUACCCAACUUUUAUAUUUCAUACUUGUCCUAAUAGAGGCACGUUAGGCCGGGUUACUUGAGUAACCUACAUAAUUGUCAUCCCUAGUUGAAAUACACUUUUUGGCAGUGGCCACCAACUGAGCUAGAAGCUUGAUUGAUUGACCUACAAGAUUAGUUCUCAUCAUUUUAAAAAAAGUUCUGGCUUUGGUUGUGAGUGCAAUUGAAUCUAAACUGGCAUUUGCUUAAUGCAUCUACUUCAAUCCUAAACUUCUUACUUCUUAAGCCUCAAUUGUUGUUAGGAUUUUGGAAAACCCAUUUCCUUAAAUUGUAAAUUUAAGAUAAAAUAAAAUAAAAGUGAGACAUUUCUUGAUUGAAUAUUGUUAAAGGUCCCUUGGCAUUAAGACUUGGUUGAAGCCUUGGAAGAUUAGUGGAACUCUCAACAUGUGUUUGAAUCUUGAGGAGAGUGGAUGUAAGCCAAAAUUUUGUCAAACCAUUAUACAAAUUGAGUUUGAAUCCUCAUUUCUUGAUUUCUUAUUUAUUUGCUUUUUCUUAUUAUUACUUGAAUUGUCAUUUGCAUUCAUUAAUGUUAAAAUUGGUUAUAAUUAACCAACACUAAUUCUCUUUCCCCUUCCCUUUCUUGGGUGUAAACCUAGGUUGGAUUAACUAGAUAAAUCUAUUAAGAUGGUAAAAGAAUAAUUAUUCUUAACAUACAUAAGAUCAUCUUCAAUCAAAUGACUCAUUGGCUAAUAUGUUGAAUUUGCUUAUUACUUGCAACUCAAAAUUGUGUUCUAGUUGUGUCAAGUCCCCAGUGUAUGGACAUUAAAUUUGUAGUACGUGAUGAGUAAUUAGAUGGUCCAACUCCAAGAAAGUGAUUGAAAAGUAGUUCAAGAAAGGUGCAAAAGGGAAUUGUUUUGGUAUUUUCGUUUUUAUUCUUGAAGGUGGCAGAGCUAAAAUUUGAGAAAUCAAGCAAAACAUACUGAAAUUACAUUGAAAGAAAGAAGAUGGGAGUUAAUGUCUUGCAGUACAUGAUAAGGACUUCAUGCAUGUAGUGUGACCCAUGUCUUGGACUGAUGCCAACUCACGGUUACACUUAUACCCUUGGUUCUCUCUUUACUACCUUGGCUAACCUAGAUCAGGCUAUGAGAUAGGCUCCUCACCACACCAUUACUUGCCCAUUAAUUAGAGACAUUUUCAAGCAAUGAGGUAACAUGGUGACACCAAGAGGGUCUAUUCCUCGCCCGGAACAAGUCUAGACUUGGUCUCAAAAAAAUGGAGAAAAAUGAGGUGUCGUUAUGUAGAAAUACAACAACCAUGCCUUCCUCAUUACUUAGAUUCAGAAUGUGAAGGUGAAAUUGAGAAACAGAAACUCUUGAAACCAAAAUGAAAAUUGAUACUUUUACGAAGAAUUACAACAACAUUAGAGGAAGACUACAUUCUUCCUCUUUAUUCCUACAUUUCUACACUACUUCUACUCCACUCCAUAUUUCUACAUACAUCUUUAAUCAGUCUUCCCUCCUUUAUAUAGAGCCAUCUUCACACAAAUUUCGCAAGGUAGAAAAGAGGAAUGAAACUUGGAGCAAGGUUCGACUACUGGUUGUAGCUUGUCAAGGCUGGAAGUGAACUUUUCUUGGCUUUCUGGGCAUGGGUAGUAACUUGUGGGUUCCUGUUUGGCAUAAAAAUGGCUAGAACAUGUGGCACUAUCUUGUUGGAUGAUGUGUCAAGCAUGUGGCAGCCAUCUAGUGGCGAUUAUGUCAAUUUUGGGAUGGAGAGUUGGCAUCCAAUUGCAAAGAAAUAUGACGUCUACCAACAUGCAAUGUAAACCUAUGUAGAUCAUAUGAAGAUAGAGAGGAAAAAUAUAGAAAUGGAUAUAUACCUAGAACUAGCUUUUUAUUAAAUGAAACGGAGAGACAACAAUGAAGGAAAAUAAAAUUUUUUGGCUUAUAUCAAAGAGUUCACAUUGUGUUACCCUAGGUUUUCUUAAAACUUACUUUUAUGAUAACAAAAAAGAAAAAACCAUUAUUGUUUAAUCCUUUGUUUUAAACGCAUGUAAGGUGUAAUUAAGUUAGUUCAAUGCAUUAAUUUAAGAAACUUGACCUAUCAAAAGUACAAAAUUAGAUGAAAUCCAUUUCAAUGGUUAAAAUGAUCAAAAUCAAACUUUUUCUAAGUAUUUUUUAAAAGCAUCAAUAGUGAAAGACAAUUUUAUAUUUAGUCGGAGUUUGGACAAAACUGAAAAACACACAAAAUCCAAGCGACCAUCUCUAGCUUGGAUGGUCGCUUGAUCCCACCUAGAGAUGUGCAUGAGUAAAAGGAUUUGAAAAUGGAAAUUGACUAUGUAGUCGAUCAAUUAACUUUGCAACAUCAUAUGCAAUCCUAAUUGCUAGUCAUCUAAUCAAUUAGGUAGUCAAUCAACAGGCCAAAAAUAUGUUUAUAAUGACUAUUUUGUACAAAAACCACCUGUAUAGUUAAAUAUAAUGCAUUUCAUUUAUAAAUCUUCUAAUUCUUGAAUAACGAUCCUAUCAUCCUUUGAAAGUUUUUAUUACACUUUUUUUACUUUUGUUCUAAAACUUACACAUCACCCUUAAUUGUACCAUGAGAACCUAGCUAUUUUUUAUUUUUUUUUUUGUAAUUCAUCAAAGUUAGCUUUUGUAUUCAUUGUUGUAUUAUUUUUAGUAUAACUUAGAAAGCUAGUGUUUUCAAGUGAGUAAAAUUAACUUGUAAAUAUUGUAAAGAUUCAUCGACAUGUAUCUUAAACUAAGUGUACAAGUUAAAACAUUUGCUAGUAGAUUUUCUCAAAAUUUAGAAUAGAGCUUGAGACUAUUGAAAUAGGUGGGGUUGCACCAAACCACAUCACAUCGUUGUUUGCACCUUUUUUCACUCUCUUUUACUUAGUUGCUCUAUAUUUGUUGUCUAGUAAUAUCCUAUAGGCUUGAUGGGUUAGGGAGCAUCCCUUUGUGAAAAAAUUUUAUUCAAUCCUUAGUUGUAUCACGCAUAUAUAAAAUGCCUCAUUGUUUUAAUGGUAUUCAGUCGUGGCAUCACAGAUAUGGGCAUCUAAAUUUUAAAAGUUUGAAACUUUUAUCUAAAGAAAAUAUGGUGCUUUGCCUUUUUGUAAAGCAUGUUGAUGAAAUCCAUGAGAAUUGUGUACUUGGGAAGCAACACCGAGAUGACUUUUUUUUUUUUUUUAUAAUAUUGUUUGUCCAAAUUCCCUACAAAUUAGGCCACCAGAUGUUCAUAAUUCUCCCUUCUUGAAUUUGAAAACUCGGACAAUUGGACAAUGCGACACCUAAGUCCGGUUUCUAAAUGCUAAAGUGAAAGGGUAGGUAUGGACCAUUGAAAUGUGAUCACAACUUUUCUCUGUAGCCAUGUUGUCUCUUUUUUCUUUUGCAUGAUUUUCUUACCUUAACAGAAUCAUAGACUUGUUUAGUCUCUAAAUGGGAUUAAUUUCAUCCAGCUUUAAGCUACUAUAUUAUAUCUAGGUGGAGGACUUUUAAGAGUGCAACCGACAUAGAGCACAUGGAAGUGGGUAUAUGGGACAUGAAAUUUCUUCUUAUAAAGAUUGCAUGAUUUUUAUAUUAGAGUUGUUGAGGCGCUAUGUAUUUAGCUUGUUUUGCAGUUAAAUUAAUUGGAUAAGUAGACAUUGGCGUUUCUAAAUCUACUGUGAAGUGCUUCAUGUACGUGUGAAGUAUUAGAAAUUUCUUUCUUGGCAACUUGUUUUUCUUUGCGGUCUACUGAUAGGUUUGACUAAAAUUAUAUUCCCUGUCAUGCUAAUUAAUUUUCACGUGCAUGCUCAAAAGAAAAGUAUGACCUUAGUGCACCAAAAUCACUUUGAUUAAUUUGUGAUAGGUUUUUGUGCAUCAUGACAUUAGCCUUAUUCAUUUAGAUAAUGUUUAGUUUUUAGAAAGUAUUAAGAAAAGGAAAAUAAAUAUUAAGAAAAAUAUUCUUAUAUUUGAUUGUAUUAUGAAAAAUAUCAUAAAAAAAUCAAAUAUAAUUUAAAUUAAUUAAUAAUUUAUACAUUUUCAAAUUAUUUAAUCUUUAUAUUGAAGAUAUAAUAUAAAUGAAAUGAGUUUUAAGUAUUAUAUAAAAGUGAUUUAUUGAUCUUACAUAUAUAUAUUUCUUUUUUUUUUCCUUCUAUUUUUUCUCUUUAUUUUAUUUUCCUUAUGUUUUCCUCAACAUUUUCCGGAACCAAACAUAGCCUUAGGAAAUCCACAAUUACCUUCAACUGAGUAGAUUCUGUUGUUUUAGCAAUGUUAGGCUGCUAACUUGUGUUGGUACGAACCUAUUAAGCCUAAAGAUGUAAUUAGUUAGGAUAUUCUUUUCCCUCUAGUCUUGUAGCUCCACGUGUACAGUUGGUUAGGACCUCAUUGUAUAUAAUGCUUGCCCUGUUAUUGUAGAAGACAACAAAGAUAAAUAAUAUUAACAUUUUUCCUCUCAUCUCUCUCUGUUUCCCUCUGUUUUCAUCUCCUCUCUCAUCUUGGUAUCAGAGCCUCCAUGGCUUCUUUCAAAGAAACCUCCGAAUCACCUUCUGCUAGCAUUGUUAAUGUGCAAAACCCAUUAUCUCAAUCAAACAACCUUCCUUCACCAGUAGCCACACCCUCUUUUUCUUUCUCGUCUAUGAAUCAACCUCUCACAGUGAAGCUGGAUAAUGGGAACUACCUCAUAUGGAAGAAUUAGCUUCUAAAUGUCAUCAUUGCUAACGGACUCGAUGAUUUCAUUGACGGAUCUCGACCCUGCCCUCCUCGAUUUCUCGAUCUGCAACAACAAACCCUCAAUCCAGAGUACUCAGCUUGGCAGAGAUACAAUCGACUUCUGAUGAGUUGGCUGUACGCAUCCUUGUCCAAAGAUAUAAUGGCUCAGAUUGUUGGGUAUUCAACAGCUAUGGAGAUUUGGAAUGCCCUUAAUCAGAUUUACUCUGCCUCUUCUAUGGCGCGGUUUACUGAGCUUCGCACCAAGCUUCAAACGCUCAAGAAAGAUGGACUCUCAGUUGGUGAAUAUAUUCAAAGGCUCAAAUCCAUUUGCAAUAGUCUUGCAGCAAUAGGAGAACCAGUUUCUGAGAAAGACCAUCUUAUCUAUUUGUUCAAUGGAUUAGAUUGUGAGUAUUAUUCUUUUGUUACCUCCAUUCAAAAUCGAUCUGACCAACCAACUAUUGACAAAAUCCAUAGCCUAUUGCUUAGCUAUGACUUCCGGCUUGAACAACAAAACUCUGUUUCUCUCCAUUCUGCCCAAGUCCAUAUGGCUCAUCUGAACAAGAAACCUUAUAAAUCAACUCCUCAACCUACAUUCAAUCAUAUUCACAUUCAACCUAGAUACUCUUCUCCACCUUUUAAGCCAACCACUAGUCAAUAUCAACCCAACAUUUUGGGCAAACCACAACCACAACCAUGACAGCCUCAACCUCAAUGGAAACCACAUUUUUCAAUCUAAAAUCAAAAGCCUCAGCGCCAAAUUUGUGGUAAAUUUGGACACACUGCUCUUAUUUGCUUCCAUCACACAAAUUUGAACUAUUCACCCCAACCUUCUCCUAAAUCUUUCAAUACUGUUCUCACCACAAAUUCCCAGCUCCCUAAUCCUCCAAAAUUUUCUUACCCUACAAUGGCUCAUCCUGCUGCUACGCAUAACACGGUUCCCGAUACAAAUUGGUACAUGGACUCAGGUGCUACACAUCACUUUACUCUGGACAUCAACGUGCUUGACACUGUGACACCAUUUAGUGGUUCAGAACAGGUGACAGUUGGGAAUGGUAAGCAACUCUGUAUCUCACAUCUUGGUACUGCAAAACUACCAUCUUCGUAUUCUCCUCCUGUUCUACAUCAGGUAUAUCACACUCCAAAAAUUUCAAAUAAUCUUAUUAGUGUUAAAAAAUUGUGUUCUGAUAAUAAAGUUUUUGUUGAAUUUUAUGCCACUCAUUUUCUUGUCAAGGAUCAGGUUUCGAAGAGAGUUCUCCUUUAGGGUCAACUUGAUAAUGGCUUAUACAAAGUUCAGUCGUCAUGCUCUCCUUCUGCUGUUUCCUUUCCUCCUCAAGUUUUCAUAGCCAACAUCAAGUAUCCAAAUCUGUGGCACAAGAGACUAGGCCACCCAGCUUUAUCUGUUGUUAAUCAAAUCUUGGAUUCUUGUAACAUUGCUCGAACACAGAAAAUUUGUUUUAAUUUUUUAAAUUCUUGUCAAUUAGCAAAGAGCCACAGGCUUCCUUUUUCUCUGUCUCCAUCCAUUGCAGAAAAACCUUUUGAGUUAAUUCAUACAGACCUAUGGGGUCUUUCGCUCGUUCGCUCUAUUUCUGGUGCUCUUUAUUUUUUACUUUUCAUUGAUGAUCAUACUCGUUUUACUUGGUUUUAUUUGCUCAAAACAAAAGAUGAAGCAUAUCCUACUUUUCUCAAGUUUCAAGCUCUCAUUGAAAAUCAAUUUAAUACCAAGAUUAAGGCUGUCCAAUCUGAUUGGGGAGGUGAGUUUCGAUCUCUCUCCAUACCGUUUUCAAAUAUGGGCAUUGUCUAUUGUUUAUCGUGUCCAUACACCUCACAACAGAAUGGGCGAGUUGAGCGAAAAAAUCGCCAUGCGAUUGUCCUUUCUUGCUUGCUCUAUGCCCUUAUCUUAUUGGCCUUAUGCCUUUCAAACUGCCACUUACCUUAUUAAUCGUCUCUCUACCCCUGUGCUGCAUCAUCAAUCCUCUUACUUCGCACUCUAUCACAAACUCCCAACUUAUACUCAUCUUAAGGUCUUUGGUUCCUCUUGUUUUCCGUAUUUGCACCCUUAUAAUACCCAUAAACUCCAAUACAGGUCACUAGAGUGUGCUUUUCUUGGUUACAGUUCACACCACAAAGGUUAUCUAUGUCUUGACAUUCAUUCUAGCAGGGUGUAUAUUUCUCGCCAUGUGAUUUUUAAUGAAGAUUCUUUUCCAUUCAAGAAUUUGAAAUCUUCUCUCUCUCAGUCUAUUUCUUCUUCCUCUUCUUUAUAAGUUCCUCUGUUCAUUCUCUUGCCUCCCCUUUCCCCAUCUCCUCUUAUUUCUUCAUCUAUACCUCAUUCUUUUCCCUCUUCUUCUUCUACCUCUAGUACUUGUUCCCCUCUCGUUGCUCCUACCUCUCUUCCUUCCUCUUCACACUCUGUGUCUCCAUCUAUUCCACCUCCUUCUCCACCUUCUCCGAGUGUGGACCUGCUUGCACCUUGUGUGAAUACAAAUUUACAUACUUCUUCUCGCACUCACAAUAUUCAUCCUAUGGUGACUAGAUCUAAGGUUUGUAUCUAUAAACCUAAGUUGUUGUUGAGUGUCUCCAUAGGUUCUCUCACUAAGCCUACUUCCUUUCUUCAAGCUAUUAAAGAUCCUUCAUGGAAGCAAUCCAUGGAAUUCGAGUUUGCUACCCUUCAACACAACAAGACCUGGCAUUUGGUUCCUUCACCUUCCUCAGGCGAAGUAAUCGGUUGUAAAUGGGUCUAUAAGCUAAAGCUUCAGCCUGAUGGCUAAAUUGAGAGAUACAGCCUGCUUAGUAGCUAAGGGUAUCAUCAAAUUGAAGUAUGGACUACUUCGAAACAUUCAGCCUGAUNNNNNNNNNNNNNNNNNNNNNNNNNNNNNNNNNNNNNNNNNNNNNNNNNNNNNNNNNNNNNNNNNNNNNNNNNNNNNNNNNNNNNNNNNNNNNNNNNNNNAGCUUCAGCCUGAUGGCUAAAUUGAGAGAUACAAGGCCUGCUUAGUAGCUAAGGGUUAUCAUCAAAUUGAAGGUAUUGACUACUUCGAAACAUUCAGCCUGAUUGUCAAGCUUUCUACUAUCUGUAUUGUGCUCAGUCUUACUUUUUCCCAGAAUUGGUGUAUUAGACAGCUGGAUGUUCAUAAUGCCUUCUUACAUGGUGACUUAGCUAAAGACGUUUUCAUGGAACAACUGCCUGGAUUUGUUGAUCCUCUCUAUCCUACUCAUGUCUGCAAGUUGGAUAAGUCUCUCUACUGUCUUAAAUAGUCACCUCGGGCUUGGUAUACUAAGCUGAGUACUUCUCGCUACACUUGGGAUUUGUUACUUCUAAGAAUGACUCUUCCUUAUUUAUUUGUCAUUCGUCUCAUGGGUUACUUCUUGUUCUUGUCUAUGUGGAUGAUAUAAUCGUCAUUGGGAGCCACUCUCCUCAGGUUACUCACCUUAUCCAACAGUUGCAUCAUUAGCUUUCUUUAAAGGAUCUUGGUCCUUUACAUUAUUUUCUGGGCUUGGAGGUUCAUCACACCCCUACUGGUAUUCACCUCAGCCAAGCAAAGUAUAUCACUGAUCUCCUUACCCGGGCGGCUAUGUUGGAUGCCAAGCCAUGUCCCACUCCUAUGUCCUCCAACACAUAUCUCUCUUUUCAUGAUGGAGUGGCUCUUGAAAAUGGUUCAGAUUAUCGAAGUUUUGUUGGUGCCCUUUAGUAUUGUACCAUGACACGCCCAGAUAUAGCUUUUGCAAUAAAUAAAGUGUGUCAAUUCAUGCACCAUCCCUCUAAUGUUCACUGGCAGGCUAUAAAACGUAUUCUCCGGUACUUAAAGGGCACAUCUCAUUUUGGUCUCUUCCUACAGCCUUCCUAUGACUUCAACAUCACUUGCUAUACAAAUGCCGACUGGGCUUCCUGUCCUGAUGACAAGUGUAGCACCAGUGGCUACUGCCUCUUUCUUGCCUCUAAUCUGGUUUCUUGGUCAUCUUCCAAACAAAAAGUGGUCUCCCGCUCCAGCGCCGAAUCAGAGUACCGAGGGGUAGCAAAUGGGGCUGCUGAAAUUGCUUGGACUGAAUCUCUUCUUUGUGAACUUUCCAUUACUCCCCCUCCCCUCAUUCUCUGUGACAAUAUCAGUGCCACGUACUUAGCUGCCAAUCCUAUUUUGCAUGCCCGCACCAAACAUGUGGAAAUCGACUAUCACUUUGUCACGGAACGUGUUCUUCAAUGCUCUCUUUUUGUCCAGUUUACACCUUCUGAUGAUCAACUUGCUGAUUGCAUGACCAAGCCUCUCUCCACCCAACGUUUCAUCACUCUACGCUCCAAGCUCACUGUUCUCACUAGACCAAUGAGCUUGAGGGGGGAUGUUAAGCCUAAAGAUGUAAUUAGUUAGGAUAUUCUUUUCCCUCUAGUCUUGUAGCUCCACGUGUACAGUUGGUUAGGACCUCAUUGUAUAUAAUGCCUGCCCUGUUAUUGUAGAAGACAACAGAGAUAAAUAAUAUUAACAUUUUUCCUCUCAUCUCUCUCUCUGUUUCCCUCUGUUUUCAUCUCCUCUCUCAUCUGAACCAAAUGAUCCAUGUUAACCUUGGCUUGGUUUGAUUUGGCUCUAUCUUAGAGAGCUCAAGGAUCACGUCAACUCUGGUUUCUACUAUUCAGGUCCAUUCCCAUAUGAACUGGUUCAAAUUUGAGAAAAUGGUAACAGACCUUUAGUGAUGUUGGUUUGGAGCCAGUUGCCAAACCCGCCCUGAGCUUUACCACUAAUGUCAAGGGAGAAAGCCAUUUGAACAAAAACAAUAGCUUCAAGGGACUGAAUCGUGGAUGAAAUCUGAUCCACAUUUCUUCUCAUUUUGGAAACAAAUGAGAACUUAACUAAGAAGAUUCUACGGCCUCAUAGUGCUUUUCCUGAUCUAAGGUUGGUUCGUUUCCCAAACUGUGAGAUGCACGUGCCAGACUUCAGAACUCUCACGCUCAGGAGUGUAUCCACGUGGUGGACAUAAGAUGGUGGCUUAAGAUCUGGUGUCGGUGGCUUUACUUUACUAGGAGAGUAGUGUGUCUUCAUCUCAUUCACUGCCGGAGGGUGGCGUAAGCAGUGACGCUAAGGUGGGGCACAGUCAAUAUCAUUUGCAUUUGACCAUUAUAGUUUUCUCCCGGCUUUAAAGUAACCUUAUCGUGAUAAAGGAUUACUAGCACUAGUUCAGAUGAUAGUCAUGUUAAAUUCGGACCAUGUUUGUGUCACAUUAUCAGCAACCAUGUGUUUAUGGUUCAUGCUUUCUGCAACUAAAAUUGAUAUAUAACCAGGUGAACUUCAAUCUAAAUUCUGAAAGUACUCAUGUGAUAGAUGGUGCCCGUCUGCAGAGUCCAUCAAUUGAAAAAUGGAGUGAGUGUAUCUAUAAGAGGGAAGGCUUGGAAAAUGUUCAGUUUUCUGGGAAUUCAACAAGGAUCUAAAAUAGAUUGUUUUCUUUGCUGAUUUCAAUGGUUGAAAUUUGAGAAGAUUGUGUCCACAUAACACAACUAUUACUGGUCCUUCUGUUGCAAUUUAUCCUCUAAAGCUCUAGCAUGUCUUCCAAUUCCCACUUCCCUGUUACUCCAGGAAAGCUAUUUCUGUCAUUGUGAAGAAGAAAAGAGAAUGUACAUAUCGAUGCUUUUAAGUGACUGGAGCAUUUAUAUCAGGUGGUCUGCAGCCAUAUAUGCCACUUUGUGAAGAUUGGAACAGUCAAUCACUAGGCUAUAUAUUAGUGUGGCCCAGCCACUUUAAUCAAGGACAAGUCUUCAUACUUAAAGUCAAAUUCUGCCUUUAGUCUCAUUAUAAAUUUCUGUUUAAAUAUUAAGCAAACAUUUGUUUAAUGCGAUUAAGACAGUACUAACUCAAUACCUGUUCUAUUUUUGGAUGCAAAUGCUUGAUGGUUUCAUCAUUGGAUGGGAUAAAGGUGCAUUCAUGAUUAGGAAUACUAGUAGUUAUAUUUUAAUUCUCUUUUUUCUCAAUGAGACUUGUUGGCACAAUUUUGCUGUUGAGAAACCUACCUCUCCAUGGAAAAUAAGUUGUGAUUGAUAGUACUGGAUAUAUUCAAGAAAUCUAAAUAUAGAUAGCACAAAAUAUUAUCGACAUAAAUAGCAUUAACAGCGUACGUAUGUCUCAGUGCUCAUCAGCUAUAAGCAUGGGGCAAACACUUACUAUGAGCAACUUACGUCAAAAUUCCAGAAUAGGACAUAGAAGUGACAGAUAUAGAACAUUGCAUAUGAGUCACAAGAAAGGAAAUUACGGGUGCAUAGCAGCUCUUAUUUUACAUACUACUACUCAUACUGAUCAAAGUCACUCAGUUGGGAUGGGUGGGAGUAGGAGGUUUGUGGGGUGGCUUGUGCGGAGGAGUUGGCAGCUUCUUUCCAGGACCUGGUUGCUUCUCUGCUGGAGUUGAAGGAGGCUUAAUCUUCCGAGGUGGCUUGUAUGAGUCUUCAGCAUUCUCAGCUGGAGGGUGACCAGGGUUGUGACCAUAAUGUGGUGGCUUCUCUCCCUUAGGUGGUUUGCCAACUGGGGUUGGUGGCUUGUAUGAGUCUUCAGCAUUCUCAGCAGGAGGGUGACCAGGGUUGUGACCAUAAUGUGGUGGCUUCUCUCCCUUAGGUGGUUUGCCAACUGGGGUUGGUGGCUUGUGUUCUGGGAGUGGCUUCUCCCCCUUGGGAGGUUUUUCCAAUGGGGUUGGUUUGUGUUCAGGAGGUGGCUUCUCCACUGGAGGCUUGUGUUCAGGAGGUGGCUUCUCCACCGGAGGCUUGUGUUCAGGUGGUGGCUUCUCCACCGGAGGCUUAUGCUCUGGUGGUGGCUUCUCGAAUGGGGGAUGCUUAGGAUAAUCAGCAAGUGAGGGGGCGGUGAGAACCACCAGGCCAAGCAACACCACUAGCAAAUAUGUAGGAGACAUCUUUGGGUUUGGGCUCAGAUGGUGCAAAACUAGGAGAAUUGGCUAGCCUUUUAUAGCGGAUCGUACCCAAUAAUGAAAUGACACGUGUCAUUAUGACCCAUGUGUAAUGGGGUCGAUUUGGGUCCUACAGUGUUGAAAACUUCGACAUCCACUUUUGGCCUUUUGCUUUCUCUACAGCCGCCUUGCUUUUUCCCUCUUUCCUUUUGUUUUCCUCCUGCCCCAUUCUAUCAACUAAACACAAUUAUGUAGUUGUUUAAUUCUUAAAUGAGAUAUUAUCCGUCAAUCGUAUUAUAUUUUAUCAAGAGAGAACGGAGUGCAAUGUGGCUGUAAUUUUAUCGUUUAGUUUUAUCUCUUGGACCACUGCAUUUUUGUUAAGAGGUGCAAUAAUACACGUCUUUAUCUGCCAUUCAAUAUUUACAGUAAAGAGAGGGCACAAAACUCUUCACUUCGCACCAUAAUUAUUUUGUUUUCUGGACACCCCGGGGCCCUUUGGUUGGUUUGGGGGUCAGAAAGUGAACAUCAUAGGGGGUUUUUCCCUUAUGUGCAUUUGUAUCUGAUGGCUUUAACUCGCCUUGUUACUACAAAGAAACUGUCACAGAUAGGAACUUAUUCCAGGCUGAGUAUCUCCUCAUAGACCCUAUAAAAGAAGACAAGUCAUAAUGAACAUCUAACCUUUGUUCAAUUUGAUUCAAUGCCCCCAUUGUGUCCAUCUCACAAAUCUGAAUUAUUAUAUCCAUUGAAUACAUAAAUUAAUGAAGAAAAUAUGAAACCCAAGAUACAUCUCUGCACAACCUCAACCCUGGUUGCUAUGUUUCCCUUCUAUUCACAUGAUUUGAUGCUAAUUGCCAAACUUGCAACAAGCCCUGAGUUUGACACCUAGUAUCGAUGGGCGAAUUUAAAGUCUCCUCCAAACAUAUAUUCCACAGCUUGAAGCUCACAGAAGAUGUUACAGGCAGGGAAAAACCUUCAGAGUUCGCUACCAAAGAUAAUUAUUAAGGAGAUAUCACAAAGAGAAUUCCAAGGGGUCUGAAUCAAAGACAAAUUGGUCGUUCGUGGGGGUUCUUACUUUCUUUUGGGUAUAACUCACUGAGGGCACUGUCUUUGUUAUUUGCAUUUCACAUUUAGAGUUCUGUUCUGGAAACAUAUAAAAGGAGCAUCAUUUUGUUCUUGGGUAACCCAUAGUCGUGAGUGGGUCCAUUUGCAUGCUACUUAGUUGAAAAGUUGGACCAUUUGCUCCGACGCCUACCUCCCGGAUUCCAUGCUCGGAUAAAACAAGAAUAAAAAAAAUAUUUAUAAUUUACAAAUGGGGGAAAGAAAAAAAUGUCAACAACAAACCAGGAAAAAAGAGUAGUAAAAUUCAUGUCACAUGCUAGUGAGAGAAGGGGUUGUUACACUCACUCGAAGUUCUUUCCAAAAUAUCGCAUGGUAUUUUAUUUUAUGUGUCAGCGCAGUUGUGAAUGGAACGUGCAAAAGUCCAAAUUGGCGUUUUUCCUUUUCCCGUGUAGGAUGGCGACCUUUAAUAAAUAUUUAAAACAAAAAACGAAAAAAAGGAGGGAAAAGGGAUCAGAAAAGAUAAAACAAUGUGUACAAGAGCUCAAUUAGUUUGCAAAUUACUGUUUGGAUUUUGAUAGUAUUUUAUUUGUCCAUCUAUAUUUGAUGGAAAAGAGAAUUUAAGAUAUUUCUGAAACAAAAGCAUUAGUGUAAAACUAAAUUAAGGUAUAAUUAAGUUAGUUCAAUGCAUUAAUUUAAGAAACUUGAUCUAUCCAAAGUACAAAAUUAGAUGAAAUCCAUUUCAAUGGUUAAAAUGAUCAAAAUCAAACUUUUUCUAAGUAUUUUUUAAAAGCAUCAAUAUUAAAAGACAAUUUUAUAUUUAGUCGGAGUUUGGACAAAACCAAAAAGCACACAAAAUCCAAGCGACCAUCUCUAGCUUGGAUAGUCACUUGAUCCCACCUAGAGAUGUGCAUGAGUAAAAGGAUUUGAAAAUGGAAAUUGACUAAAUAUUUAGUUGAUCAAUUAAAUUUGCAAUGUCAUAUGCAAUCCUAAUAGCUAGUCAUCUAAUCAAUUAGGUAGUCAAUCAAGUGUUUGUAAUGACUAUUUUGUACAAAAAACCACAUGUAUAGUUAAAUAUAAUGCAUUUCAUUUAUAAAUCUUCUAAUUCUUGAAUAACGAUCCUAUCAUCCUUUGAAAAUUUUUAUUACACCUUUUUUACUUUUGUUCUAAAACUUACAUAUCACCCUUAAUUGUACCAUGAGAACCUAGCUAUUUUUUUUUUUUUUGUAAUUCAUCAAAGUUAGCUUUUGUAUUCAUUGUUGUAUUAUUUUUAGUAUAACUUAGAAAGCUAGUGUUUUCAAGUGAGUAAAAUUAACUUGUAAAUAUUGUAAAGAUUCAUUGAUAUGUAUCUUAAACUAAGUGUACAAAUUAAAACAUUUGCUAGUAGAUUUUCUCAAAAUUUAGAAUAGAGCUUGAGGCUAUUGAAAUAGGUGGGGUUACACCAAACCACAUCACAUCGUUGUUUGCACCUUUUUUCACUCUCUUUUACUUAGUUUCUCUAUAUUUGUUGUCUAGUAAUAUCCUAUAGGCUUGAUGGGUUAGGGAGCAUCCCUUUGUGAAAAAAUUUCAUUCAAUUCUUAGUUGUAUUACGCAUAUAUAAAAUGCCUCAUUGUUUUAAUGGUAUUCAGUCGUGGCAUCACAGAUAUGGGCAUCUAAAUUUUAAAAGUUUGAAACUUUUGUAAAGCAUGUUGAUAAAAUCCAUGAGAGUUGUGUACUUGGGAAGCAACAUCGAGGUGACUUUAUUUUUUUUUCCUUUUAUAAUGCCACACCUAAGUCCGGUUUCUAAAUGCUAAAGUGAAAGGGUAGGUAUGGACCAUUGAAAUGUGAUCACAACUUUUGGCCUUUUCCUUUCUCUGCAGCCAUGUUGUCUCUUUUUUCUUUUGCAUGAUUUUCUUACCAAAACAGAAUCAUAGACUUGUUUAGUCUCUAAGCUACUAUAUUAUAUCUCGGUGGACUUUUAAGAGUGCAACCGACAUAGAGCACAUGCAAGUGGGCAUAUGGGACAUGAAAUUUCUUCUUACAAAGAUUGCAUGAUUUUUAUAUUAGAGUUGUUCACGUGCAAUGUAUUUAGCUUGUUUUGCAGUUAAAUUAAUUGGAUAAGUAAACAUUGGCAUUUCUAAAUCGACUGUGAAGUGCUUCAUGUACGUGUAAAGUAUUAGAAAUUUCUUUCUUGGCAACUUGUUUUUUCCUUGCCAUCUACUGGUAGGUUUGACUAAAAUUAUAUUCCCUGUCAUGCUAAUUAAUUUUCAUGUGCAUGCUCAAAAGAAGAGUAUGACCUUAGUGCACCAAAAUCACUUUGAUUAAUUUGUGAUAGGUUUUUUUGCAUCAUUUAGAUAAUGUUUAGUUCUAAGAAAAAUUUAUAUAAAAAUGGUUUAUUUAUCUUACAUAUAUAUAUAUAUAUAUAUAUUUUUUUUUUUUUCAUUUUUUUUUCUUCUAUUUUAUUUAUUUAUUUUAUUUUCCUUAUGUUUUCCUCACAUUUUCCGGAACUAAACAUAGUCUUACGAAAUCAACAAUUGCCUUCAACUGAGUAGAUUCUGUUGUUUUAGCAAUGUUAGGCUGCUAACUUGUGGUGGUACGAACCAAAUGACCCAUGUUAAUCUUGGCUUGGUUUGAUUUGGCUCUAUCUCAGAGAGCUAAAGGAUCACGUCAACUCUGGUUUCUACUAUUCAGGUCCAUUCCCAGAUGAACUGGUUCAAAUUUGAGAAAAUGGUAACAGACCUUUAGUGAUGUUGGUUUGGAGCCAGUUGCCAAACCCGCCCUGAGCUUUACCACUAAUGUCAAGGGAGAAAGCCAUUUGAACAAAAACAAUAGCUUCAAGAGACUGAAUCGUGGAUGAAAUCUGAUCCACAUUUCUUCUCAUUUUGGGAAAAAAUGAGAACUUAACUACAAAGAUUCUACUGCCUCAUUCAUAGUGCUUUUCCUGAUCCAAGGUUGGUUCGUUUCCCAAAUUGUGAGGUGCACGUGCCACUCUCACGCUCAGGAGUGUAUCCACGUGGUGGACAUCAGAUGGUGGCUUAAUAUCUGGUGUCGGUGGCUUUACUUUACUAGGAGAGUAGUGUGUCUUCAUCUCAUUCACUGCCGGAGGGUGGCGUAAGCAGUGACGCUAAGGUGGGGCACAGUCAAUAUCAUUUGCAUUUGACCAUUAUAGUUUUCUCCCGGCUUGAAAGUAACCUUAUCGUGAUAAAGGAUUACUAGCACUAGUUCAGAUGACCGUCAUGUUAAUUCGGACCAUGUUUGUGUCACAUUAUCAGCAACCAUGUGUUUAUGGUUCAUGCUAUCUGCAACUAAACUUGAUAUAUAACCAGGUGAACUUCAAUCAAAAUUCUGGAAGUACUCUUGUGAUAGAUGGUGCCUGUCUGCAGAGUCCAUCAAUUGAAAAAUGGAGUGAGUGUAUCUAUAAGAGGGAAGGCUUGGCAAAUGUUCAGUUUUCUGGGAAUUCAACAAGGAUCUAAAAUAGAUUGUUUUCUUUGCCGACUUCAAUGGUUGAAAUUUGAGAAGAUUGUGUCCACAUAUCACAACUAUUACUGGUCCUUCUGUUGCAAUUUAUCCUGUAAGGCUCUAACAUGUCUUCCAAUUCCCACUUCCCUGUUACUCCAGGAAAGCUAUUUCUGUCAUUGUGAAGAAGAAAAGAGAAUGUACAUAUCGAUGCUUUUAAGUGACUGGAGCAUUCAUAUCAGGUGGUCUGCAGCCAUAUAUGCCACUUUGUGAAGGUUGGAACAGUCAAUCACUAGGCUAUAUAUUGGUGUGGCCCAGCCACUUCAAUCAAGGACAAGUCUUCAUACUUAAAGUCAAAUUCUGCCUUUAGUCUCAUUAUAAAUUGCUGUUUAAAUAUUAAGCAAACUUUUGUUUAAUGCGAUUAAGACAGUACUAACUCAAUACUUGUUCUAUUUUUGGAUGCAAAUGCUUGAUGGUUUCAUCAUUGGAUGGGAUAAAGGUGCAUUCAUGAUUAUGAAUACUUGUAGUUAUAUUUUCAUUCUCUUUUUUCUCAAUGAGACUUGUUGGCACAAUGUUGCUGUUCAGAAACCUACCUCUCCAUGGAAAAUAAGUUGCGAUUGAUAGUACUGGAUAUGUUCAAGAAAGCUAAAUAUAGAUAGCACAAAAUAUUAUCGAUAUAAAUAGCAUUAACAGCGUACGUAUGUCUCAAUGCUCAUCAGCUAUAAGCAUGGGACAAACACUUACUAUGAGCAACUUACGUCAAAAUUCCAGAAUAGGACAUAGAAGUGACAGAUCUAUAUAUAUAGAACACUGCAUAUGAGUCACAAGAAAGGAAAUUACGGGUGCAUAGCAGCUCUUAUUUUACAUACUACUACUCAUACUGAUCAAAGUCACUCAGUUGGGAUGGGUGGGAGUAGGAGGUUUGUGGGGUGGCUUGUGCGGAGGAGUUGGCAGCUUCUUUCCAGGACCUGGUUGCUUCUCUGCUGGAGUUGAAGGAGGCUUAAUCUUCCGAGGUGGCUUGUAUGAGUCUUCAGCAUUCUCAGCUGGAGGGUGACCAGGGUUGUGACCAUAAUGUGGUGGCUUCUCUCCCUUAGGUGGUUUGCCAACUGGGGUUGGUGGCUUGUAUGAGUCUUCAGCAUUCUCAGCAGGAGGGUGACCAGGGUUGUGACCAUAAUGUGGUGGCUUCUCUCCCUUAGGUGGUUUGCCAACUGGGGUUGGUGGCUUGUGUUCUGGGAGUGGCUUCUCCCCCUUGGGAGGUUUUUCCAAUGGGGUUGGUUUGUGUUCAGGAGGUGGCUUCUCCACUGGAGGCUUGUGUUCAGGAGGUGGCUUCUCCACCGGUGGCUUGUGUUCAGGAGGUGGCUUCUCCACCGGAGGCUUAUGCUCUGGUGGUGGCUUCUCCACCGGAGGCUUAUGCUCUGGUGGUGGCUUCUUGAAUGGGGGAUGCUGAGGGUAAUCAGCAAGUGAGGGGGCGGUGAGAACCACCAGGCCAAGCAACACCACUAGCAAAUAUGUAGGAGACAUCUUUGGGUUUGGGCUCAGAUGGUGCAAAACUAGGAGAAUUGGCUAGCCUUUUAUAGCGGAUCGUACUCAAUAAUGAAAUGACACGUGUCAUUAUGACCCAUGUGUAAUGGGGUCGAUUUGGGUCCUACAGUGUUGAAAACUUCGACAUCCAGUUUUGGCCUUUUGCUUUCUCUACAGCCGCCUUGCUUUUUCCCUCUUUCCUUUUGUUUUCCUCCUGCCCCAUUCUAUCAACUAAACACAAUUAUGUAGUUGUUUAAUUCUUAAAUGAGAUAUUAUCGGUCAAUCGUAUUAUAUUUUAUCAAGAGAGAACGGAGUGCAAUGCAGCUGUAAUUUUAUCGUUUACUUUUAUCUCUUGGACCACUGCAUUUUUGUUAAGAGGUGCAAUAAUACACGUCUUUAUCUGCCAUUCAAUGUUUACAGUAAAGAGAGGGCACAAAACUCUUCACUGCUCUGCAUGUGUCCCAAAAAUGCGAUUGGACAAAUUAUGAUUUGCAUGCUAAAAAGAGGCAAAUGAGGUUAAUUCGCACCAUAAUUAUUUGGUUUUCUGGACACCAUAAAAAGAUGUUAUACAGGCAGGGAAAAACCUUCAGAGUUAGCUACCAAAGAUAAUUAUCAAGCAGAUAUCACCAAGAGAAUUCCAUAGAGUCUGAAUCAAAGACAGAUUGCUCGCUCGUGGGGGUUCUUACUUUCUUUUGGGUAUAACUCACUGAGGUCACUGUCUUUUUUAUUUGCAUUUCACAGUUAGAGUUCUGCUCUGGAAGGUUUGUUCUGGAAACAUAUAAAAGGAGCAUCAUUUUGUUCUUGGGUAACCCAUAGUCGUGAGUGGGUCCAUUUGCAUGCUACUUAGUUGAAAAGUUGGACAAUUUGCUCCGACGCCUACCUCCUGGAUUCCAUGCUCGGUAAAACAAGAAUAAAAAAAAAUAUAUAAUUUACAAAUGGGGGAAAGAAAAAAUGUCGGAAAAAAUAGUAAAAUUCAUGUCACAUGCUAGUGAGAGAAGGGGUUGUUACACUCACUCGAAGUUCUUUUCAAAAUAUCGAAUGGUAUUUUACUUUAUGUGUCAGCGCAGUUGUGAAUGGAACGUGCAAAAGUCCAAAUUGGCGUUUUUAUUUUUCCCAUGUAGGAUGGUGACCUUUAAUAAAUAUUUAAAACAAAAGACGAAAAAAAAAAGGAGGGAAAAGGGAUCACAAAAGAUAAAAUAAUGUUUACAAAAGCUCAAUUAGUUUGCAAAUUACUGUUUGGAUUUUGAUAGUAUUUUAUUUGUCGUUCUAUAUUUGAUGUAAAAGAGAAUUUAAGAUAUUUCCGAAGCAAAAGCAUUAGUUUGCUCUGUGAUGUCCCACAUCGAAUAGGGGAGAAAGUUUCUGGCGCUAUAUAUGUAGAGGCUCCUCUUAACCAAGUAGAUGCGUUUUAAAACCAUGAGGGCCCCCUUAGGUCCAAAGCGGACAAUAUCUACAUGAUUGGGUGUAAGUCAUUACAAAUGGUAUCAGAGCCGAUCCCCGACCCCGGUGUGGGGGUUUGUUUGGCCCUGUAAGGGGUGUUUGUCUGUUUGACCCCACAAUCCCAUGGGACACAACGAGGACGUUGUGUCUGCAUGGGGGGGCGUUUGUGAUGUCCCACAUCGGAUAGGGGAGAAAGUUCCUAGUGCUAUAUAUGUAGAUGUUUCUCUUAACCAAGUAGAUGCAUUUUAAAAUUGUGAGGGCCUCUUUGGGCCCAAAGCGGACAAUAUCUACAUGGUUGAGUGUAAGUCAUUACAUGCUCCAUGUCAAUUUCAGCAUUUCUCAUAUGUUUCACACAUACACAGAAGAGCAUCGUUUUUUAAAGCAUGCAUUUAUGUUGGAUUAAUUUGGAUUUUGUGGGAACUGGGGCAAGGAUCACAUGGAAGAGAGGUUGACUUUUUUCAGUACUUCAAUGGUUGAAAUAUGUGAAGGCUUGAUUGAUACUAAAGCUUGAAAUUGCGACUCUGUCAUUUGUAAAAAAAUAUGACAGCUUCCAUGCUCUCGUUUGGUUGCAUUGUCCGGUCGAGAGGUGCAAAAAGCAUUCUCUCUCUUCUAAUAGUCUUUUCGUUUAAAUCAAGGGAUUUGCCUUCCCGGUCGAGGUCCAAUAGAGGGUAACGGUCACCUACUAAACAUUAAAUGCUCCAACAACUAGUGAACUGAUCGACCCCAGCUCGACUAGUUGAGGUUACUUUUUGGUUUUCUUGUCUCCCGAGGUUAGAAACCUAUAAAUAGAGAGCUUCACUUCAUUUAUGAGUAAGAGAACACCUAAAUUUAUUUGUUUACCUACUUGUUUUUGCCAUAAAAGCUCUCAUUUCUUUUCUUGGUGUAUUAAAUCUCCAUUUGCAUAUCCUUUAGUGCACCUUUGUGAUUCAUUCUAGCCUUGAGUUGUAUUUAAGCCUUUGUUGAGCUAGGUUGAGAGUUUCAUACUUGUUUAUUGAGUGUUAAAGCCUUCAAGUGAGUUAAAACUUGAAGAGAUUGUGUAAGAGCCCAUUGGAGUCGGAAUCCAAGUGUAAAGGUGAUUAAAAGCUUGGUUGAAGCUUCAAGUUAGUGGAACUCUCACUCGGUUAUGAGCUUGAGAAGAGUGGACAUAGACAAGGCAGUGUCGAACCACUAUAAAAUCUGAGUUUGAUUUCUCUAACCUUAUCUCUUUAUAUUUGCUUCUCUUGUGCUUAAAUUUUUUGUGUUUAAAAAGAAUUUUUAAAAACUCAAUUCACCCCCUUCUUGGGAGUUUUUCUCUUUUAAGAUCAGCUUUUAUUUUCUCAAUUGGUAUCAGAACUAUGCCUCUUGUUUAAGACUUAAUCGUCUAAGAGGAAAUGGCUAAUCCAUCAAGUUCAUCUCACAUUGAAAGUUUUGCAACCAAUAGACUUCUUUUUUUUUUUUUGCGGGAACUGAUUAUCCCUAUUGGAAAACUAAAAUGACUUGGUUUUUACAAUCAAUUGAUUUAGAUGUAUGAGAUGCCAUUGAAGAUGACCUAACUUUUCCUUCAAAACUAGUUGAUGGAGUCAUGGUUCCAAAACCUAAGCAAGAAUGGGAUGAGCGUGAUUGAAGAAAUUUUCAAUUAAAUGCUAAAGUCGUUUAUACUUUGCAAUGCUCUAUGGACAGAAAUGAAUAUAAUAGAAUAUGUCAAUGCAAAUCGGUUAAAGAAAUUUGGAGAUUGCUUGAAAUAACUCAUAAAGGAACAAAUCAAGUUAAAGAGUCAAAAAUCAAUUUACUUGUUCAUAGAUAUGAAUUGUUUUUUAUGAAAGAUAAUGAAACUAUUGUUAAGAUGAUCACUAGGUUCACCAACAUUGUUAAUGGUCUUAAAGCCUUGGGAAAGACCUACAAGGAAUCCGAAAACGUGAUGAAGAUCUUGAGGUCACUUCCAUCAAAGUGGCAUACCAAGGUCACCGCAAUUUAAGAAGCAAAAGACUUGAUCAAGCUACCUUUGGAGGAGUUCAUAGGGUCAUUGAUGACAUAUGAAAUCAAUUUGGCAAAGAAGUAACAAAAAGGUGAAGACAAAAAGAAGAAGAACAUAACUCUCAAAGCUACAACUAAGGAAGAAGAAGUUGAAGAAGAAAAACAAAUUGAAGAAGAUGAAGAUUUAGCCCUCAUCACAAGAAAGUUCAACAAAUUCAUGAGGGGUGAAAGGUUUAGAAGAAGAAGGUUCACUUCUAGAAGAGACUUUUCUAAAAAGGAAUCUUCAUCUAAUGGUGACAAAAAGAGAUGGGAAGAGAAAAGAGACUUGGUGUGUUUCAAGUGCAAGAAACCGGGACACAUUAAAUAUGAUUGUCCUCUCUACAAAAGUGAAGUCAAGAGGAAAAAGAAUAAGGCAAUGAUGGCCACUUAGAGUGAAAGUGAAGAUGAAUCAUCCGAAGAAGAAAAUGAGAAAGAAGUGGCAAACAUGUGUUUCAUGGCAAUAGAUGAACUUGAUGAGGUAAAAUCUAACCUUAGUGAUUAAGAUAUACAUGAUGCAUUUGAAGAAUUGUAUGAGGAUUUUUAAAAACUUAGUUUGAAAAAUAUUUCUCUUAAAAAGAAAGUUCAACAACUUGACAAAGAACUUAGAGAAGUAAAAGAAAAAUUUUCAAAUGUUAAAGUUUCUAAAACUCAUCUUGAAAAAGAAAAUGAGAUUCUAAGAAAGAAAAAUGAAUAGUUGAACUCCUCUCUUUCAAUCUUUUCUUCUAGACAAAAAUCUUUUGAAAUGAUUCUAACUAGCUAAAAAUGUGUUUUUGACAAACAAGGGUUAAGAUUUAAAUCUUCAAAAAAUCAAAAGUAUUUUAAAAACUAUUUUGUAAAGGAAUCCACAAGUGCAAGUCCUUCCACUACUUGCAACUUUUGUGGAAGAGAAUGGCACAUUAGUAGUACGCCCUUUAAGAAAUGGUUCUCAAAAGAAUUUAAAUGCAAAAACUAAAAAAGAUUUGGAUUGAGAAAUCCAAGGUCACUAACCCUCAAGGACCCAAAAAGAUAUAGGUACCUAAAUCAACUUGAGUUUUAUGUUGUAAGGUUCAAAGAAUGAUAAGUGGUUCUUAGAUAAUGGUUGCUCAAGACACAUGACCGGAGAUGAAUCCAAGUUUGCUUUUCUUAAAAAGAAAAAUGGAGGAUAUGUUACCUUUGGAGACAAUGCAAAAGAAAGGAUGAUUGGUCAAGGCAACAUUGGUAAUGGCACAUCCUCUCUCAUUGAAAGUGUUUUAUUAGUAGAUGGUUUCAAACAUAACCUUUUAAGCAUUAGUCAAUUUUGCGACAAAGGUUUUUAAGUGAUUUUUUAAGCAUCUCAUUGCAUCAUCAAGGAUAUUCAAAAUGAUAAAACCAUUUUCAUGGGCCAUAGAUGUGAUAAUGUUUAUGCUAUAAAUAUUUCAAAAUAUGAUGGCCAUGAUAGAUGUUUUUCAAGCAUGCAUGAUCAAAGUUGGUUGUGCCAUAGGAGAUUGAGACAUGCUAACAUAGACCUCAUUUCCCAACUCAACAAAGAUGAACUUGUUAGAGGCCUUCCCAAAAUAAUUUUUUAAAAAGAUAAAGUUUGUGAAGCUUGUCAAGUGGGAAAGUAAAUCAAAAACUCUUUUAAAAACAAAAACUUCAUUUCCACAUCUAGGCCACUUGAGUUGUUGCAUAUGGAUUUAUUUGGUCCCUCUAGGACACCAAGUCUUAGAGGAAAUUCUUAUGCAUAUGCUAUUGUGGACGACUUCUCUAGAUACACAUGAGUCUUGUUUUUUAGUCAAAAGAAUAAAGUUUUUUAUGAGUUUUCAAAGUUUUGCAAUAAGAUUCAAAAUGAAAAAGGUUUUUCAAUUACUUAUAUAAGAAGUGAUCAUGGGAGAGAAUUCGAAAAUAUUGAUUUUGAAGAGUAUUGCAAUGAGCAUGGAAUUGACCACAAUUUUUUGGCUCUUAGAACUCCUCAACAAAAUGGGGUAGUUGAAAGGAAAAAUAGAACUCUUCAAAAAAUGACAAGAACCAUACUAAAUGAAAACAACUUACCAAAAUAUUUUUAGGCCAAAACGGUUAACACUUCUUGUUAUGUUUUAAAUAGAGUAUUAUUGAGGCUCAUACUUAAGAAAACUCCCUAUGAGCUUUGGAAAAACAAAAAACCCAACAUUAGUUAUUCCAAAGUCUUUGGAUGCAAUAUUUUAUAAUAAACACCAAAGACAAUCUUGGAAAAUUUGAUGCAAAAUUGGAUGUUGGAAUUUUCCUUGGUUACUCAACUUCAAGUAAAGCUUUUCGAGUUUUAACAAAAGAACCAUGGUUGUAGAGGAGUCCAUCCAUGUUAUUUUUUAUGAAUCUCCAAGAAAGAGAGAGGAUUGAUGAUGAUUUAGGUUUGAAGACCUCUAUAGGAAGAUUGCAAAUCGAAGAUAGAAGACAACAAGAAGAAAAUGGAGAGAAUCCAAAGAAAGAAGGAUCACCAUUGGCACUACCCCCUCAUCAACAAGCGCAAGGUGAAUCAAGUCAAGAGCUUCCUAAAGAAUGGAAGUUUGUCAUCAAUCACCCACAAGAUCAAAUUAUAGGCAAUCCAUCUAGUGGGGUAAGAACUAGAUCCUCUCUUAGAAAUAUUUGCAAUAAUCUAGCUUUUAUCUCUCAAAUUGAGCCUAAAAAUAUAAAUGAUGUUUUAGAUGAUGAAAAUUGGAUAAUUGCAAUGCAAGAAGAGUUAAAUCCAUUUGAAAGAAGUGGAGUAUGGGAAUUAGUACCAAGACCUUCAAAUCAAAGUGUUAUUGGAACUAGAUGGAUCUUUAGAAAUAAAAUGGAUGAAAAUAGCAUAAUUGUUAGAAAUAAAGCAAGAUUGGUAGCCCAAGGUUUUAAUCAAGAAGAAAUGAUAGAUUAUGAAGAAACCUUUGCCCCCGUAGCUAGGUUGGAAGCCAUUAGGAUGCUACUUGCCUUUGCAUGUUUUAAAGACUUUGUUUUAUAUCAAAUGGAUGUGAAAAGUGCUUUUUUAAAUGGUUUUAUAAAUGAAGAAGUAUAUGUUGAACAACCACCCGGUUUUCAAAGUUUCAACUUUCCUAACCAUGUUUUUAAACUUAAAAAGACACUUUAUGGUUUGAAACAAGCACCUAGAUCAUGGUAUGAAAAAUUGAGUAAAUUUCUUUUGAAAAAAAUGUUUUAAAAUGGGAAAAAUUGACACAACUCUUUUUAUAAAAACCAAAGAAAAUGAUAUGCUCUUAGUUCAAAUAUAUAUUGAUGAUAUCAUUUUUGGUGCUACUAAUGUCUCUCUUUAUGAAGAAUUUUCUAAGUGCAUGCAUAGUGAGUUUGAAAUGAGCAUGAUAGGAGAACUCAACUUCUUCCUUGGACUUCAAAUCAAGCAACUAAAGGAAUGAACCUUCAUCAAUCAAGCAAAGUAUAUAAGAGAUCUUCUCAAAAGGUUCAACAUGGAAGAAGCCAAAACAAUGAAGACUCUAAUGAGCUCAUCCAUUAAGCUUGAUAAGGAUGAGAAAGGUAAAUCCAUUGACUCUAUUAUGUAUAGAGGCAUGAUAGGUUCUUUGCUCUAUUUGACCACUAGUAGACCUUACAUUAUGUAUAGUGUGUGUUUGUGUACUAGAUUUCAAUCUUGUCUUAAAAAAUCUCACUUAAGUGUCGUGAAAAGAAUCCUCAAAUAUUUGAAAGGGACAAUGGACAUAGGCUUAUGGUAUCCUAAGAGUGAUAACUUUGAAUUAAUUGGUUUUUUGGAUGCUGAUUUUGUCAGUUGUAGGGUUGAAAAAUAAAACACUAGUGGCACUUUUCAUUUCUUAAGACACUUACUUGUCUCAUGGCAUAAUAAGAAGCAAAAUUUGGUAGCUUUGUCAACAGCAGAAGCUAAAUACAUAGCAACUGGUUUAUGUUGUGCACAAAUCCUUUGGAUGAAAUAAACACUUAGUGAUUUUGAUUUAUCUUUUGAGCAUAUUCCUAUUAAAUGUGAUAAUAGUAGUGCCAUAAGUAUAUCAAAAAAUCUCGUGCAACACUCUAGGACUAAGCAUAUAGAGAUUAGACAUAAUUUUCUUAGAUAUCAUACACAAAAGGAUGAUAUAACACUUGAAUUUGUAAGCAUAAAAGACCAACUUGCCGAUAUCUUUACAAAACCUCUAAGAACAUUUUGUUGAUAUUAGAGGACAAUUAGGAGUGAUUUCUUUAUGAUCUAAUGUGAUGAAUUCUUGAUGAAUAUACUUUUUGAUUGCAUGAAUUUCAUGUCAUAUAUGCAUCAUAUAGAAAUAUACUUAGAUAAUGGUCAAAUUUCGACCAAAAAUCAAAAUUCCCAUGGCAUUAGGCAUAAAAAUUUUGGAAUUUCAACUGAAAAUGGUAGGAGGAGGAUCACAAAAUGAGAAAGUAUGCAAAAAUUGAAAAAUCAAAACGUUGACCAAGCGGUCAAUCGGACUAGACCGAUCGACUAGUUUGUCGAGAUUUAGGAUUUUUAAGAGACUCCAACGCUUCAAUUUUUGCACCGUUCUCCUCUAUUUCUUCACGGUUUCUCUGAUUUUGUCUUUUAGAGACUAAUUUGAGUGCGUUUUGGAUCAAUUGAAGCAUUUUGGAUUGGAUUUUAGGAAGAUUGAAAGUUAAGGUUUCGGAUUUGGGUCGCCUUCUCUUCCUCUCGCGUGUCACAAUCAGCUUUAGCAUUGUUCUCUUUCCAUUUUCACACACCUAGGGUUUCAGUUGUGAGCAUCUCUCUCUCUUUACCAACCACUACUCCCUUGCUUCUUCCAUAUGGCUCCUAGGCGAGAGUCCGCUACUUCUAGGGCACAAGGCAAGCACCCAACUGAGUCGUCUCAGUCAAAGGCACGUCGAAAAGUGAGAUUUGACAUUGCCUUGUUCAGUUCCAUGGAGGACUACCAACUAUACAAGCAACACUUUGCUUAGAGACGAGUAGUUCCCAAGAGAAAUAUUAAUUUUCCUCAACUUCAGCAUUUCGAAUUUAAGGGUCUAUUUACUAGGAUGGUUGGUUGUCUAUUGUCACAAUUUCGGAGCCGGUUUUCCUGACCUUAGUGCGAGUUUUUUACUCGAGGGCGACUUAUGGCAUGGGUGGCAUGAUCAUUUCUACUGUUGGAGGAGUUGAGAUCUGUCUGGACCCAGAGAGCAUCUGCCAUAUUUUCGAUAUUGCUCUGGUUGGACUCAAAGUAUACAAGUCCAAAAUGUGGCCCAUUGUGCCAGGAUUUGAGCUUAGAGAGGUCAUUCAGAGGAUUUGUGAACUUCCAGACGCCCAGGAGAUGGGCAAACCAUUGCCACACAGUUUGACGGUCAUCAACAGGGUGCUACACCAUAUAUUGUGCUCUAUCUUUCUACCACGAAGUGGACAUUGAGAUGAGGUCUCUUAUUAUGAGGCAUUCCUUAUUGACUCCAUUCUAACGGAGAGACGAAUUCAUCUACUAUGUCAUCAUUCACUAAGCCUCCUCACAGUGACAUACCACCUCAUCAGGCACCUCUUGCUCCUGACCAUGCUCCAUUGAUGGAUUUAUUUACUCAUAUUAGCUCUCUAGGCACUCGCAUGAAGGAGUUUGUUGUAGUUAGUGAUACAUGGUUCUACUCCAUAGAGGAUCGCAUGGAUCAGUAUCAGACUGGCUUCACGUCACAGUUUGAGUAUCUCCAAUAGAGGAUUGAGCAUAUUGAGGAUCACUUGAGCAUGAGAAGAUGAUGGCUUUUCUAUGCUCUGUGUUUCCACCUCCACCUCGUCAACCUUGAUUUCUUAGAGACCCAUUGUUUUCAUUUUGUAAUGUUGCCAAAAGGGGGAGAUAUUUAGGAUCUAGGACUCUAUAGGAGACUUACAUGCAUAUCAUUUUCAUAUCAUUGUUUGGAUCGUACAUAUUGGAUAGUGAUACUUUUUACUUAUAUAUGAUAUGCCUAUAUGUUUCAUGUCUUACAUUGUUUCUUAUUGCAAAUUAUCUCUAACAUGUCUUGAUUAUCUUUUUUUUAACUUCAUAAAUUUUGAUUGUUAACCCAUGAUUGGUUUGAGGGGAAGAUUCUUCUUCUCCUAGAUAACCAAGGUUUGUCAUCAUAAAAAAAUUGGAGAUUGUUAGCCCAAGGGUUCUCCUAAUCAUGUUUUGAUGAUAACAAACCAUGCUUAAGUUACUAAUUGGUUUGAAUUAUAAAGAAUUUCAAGUGUUAAUUUGAAAAUUCAUCAAAGAACCUAAUGGAUGCAAGAUCAAGAUUUUUGGAAGACCUUUAAUCAUAAGAAACAUAUGUAAGAUGAAUGCAUGGGUGCACUUAAGAUUUGCAUAUCAUUUCAUGCAUAUUUGGAAAACACGGUUUAUGCUUUAAAGUUACAUUUCCAUCAAAAUUUGAGAUCCAUCAAAUGAACCUUAGGAAAAAUGUUUUAAAAUUGGCAUAUAAUUUUACCUAAAGACCUUGCCUAAGUGUUAGAAGCAAAAGGACAAAAAAAAUAUAGGUUUUCUGGUCAAAAAUGGUGAACCAGUCAAGGCAUUGUCUAAAUCAGCUCAAUCGGCCAAGGUACCGGUCGAUCGGUUUCCCUUUCCCUGUCGAGAUCUAGUCAAGAGGUACAAAAAUCACAAUCUCUGUCUCUUUCUCUCUUUGUCUAUCUUCCAGUAGUCUUUCCUUCCCGGUCGAGGGAUUUGCCUUCCCGAUUGAGGUCCGAUUGAGAGUAAUAGUCACUUGCCAAAUAUUAAAUGCUCCAACAGUUAGUGAACUGGUCGACCCCCACCUUGCCCAGUUGAGGUUACUUUUUGGUUUUCUUGGCUCCCGAUGUUAGAAACCUAUAAAUAGAGAGUUCCACUUCAUUUAUGAGCAAGAGAACACUUGCAUUUAUUUGUUUACCUACUUGUUCUUGCCUUAAAAGCUCUCAUUUCUUUUCUUGGUGCAUUAAAUCUCCAUUUUGAUAUCCUUUAGUGCACCUUUGUGAUUCAUCUUAGCCUUGAGUUGUAUUUGAGCCCUUUUUUUAGCUAGGUUGAGAGUUUCAUACUUGUUAAUUGAGUGUUAAAGCCUUCAAGUGAGUUGAAACUUGUAGAGAUUAUGUGAGAGUCGAUUGGAGCCGAAAUCCAAGUGUAAAGGUGAUUAGAAGCUUGGUUGAAGCUUCAAGUUAGUGGAAUCCUCACUCAAUUAGGAGCUUGAGGAGAGUGGACGUAGCCAAGGAAGUGUCGAACCACUAUAAAAUUUGAGUUUGAUUUCUCUAACAUUGUCUCUUUAUAUUUGUUUAUCUUGUGCUUAAAUUUAUUGUGUUUAAAAAGAAUUUUUAAAUACCCAAUUCACCCCCCUCUUGGGUGUUUUUCUCUUUUAAAAUUAGCCUUUAUUUUCUCACAAACUAUUGUAGUAUAGUGGUUUUUAGGUGUCAUCCAUUAGGAUGAAUUGUUCUCGGUAAUUAAGGCGUGAAUGAGAGGAGAAUUAAUGAUUGUGAUUAAGUAAAAUUGAUUUGAAAAUUCAUGGUGAAAAAUCAAUUUAACAAUGGUUUCUAAUUGAGAAAAACAAUGAAAUGUGAAAUAAAAUAAAAUUAAUAGGAAAUGAAAUUCUCGAAGUUAGAAUUUUCUAAAAAACAAAUUCCAUGGUGAAUGGAUGUUGAGAUCUAAUUUUCAUCAAGUUAGAUUGAAAACCGAAAUUUUCAUAUAAACUGAUUUUUUAUUUAGUUUUAGGUCUAGAUUUAAUUUCCCUUAAAAUUAGGUUAUUUAAUCCAAGAAAUCAAUUCAAAUCAUAUAUUCAAUUCAUCUUAAAUUAUCUUCCAAUUAUUCACACAAUGCAACUAUUCAAUCUCAUCAAAUCUAGCUUUUAAGAAUUUAAUGAAUCUACCUAGUUUGCAUUGUAAUAGUCAUCCAUGACAAUUUGAAGAGAAAAAUAAUUCAAUUAAUCAAUCACUUGGAUCAAAUUACCUUUGCAAUUAAAGUUCAUUUCUCUAAUUCACCACAGAUUUUGUCUCUAGAUCCUCCUUUCUCAAAGAAAAAUGAGAUUUAGCCACACAUGAUUGGAGAUUUGGUCUCAUAAGGCAUGUUUAGCUAGUGAUAAAAUGAGAGAAAAUAAAGAAAAAUAGAGAAUUCGAUUAAGAAAGAAAAUCUAAAAAAUUCUACAAUUAGAAAUGUCCAAAAAGCUUUUUCAUGAGAAAAUCAAGUUUCUAUUUAUAGGCCAAGGUCAAGUGGACACUUGACAUCAUCUAAGAGGUCUUCCGGAAGCUUCUUCAUCAAGAAAUCUGGAGUUUAAUAAUAAAAUGGUCAUUUCACAAGAGCUCAAACAAUUUCGCAUGAUUAUGUGAAAUAAAAAAUGCAACAACAGCAAUUUACAUCUUCUUGGAGCAUUUCGCAUGACUGUGUGAAAUUUUCACAUGAUCAUGUGGAAUCGACUUGACAACUCUCAUUUAGCCUACAACAUAAUUCCACCUUUUGGUCCAUUUUUCAUAGUCAUGCGAAAUGGAAAUAUUUGAUUUUUAAGUUUUCUUUUGUCAUUUCUUUCAUUUCCUUCUCUUGAUUCCACUUCAACUACCUCCGAAUCCUGGUCCAAACCAAUUGCAUUACUUCUUUCAUUAUGCAUUUGGAUCAUCAUCAACAUUAUUUGUUCUCUUCAAUUUGAUUCAUCUCUUUUGUCACCAAUUUAUCAAAAUCAUACCUUGAAAUGACUCCAAAACUUCAUAAAACUUGUUAGUAACUCUUGCAAGGGCAACAACAUAUUAAUUAAGUGUUUUAGGCAUAGUUACUACUCAAAAGAUGCGAAACUCAUGAUAAUUAUUAUAUAAAAUAUGCUCUUUUUGAGUAGUAAUCAACUUUCUUGCAUAAGCAGACCUUUUAGGGUGGAGUACUAAAGACCAAUAUGCUUGUCCUUGUUGUAAUAAAGAAACUUGCUCUUAUUGAUUGCACCAUGGGAGAAAAUUUUGCUACAUGAGUUAUCAUCAAUUUCUUCCCACCAAUCAUAGAUUUAGACGUGACAAGAGGCCUCUUAAUGGCAAGGAGGAACUGACACUCACACUUAUACAAUUAUCGGGCAUUGAUGUGUUGCAACAAUUAGAAUAACUUACACCAAUUAUGUUGGGGAAGUCACAAAAGGCAAACAUGAAAACUAAAAGGAAAAAAGAAAAAUGUUACAUAUCACCACAACUGGAAAGAAAAAAGUAUUUACUUUCAUUUGCCAUAUUGGAAAGCACUUAUUUUACAUCAUAAUAAUUUAGACAUAAUGCAUAUUGAGAAAAAUGUGUGACAAUAUAAUUGAGACAUUGUUCAGUAUUGACGAAGAAACAAGGACAACCUAAAUAGUCAUCUCGAUUUACAAGCUCUAACUAUUAGAAAUGAGAUUCACCCAAUAGAAAGCAGGACCAAAUUUAUUUUGCUUGCAACAUGCUACUCACUCACCCCAAAUGAGAUUAAGGAAUUUUGCAAGUUUUUGAAAUCAAUAAAGGUCCCCAAUGGCUAUUCUUUCAAUAUCUCUCGUUAUGUGCAACUCAAUGAAAGGAAGAUAUAUGAGCUCAAAUUGUAUGAUUGUCAUGUCCUAAUGCAACAACUUCUCUCACUUGUAGUUCGUGGAGUUCUACAUAAGAAUGUUUGUGGAGUUAUCAUAGAAUUGCGUAAUUUUUUCAAGCAAUUGUGCUCAAAGGUGUUAGAAACAAAUCACUUACACCAACUUGAGAACAAUAUUAUUGUCAUACUAUGUAAAAUGGAGCAAAUAUUUCUUCCAUCAUUCUUUGAUAUUAUGGUGCAUUUACUUGUGCAUCUAGUAAGGCAAAGGUUGCAAGACUUGUGCAAUAUUGUUGGAUGUACCUAAUUGAACGAUAUUGUUAUAAUUUCAUAUGAAUCAUUUAAUUUUAUUUUAUAUUAUGUUCAGUUCAUUAACAUGUACAUUGGUCUACAUAUGGAUGAUGAUAGGUACCUAAGCACUUUAAAGUCAUAUGUGCGUAAUAGAACUUUUCUAGAAGGUUCUAUUGUAGAAAGGUACCUUGCAAAAGAAUGUACAACAUUUUAUUCUAGGUACUUGAAUGAUGUGGAAAUAAAGUAUAAUCACAAUGAUAGAAACUUUGUUGGUUUCAACACUAGAGGAGAUGAAAGGGGUUAUCUUUAAACAUAUUGGACAUGCAUUGGGAAAGCCCAUAUUUCAUUAACUUAGUUCAAAAGAGUGGUCACAAGCACAUUUAUAUGUGUUGACAAAUUGCGAAGAUGUCAUACCAUUCAUUGAGUAAAAAAUUUAUUUGAAUUUUAAUUAAAGCUCUAGUUUAUAUCCUUAAUCAAUGUUUUUUAAAUUCACAAGGAGCACAAGCAAACCAUCAAGGCUAGACCACAUAUACGUGUUUGAGACGUAGAUUUAAUUCAUAACAAGGAAUUUAUCAAGUGGUUUGAAAGACAUGUAAGUAUAUUCCUUAUUAUAAGGGAUUUAUUUCACAUUAUGUUUAUAUUGAAUCCAAACCUAUUAUUGAAUUGUAGGUUGAACAAUUACAUAAUGAAGGUCAUAUAUCUGAACACCUUCUCACAUUAUCAUGUGUUCCAAAUUCAUUAGUUACAUGCUUCAAAUGAUAUAUUGUCAAUGGAUUUAGAUCCCACAUUAAAGAACGUGAUAAAAAAGUUUUUAAAAAAAGACUCAGAAUAAUGGAAUUGUUGUAGUUGCAAAAACGUCAAGCUUUACAAGUGCAUGUGAUAUGAGUCCAAUUAUUAGUGAUGCUCUCUACUAUGGUGUUCUAACUAAAGUUGUUGAGUUACAUUAUCUUGGUGAAAAUAAGGUUGUUUUAUUCGAGUUUGAUUGGUGGGAUGUUACAAAUAUUGGAAAAUUGAUAAAAGAUGAUGAGUACAAUUACACAUUUGUUAACUUUGCAUGAAUUCUAACCACGAACGAACGAUUUGUACUUGCAUCUCCAGCAAAGUAAGUGUUCUAUGUGAAGAAUGCGAAUGAAUCAGAUUGGCAUACUAUCAUGGAGAUGCAACCUCAAGACCUCUAUAAGAUGAACGGGAUAGGAUCCAAUGGUGAUUUUGAACCAUUUCAACAAAGUGAACUACAUGAUCACUAAUAUAUCUCAGAUUUAGUUGAUGAAGAUAUAAUCAAGUGGAACAAAAGUGAUGUUUUAGGACUAAUCAUCCUAAAAAAUAUUGUAGUUUCUUAAAAAAAAAAUGAAAAUGAAGAAGAUAAUUGAACCUUUGUCAUACUUUAAAAAGCAACUAUGCAUUGUUCAUUUUGUAUGUUUUGGUUUUCUUCAUUUAAUUUCCUGAUUUUUGUGAUUCAAUGUCAUAUUAUUGAUCUUGAAAUAUUUUUCUAAUUUUUCAUUCUACGAUGGUUUCAACAAGGAUGACAUCAAGUCAAAAAAGGAAAUGUGGUCCCACACACAAUAUUGCAUUACAGGGAUUAAGGUCAGGGAAGAAGGUAAAAGUUGCAUUUAAUGAGUACAAUCAAUUGGUUAAACAGAAAAAUGGAAAACACUUAUCGAGCUACAUAGGGACACUUGUAUCUAACCAACACAAUGUACCUCUCCAAGCUAGUGAUUGGAAAAAUGUUCCAAAUGAUGCAAAAGAGAAAGUAUGGCCUUUGUUUUGGUAUGUUGUAUUUCUCACUAUAUGAUGUCAUUUCACUGUUAUUCUAUUUUGUGACUAACGUUUGAAUCAUAUGUAAGAAAAAUUUGAAGUAGAUAAAGACUGAAAAGAUUACAUGUUGGGUAUAGCCUCAAAUAAAUAUAGAAGCUAUAAAAAUAUGAUGAAUGCAAAAUACUAUGACCCUUGGCAUAAGGAUGCAUGAGGAGAGGUUAAUACAUAAAUCACCAUUUGUCUCUGAUGUUGAUUGGAAGUGGCUUGUCUCUGAUGCAUAAACCAAAUCCCCCACUGAAUGUUUGAUAUUUGAUAGCAGGAAAAACACACCCGCAGCUAUACACCUCCAUCAUUCAGAUAAUUAUAGUGGGGGAGAUGAUUCAUGGUUGCCCUUAUACCCUUUAUUUGCACCAUCUAUUGAGAUUCUUUAUCAUGGCCAGGUUUUACUGCAGCAAUAAGAUAUGGUGGCAACAAUUUUAUCUAUAGGUGCGGUUCCAGACCGCCUCCAUAGGUGCGGUUCCUGACUGCCUCCAUAGGUGCCUCUUCUUGUAAUGUUUGUUCUGGGAAUUACACUUGAAAGCCUUAUCGUGAUAAGGGAUUACAAACACUAGUUCAGAGGACAGCCAUGUUAAACUUCCACUAUGUUUGUGUCACAUUAUCAGCAGCCUAGUGUUUAUUGGUCAUGCUAUCUGCAACUAAUAUAACCCGGUGAACUUCAAUCUAAAUUCUGAAAGUACUCAUGUGACAGAUGGUGCCUUUCAGCAGAUAUCAUCAAUUUAAAAGUAGUGUGUGUGCCUAUAGGUGGGAAGGCCUUGGCAAAUGUUCAGUAUUCCGGUAAUUCAAGAAGGAUAUAUCUAAAAUAGAUUUUCUUCUUGCCCAUUUCAAUAGUUAAAAUUUGAGAAGAUUGUGUCCACAUCACACAAAUAUUAUUGGUCCUUCUGUUGCAAUUUACCUCUGAACAUGUCUUCCAAUUCCCACGGUCCUGUUACUCCAGGAAAACUAUUUCGGUCAUAUUGAAAAAAAAAAUAUUAAAGAAGGUACACAUGCUUUUAAGUGGACUGGGGCAUUCAUAUCAGGUGGUCUGUAUCCACAUAUGCCACUUCGUGAAAGGUGGAACAGCCUAAUCACUAGGCUAUUUAGUGUGGCCCAGCCACGUUAAUCAAGCACAAGUCUUCAUACUUAAAGUCAAAUGGUGUCUUUAGUCUCAUUACACAUCGCUAUUUGAAGAUUAACUCAUCACUAGUGUAAUGCGAUUAAGACAGUCCUAACUCAAUAUUUGUUCUAGUUUUGGAUGCAAAUGCUUGCUGGUUUCAUCAUUGGAUGGGAUAAAGGUGCAAUCAGGACUAUGAAUACGUGCAGUAAUACUUCAUUCUCUUUUUUCUCAAUGAGACUUCUUGGCACAAUUUUGCUGCUCAGCAACCUACCUUUCCAUGGAAAAUCAGUUGUGACUGAUAGUAAUGGAUAUAUUCUAGAAAGCUAAACAUAGAUAGCAUUCAAUAUUAUCGAUAUAACAUUAACAGCGUAUGUCUCAAUGCUCAUCAGCUACAAGCAAUGGACAAACACUUUGAGUAACUCACAGCAGUCAAAAUUCCUAAACAGGACAGACGUGACAGAUCUAUAUAUAGAACACUGCAUAUGAGUCACAGGAAAAGAUAAUACGGGUACAUAGAAGCUCUUAUUUUACAUAUUACUCAUACUGAUCAAAGUCGCUCAGUUGGGAUGGAUGGGAGAAGGAGGUUUGAGGGGUGGCUUGUGCGGGGAAGUUGGCAGCUUCUUUCCGGGAGCUGGUUGCUUCUUUGCUGGAGUUGAAGGAGGCUUAAUCUUCCGAGGUGGCUUGUAUGAGUCUUCAGCAUUCUCAGCAGGAGGGUGACCAGGGUUGUGACCAUAAUGUGGUGGCUUCUCUCCCUUAGGUGGUUUGCCAACUGGGGUUGGUGGCUUGUUUUCUGGGAGUGGCUUCUCUCCCUUGGGUGGUUUGCCAACUGGGGUUGGUGGCUUGUGUUCUGGGAGUGGCUUCUCCCCCUUGGGAGGUUUUUCGAAUGGGGUGGGUUUGUGUCCUGGUGGUGGCUUCUCUCCCUUGGGAGGUUUACCAAUUGGGGUCGGUGGCUUGUGUUCUGGGAGGGGCUUCUCUCCCUGGGGAGGUUUAGUGGGUGGCUUGUGUUCUGGAGGUGGCUUCUCCACCGGAGGCUUAUGCUCUGGUGGUGGCUUCUCGAAGGGGGGAUGCUCAGGGUAAUCACCAAGUGAGGGGGUGGUGAGAACCACCAUGCCAAGCAACAACACUAGCAAGUAUGUAGUAGACAUCUUUGGGUUUGGACUCAGACAGUGCAAAACUACGAGAAAUCGCUAGCCCUUUAUAGCGGCUCGGACCUAAUACUGACAUAAUAUAAAAUAAAUAUUAUAUUUUAUCAAGAGAGAACAGAGUGUAAUUUUAUCAUUAAUACCGAUCGAGGCCAAAGAAAGAAGACCCAUAAUCCAUUUCCCACAAGCAUACACAAUGCAGCUGUAAUUUUAUCAUUUACUUUUAUCCCUUGGACCACUGCAUUUUUGUUGAGAGACACAAUAACACAUUUUUAUCUGUCAUUCAACAUUUACAGUAAAGAGAGGGCACAAAACGCAAUUAGAUAAAUUAUGUUUUGCCUGCUAAAAAGAGGCAAAUAACUUUAUUUGCAACAUAAUUAUUUUGGUUUCUAGUGACCCCGGGGCCUUUCGGUUGGUUUGGGAUCGGAAAAUGAACAUCAUAGGGGGGGUUGUGCCCUUAUGGGCAUAUAUAUCUGAUAGCUUCAACUGGCCUUGUUCCUAGAAAGAAAUUGCCAAAGAUAUAAACUUAUUCCAGGCUGAAAGUAGAUGAGAGUCAUAAUGAACAUCAACCUUUGUUCAGUUUGAUUCAAUGCCCCCAUAGUGUUCAUUUCACAGAUCUGAAUGAUUAUAUCCGUUGAAUACAUAAAUUAAUGAAGACAAAUAUGAAACCCAAGAUACAUCUCUGCAUAACAACCCCAACCCUGGUUGCUAUGUUUCCCUUCUUCUAUUCACAUGAGGAUACUGGUUAUAAUUGUCAAACUUGCAACAAGCCCUUUGACACCUAACGUCAAUGGACGAAUUAAAAGUCUCCUUCAAACGUCUAUUUCACAGCAUGAAGCUUAUAAAGGAUGCUGACAACCUUCAGAGUUAGCGACAAAAGAUAAUUAUCAAGGAGAGAUAGUUCCAUGAGAAUUCCAAGGAGUCUGAAUCAAAGACAAAUUGCUCACUCAAGGGUUCUUAUUUUCUUUUAGGUACAAAUCUCUUGAGUGUUGUUAAAGAAACACGUCACUGUCAUUUUGAUUUGCAUUUAACAUUUCACUUUUGUUCUGGAAGGUUUGUUCCGGAAACAUAUCAAAUGAGCAUCAUUUUCUUCUUCGGUGACACAUGGUCGCGAGUACGUGGGUCCAUUUUCAUGCCACUUAGUUGAAAAGUUGGAAAGAAAAAACAUGCCAACAAGAAGAUAGUGAGAGAAGGGGCACUUCAAGCCUUUAACAUGAACAAACAGUAAAUAAAAGAUGUUUCUCCACUCAUAAAAGUGUGUUAGAUAGCAAUAUAACGAAUCACAUCCAAAAUCUUUACUAGGCUCAAACAUAAAGAAGACUCAUUUUUAAGAAAAGAUAAAAAUGGCAUUGUCUGAUAGUAUCCAAUACACGAGAUGGCACUUAAUUUGUACAAGAUCUGUCAAUGCUGACGCACAUUUUCUGAUUAAAAAAAAACUGAUCAGUCAAAAGCAAUGAAGAGAAGUGAUGACAAUGAAUGAUGCUUCCAAUAUUUUCACCCCUUAUAGUGUUCUUCAUGAUUCAGAUAUAUAAUUGGAAAUAGAACAACCCUAUGCCAUACAUUCGUCUAAGUAUGGUGUCUAAUUUUUUGUGUCAGCGGUUGCGAAUGGAGCGUGCAAAAGUCCAAAUUGGCGUCUCUCCAUUUCCACAUAGGAAGGUGACCUUUAUUGACAAAUACCCAAUAUUUGUAGACAUUCCUUAAAUAUCAUAACUUCUUGUUGAUUUGAAAAUCAUUUUUCAACUACCAUGUUUUAAUAAAUAUUUUUUAAAAUGUAUUUUUAUCAAAGUCCACCAUGAUGGAUAAUAUUCACCAUGCAAUAAUUAAUAAAGUACAAACUAAGCGAAAUGAAAAGCAUUUUCUUUGCUUUGAGUUGAUUUUGGUUGCAUUGAGUUGAUUUUGGUUUCAUGGUUUUUUCAACUCUUAUUUUGAUUGGAAGAUGUCAAGAAAAGAAAACAUAAAGAAAAAUUAAAAGGGAAAAAAGAAGAAAAAUAAAAAAAAAUAGAUUUAAAAGUUAAUAAAUUAUUUUUUAUAUUUAUUUUAAUUCAUUUCACUUAUUUUUCUUUUACUAUAUAAAAUUUAAAUAAUUUAAAUUUUAUAAUUAAUUUAAUUACAUUUCAUUUUCUUCUAUAUUUAAAUAUUGGAAAAAUAUUUUACUUAAUAUUUUUUUCUUUAAUUUCUUUGGCAUUUUGGGAACCAAACUUAGCCUUUAAAAUAAAAAACAAAAAAAAAAUGAAAAUAAGGAGGGAAAAGUGAGAAAAGAUAAAAACAAUAUGUAAAGGAUUUGAAAAGUAUUAGUUUGUAAUUACUAUUUGGAUUUCAAUAGUAUUUUAUUUGUCUUUCUAUAUUUCAUGUAAGAGAGAAUUUAAGAUAUUCCCCAAGGCAAAGCAUUAGUUACCUGCAAUCAGUGGUGAUAAGGCUCCAAGCCAAUUUUGGGCCCCAUAUCUUAAGACAGUACAAUUUCCAUUUCAACAUUUCUGAUUUCUCAGAUGUUUCACAUACCACAGAAGAACAUUGUUUGUGAAAAUAUGCAUUUAUGUUGGAUUUUGUAUGCUGUGGGGACUGGGGCAAGGAUCAUAUGGAAGAGUGGUUGACUUUUUCUGUACUUUAACGGUUGAAAUAGGAUAAGCACGGGCAUUUGUGAGGCUUAAUUGAUUUUGAAGCCUGAAAUUGCGUUUCUGUCAUUUUGUCAAAAAAAUGGCAGAUUCCAUACUCAUAUGUUUGGCCUGUGGCCAUGUACAGAUGCCAUUUAGUGACCAGUUUGUAACUGUCAAUCGUUGCGUUUUGACUCUGCCUCAACAACAUCUGCCAUUGACGGGUUUUCAUACUUGCAAAUCAAAUAGUCUUUCGUCCCAUCAGGAAUUUCGGUUUAAAUAUUAUUAAGCAUACGUUUGGCUGACAAUCAUUAUCCAGUUCAUGAUUUGGUUUCUUACCCUUAAUCAAUGGUUUCUAAGUGAAUAUAUGUAGAAGGAAAUCCGAAGUGUAGACAGUAGUAUCGAUAACUCUCAAUAUUCUCUAUAUAAUAGAAUAAACAGCGUCAUAGUGAUCGUCGCCUACAAGCAAGGUACAAAUACCAAAACGAGUGACUCACAUAGACAUCUCCCAACAAGAUGUAGUAGUGACUGACACAUGGACACAAUUAACUCGUAGAAAAGGAUAAGACCAUUGCACAGCAGCUCUUAUUUUACAUACUACUUAUGCUAACCAAAGUCAAUUAGUUGGGAUGGGUGGGAGAUGGAGGUUUGUGCGGUGGCUUGUGGGGCGGAGUUGAUGGCUUCUUUCCAGGAGCUUCUGGCUUUUUCAUCGGAGCUGAAGGAGGCUCAAUCUUAUGAGGCGGCUUGUAUGAGUCUUCUUUACUCUCGACAGGAGGGUGGCCAGGGUUGUGAUCAUAAUGUGGUGGCUUCUCUCCCUUAGGUGGCUUGCCAACUGGGGUUGGUGGCUUGUGUUCAGGAAGUGGUUUCUCUCCCAUGGGAGGUUUAGCAAUUGGGGUUGGUGGCUUGUGUUCUGGGAGUGGCUUCUCUCCCUUGGGAGGUUUAGUAGGUGACUUGUGUUCUGGAGGUGGCUUCUCCACCGGAGGCUUGUGCUCCGGUGGUGGCUUCUUGGUUGGAGGGGGCUUGGGGUAAUCAGCAAGAGAUGGGGUGGUGAGAACCACCAGUCCAAGGAACAACACUAGCAAGUAUGUGGGAGACAUUUUUGAGUUUGGGCUGAUCAGAUGAUGCAAAACUAAAGCAUUACGUGACCUUUUAUAGCAUGUAGCUCCCAAUACCCACUAAGUAUUGUGGGGUCCAUUUGUGCCCUACGGGGUUGAAAACUUAGACAAUUGGGCAAGGACCCACCUGACUAUGGAGGACUAGUGAGGUGUGAUCAUAGCUUUAGGAUUUUUCUUCCUCUGCAGCCGUCGUGCCGUUGGCAUGAUUUUCUUAAUCUUAAAUAAAGGCAUAGUUAUAGAGUUGUUUAAUCUCUAAAUGGGAUUUUAUAUAUAUCUUCAGAUAGCCAUUAAUAUAUUUGAUGAAGAAAGAAAGACAAGUGCAUACAACAUGUAUACGACUAGCUUUCAUGGAGUUCAUUUAUGAUCAGUUUUCCUGUACAUGUAAACCAGGAUCAUAUAUAUGUUUCUGUUCCACAACUAUUUUGGAAUCUUGUUUAUCAGUUUUUAUCAUUAUAAUGUCACAUAGGCUGCCAACUUGGGCGCUAAAAGAACCAGUUGGGCUAGUUCGUUUCAGAAUUUCAAUGUGGAUUCAGGAAUUGUUUUGUAAGAUAUGCGAAAUAGUAGAGGGAUGAAUAGUGUUUCAUUAAUAAAAGUGUCCUGUAAAUUAGAAGGUGUCAUAGAAACUAUAAUCAAUAAAUAACUUUUUUUCCCCACGGGUGGUGUUUCUUGUGGGGAUCAGUGACUGGUUUAGGUUCACCCAAAAUGAGUUCAGACUAAAAUUGGUUUGAGUCAAUGCCGUGUCUCUUUUUUCCAGAAAUCAACUAUUUUAUGCAUUGAAUAAAUCAUACAAAGAAAAUAUGAACGCCCGCAAAACCUAAACCCUGGUUGCUAACUUUCUAUGUUUCAGUUCUAUUCACGCAAGAAUAUUAGUUUAAGUUUGGGAAAAAUGGCAACUUACCUAGUGAUUACUUGGUUUUGGUUUGCGACUAUUUACGCAACCAACCAUGAGUUUGACUUUAACGUCAUGGGUUGAAGCCUCCUACAGGAAGGGAGAAAGCUCCACAGCUAGCUCCAAAAGAGAAUUAUCACAUUGAUAGCUCCAGAGAUUCCCAAGGGGACUGAAUCAAAGACAAGUUCCUCACUUUUUCUUCUUUUGAGGCCAAAUAUGAACCAAGGAUCACACAACCUCAUUCAACUUCAUAAGUUUGAUUUCAUGCAGUUGAACACUGGGUGAAGGCCAUGACAAGAAUUGAUUCAAAAAUUCUAUCACUCUUUUAAGUAAUGGAAGAUUAUUAUCUCUGAUUGGCAUCACAACAGCACAUGCUCCUAGAUCUUUCUAGACACUCCAUGCAAUGAAAGCACAAUGGAUCUUGUAACGAUAGAAACUAAGCCAUGCUACAGUACUAGAUGAUGAGGUAAAACUAGUAGACACGGGUGGCAGCCUAUAUGGGAGGGACACAAGUCUAAUUGAUUUGCAUUUCAGCAUUAUAGAUAGGUAUGUUUUGGAAGAUUUGUUCUGGAAAUACCGCACCAAGUAGGAUUCUUUUUCUCUUUAGUGGGUCCACUUGCAUGCCAAUUAACGAGUUGAAAAGUAUGAGCACCUACCUCGUGCUCGUGGAACCGAAGGUCAGUGAAGUGGGGCUCCUUUUGGCCUCGUGUAAACUUGAUUCAGAAGUGAAGUUAAUAGUCUUCCAUUCAGAUGGAUACAUGGGAAUUUUUCUCUUUUAUUUAUUUAUUUAUUUUUUUUUUGUGUGUGUAUGUCAAAGGAUAAUGAAUGAAGCGCGUUAGCUUGUUUUCUGACUGGAACCGCAGAUGUCCAAAUUGGAGUUCCUUCAUUUCUUACUUAGGAUUGUUACAUGUAUAAACAAGGUAUAAGAAAUAUGCCAACGUGUCUUGAGGAGUUAUUGAUUAGAAAUAACAAGUCACCCGACUGUAGAGUUCCAAGAUUUGAAUCUUCAGACCCUAUAGCAGCCUCUGGGGUACGUGGCAUCCUAUAGCAUAUUAAUGAAGGCUUUUUCGAUUUAGACUUCACAAUACCAAUUAAUAUGUAUGCACAAAAUGGAGAUGACCCCAAAAAAAACAGAAUCGCCAUAGUUUAUGAGGUUAAGGUGAUUCUCCACUUAAUAUCUACAUUAGCUAAUUAUGUAAAUCAAAUGAACUUCUAUUUUUCCUUUUUUUUUUUGGUUUAUGUCAAAUAGUAGCCCAUAAUUAACCCAACCAUUAGCCUGUUUGAAUUGAUUUCACAUGCACAAUGUUGUAGUAGUUCAUAUUUUGAAUUUUAUUUUUACAAAGGUAGUUAAGGAAAAUGAAGUAUAAUAAUUAUAAAAGCAGACUAUAUACACUACAAUAAUUGUUAGAAUGGUAUCUCAAAUUCUAAUUUAAAAUAUUAUUUUUUGUAAAAGAAAUAUUAUAUAGAAUAUUUCCUAAUUUUAUAAAUGAUUAUAAUUAGAUCUUUAUAAAAUAAGGAAAGUUGGUAAGAAUAUCUUUAUAAAUAUUUUAGGUCAUGAGAGAAAGAAAUGGGAUAAAAAUGUGAUGAAGAGGUGAAAUAAGAGAGUUGAUUAGGAUAUAGAUGUGAAGAAGAAAGGGAUUCAAUAUAUAUAUAUCUUUCAAUUACCACAUUAAAACCCUGUGAACCUUUUAUAUGGUUUACUUUAUUUUUAUAUUCCUCCUUUAAUAUAUUUACAUUAAUGCUUCCAUUGGCACAACAAUAACGAAUUACAAAUACAAGCAACAAGUCCCAUGUUUUAUUACCAAAAGCAGGUAAAAUCCACCUAAUAUAUUACAAUAUAUUCAUCCAAUAUUUUAGACCAAUUCUUCACCAUAAAUAUCAUAAUGUGGCUUUUGUUCUUUCUUAAAUUUAAAUUGAAUUGUCUUAUAUCAAUUUGUUUGUGAUUUUUUCAUUAACUUCACUUUCAUUUGGUUAUCUUUGGUUUUUGAAAAGUAUUAAGGAAUUAAUUAACAAAAUAAUGUUAAGAAAAAUAAUUUUCUCUCUUUUGAUUUUGAUUUUGUAGUAGAAAAAUAUAAUUAAAAUUAUUUAAAAAGUAUGUAAUUUUAAAUUAUUUAAUAUUUAGAUAAAAAAAAUAAGUCUAAUGAGUUUAAAAUAACAUAUAAAAAUAAUUUAUUUAUUUUAAAUUUAUUUUUUAUUUUCCAUUAUGUUCUCUUUCUCUUUUACUUUUUCAUAUUUUUUCUUACGAAGAAUCAAACACAACCUCAUAUUAUAUGUCAAGUGUUUGUCUAUAUUUGAGCAAUGUUAGAUACGGCCAUGGAUUCAUCAAACUAAACUGAUUUUAAUAGAUACUUCACAAAUUGAUUUAUACACUAAAUCAUUGGAUAGCAAUGAUGCAUUGGAAUUAAACGUAGGAUGAAGCUCGAAGAACACUGUUUGUGUAACAACAUAUUUAUGAAAUUAUGCAAAGGAUGAGCUUCGGGGUAGUAGUACAAGGUCAUUAAUGGAGAGCCGUGUUAAACCUUGAUUGUGAUUGGAUUCCGUUAUCAGCAACAGCAACCUUGUUUGUAACCUUGAAAGUCAUUCUGUCCACAUCGAAACUCCAAUUUGACGUUUGUAAUUACCAUUCCUGGAGUGUUCCUUGAUUGAAAUUUAAAUAAUAAUUGCGGCCCACAAGGAAUAUUUUCGAUUCUGUGGGAAUUUGACAAGGUUUGUUAGAGAAGACUGGUGACAUGUUGACUUCAAUGGUUCAAAUAGGAGACGUAUGUGGAUUUGGGGGGUUUAAUUGAAACUGAGUCCCUAUGGCUUUUUAAUAUUUGCAUUGAGCAGUCUCCAUGUGACUUCCUAAUUCCCACCAACCCUCCUGUCCAUGCUGUGAAACUAAAUUGUAAUUUAUCAGCCUUUGUCAAUGGUUUCUAAAUUAAAGAUAUAGACCAUGCAUGUACUUUAAUAAAAGCAAAUCUAAAGUGUAGAUAGCAGCAAUGGUGACACCCAAUAUUCUCCAUAAAAUAGAAUUAGAAUAAGCAGUGUUACAUUGUUCAUGAUCACCUACAAGCAUACAAGAACUUCCAUGAAUAACUCAUAGCAAUUGCCAACAGGGCGUCGUAGAGACUCAUACAUAGAACACUAUCCACCCAGAGGAAAGGACAAGACCAGUGCGCUGCAGCUCUUAUUUUUCACAUGUAUACCACCACUCGUAAUAACCAAAUUCACUCAGUUGGGAUAGGUGGGAGAUGGUGGUUUGUGGGGUGGCUUGUGGGGAGGAGUUGGAGGAGGCUUUAUUUUCUGAGGCGGCUUGUAUGAGUGUGCAGGAGGAUGCCCGGGAGUGUGACCAUAAUGUGGUGGCUUCUCUCCCGUAGGUGGUUUGCCAAAUGGGCUUGGUGGCUUCUCUCCCUUAGGAGGUUUACCAAUUGGGGUUGGUGGCUUGUGUUCUGGGAGUGGUUUCUCUCCCUUGGUAGGUUUGCCAAUUGGGGUUGGCGGCUUAUGUUCUGGGAGUGGCUUCUCUCCCUUGGGAGGUUUGCUAAUUGGGGUUGGCGGCUUAUGUUCUGGGGGCGGCUUCUCUCCCUUGGGAGGUUUGCCAAUUGGAGUUGGCGGCUUAUGUUCUGGGAGUGGCUUUUCUCCCUUGGGAGGCUUGCCAAUUGGGGUUGGCGGCUUAUGUUCUGGGGGUGGCUUCUCUCCUUUAGGAGGUUUGCCAAUUGGAGUCGGCGGCUUAUGUUCUGGAAGUGGCUUUUUUCCCUUGGGAGGUUUGCCAAUUGGGGUUGGCGGCUUAUGUUCUGGGGGUGGCUUCUCUCCCUUGGGAGGUUUGCCAAUUGGAGUCGGCGGCUUAUGUUCUGGGAGUGGCUUCUCUCCCUUGGGAGGUUUUGUUGGUGGCUUGUGUUCUGGAGAUGGCUUCUCCCCUGGAGGCUUGUGCUCCGGAGGUGGCUUCUGAAAUGGCGGGGGCUUGGGGUAAUGAGCAAGAGAUGGAGUACUGGUGAGAACCACCAUUCCAAGCAACAAUACUAGCAAGCAUGUGGGAGAC